UUCUUUUUUCUGGGAACGCACGUAUUCUAUUUAAAACCAUUGCUAUGGAGAGAUUUUUUUUACUCCAUUAUAGCCUCUUGUUUGAUAGAGUUUCUCGUAUCUCGCUCUCUCACCCUCCAUAUCAAAAUAAGAUGACAGUGUCCACUCUAGCUCUCUCCUCACCGGUGGUCACAGAUCUGGCCGAAUCCCGUCCACUGCGGGAGGUGAGGAGGUGCAGCGUUGACGUUGUCGCCGUCGGCGAUGGAGGAAGCCGAUGCGCACUGUCCUCUCGGAGCCGGCGCUGGCGCGGACGAAGAUCCUCUGCGCCCUUGUUCGCUGUCGUCGUGUGGGCAGAUCCCGCCCGCCCGCCUAAAUGACAUCUCGCCCACCUGAGGUAUAACUUCUUGUACUGGUCCAGCUCCCCAGUUCGCUGCGUGCGGGUUUUCUUCUAUGCGACUACUCCCCAGCUCCCCAUGUAUAGUAGCUAGGGUUCGUCGGCUGGUCCAACAUCACCUACUAGUACUAUUAUAGAGGAAAUGCCACUCGAAAAGUUGUCCUGAUUUAUGCCUCGGUGGAGGUAUACAUGUUGUUUCGACAAAAAGUACAUGGUGGUUGUGCGGUCAUUGUCCAUAUGUUGGUAGUACUAUCACUGGUUAAAUGAAGAAAUGGUUUUUUUCUCAGGUAUCCUGGUUUAGUUCCCAUCAAGAUAAUUAUGAUGCUUCUAUUUGUUGGUGUACUUUUCAUUAAUUCUUAUAGACAAAUGAGAUGUCAUUGCUAAUCUUGUAAAACAAAGUAACAACACUAUAUCCCUUUUUUAUAUUUUUGGAAACAGCGAUGCGUAUCUCCAUACCCGGGCAUGUCUUCCUCAAUUUUAGUGGAACUGCACAAAAUUGGAUGGCCAUUGUUGUUCUACCUCACGGUCCUCUGCCACGUGGUUCUUCCUUCCUCGAGCUUGAUUACUGAGAAGAAACAGACCACAGUGAGGAUUUGUCGAACUUCAUAGGUGCCUCACCCAAACUUGAUGCCAAAUGGAUGAUGCAUCACCACGAUGACCUAUCGAUGCUCAUGGUUGCGCCUCAUGGUUGCGUCGGCUGGUGAAGCUGAACGAUUUUCAAUGAAAAACAAGCUGUCUUCCAUCAGUGCUCGUUGCUUGUUAUGCACAAAGAUGAUAUCCUUCGUCAGUUCACCUUGGUUGCGUUGGAGACGCAGUCGUCUUUCACGUUGGUGCAAUUUUAUCACACAAUUGGCUAUGAACCAAAUGUUUCCUCGAAGAAGGAUCGACGUUGGUACUAAGAGCAUAAGUUUUGUAUUGAUUUCUAAGCCUUCUCACAACUUUGUCUCCAGCUCCCCUAUAAUUUUAUUUGUCCAGCUAUUAACUUUGAUUUAAAAAAUGGUGUGGACUAAAAACCCGGAUGGACGUAGUAGCCCUCCAUUUUUAUUUACUCUGCAUAUUAUAUUUGACUGAAGUCAAAAUUUGUAAUACUCUCAAACCUUUCCGACAAUUGAAAUUAAAAUUCUUUAUUUGUACACACUCUCACAUGUUUCCGAUAAUUUGGCGCAUGUGUGGUUGUUCACUUAAGGGAGGGUAGUGCACCGCACGUGAAGGACAGUAAGUGCGACCAGGACGCGUGGGCGUGGAUCGUUAGUUCAUCGGAAGUAGUACUCCCUCCGUCUAGGUGUGUAGUAAGUCAUCUUACGAAAACCAAAUAAUUCCAAAACACUUAGGCGCGGUGCAUUAACUUCUACCUCGUUUUUUGUUUCUUGACAUUUCAACCAAUAAGAGAUAAAGGGUGUGCAUGCUUUUAAUGACUUGAGACUAUCAAACACGACAUGCAGUGGUUAGUUCAUUGCAUGCAAUACUAUUAAUUAGCAAAUAAACAUUAACGUUUCUCGUUUUCCCCUCCUCCUUGGUCACGGUGCACAGCCUAAGAUGACUUACUCACCUAGACGGAGGGAGUAGUAGUUUUCUUCACUGUACGUUAAAUAAAGAGUUUCAUUUCGUACUUACACAAUUUAAAAUGAUUGUUAUGGAGAGAAUAGGAAAACCACUCCACUAUAUAUUAGUCGUAUACACGAGAGUACUAUAUGGACGCAGCUUCAUUGACUUAGUGCACCUGCCUUUGGGUUUAUGACAGGUGGGCCCAAAAUGUGGCUGGCUCACCUGUCAUACAGCCAAAAGCAGGUGCAGUCAAGGCACCGGAGCUCAGUCCGUACUACAGUAGUAUAUAUAUAAGCUGGAGCCUCAGCGCUUGUUCGCUAGGGUUUGCACUCUCCACACUCUUGUCGCACUACCUAUAUGUAUACACGCUGGAGGCUCAGCGUUCAUUGCUAGGGUUUGCUAUAUUCACAGUCUCUCACCCUCUCUUCACCAGAUCUAAACAAGACAGCGUUGGCCCCUUGUCUCUCUCUCUCCCCCCUCACAGCUGGUGAAGGAGGCGUCCGUAUCCCAUCGCACCAGGAAGGGGAGGAGGUGCAGCGUUCACUCUAUCGCCUUCGGCGAGGGAGGCAAUCCACUGCCGGCUGCGCUAUUCUCUUUCACCCAGCCCUUGUGCGGGAGGGCCACCGACCCCUUCUUCCUCACUACCGUACGUAGUGUGGGCAGAUCCGGCCUCCCGCCGCACGCCUUGCCACAUCCCGACGACCCUAAGGUAUAAGUUUCUUUGAAACCAUCGUUGCUCUAGGUGCAUGUGGAUCUUUUUCGAUCUGUAGUCGAAUCUAGGUCUUGGUUCAAAGAGGAAAGAAGGGUGCGGUGGGCUGGAGCAAGAACCUAGGACGUGGUUCAAUGAGGAAAGGAGGGACGAAAAGUAGUAUAUACUGGCUAUCCAUCCGCUUUGUUGAUCAAAAAGGGAAAAGGGGGGUAACCCAGUACACACAUCUGUAAGGAACCGAUCUCUUUGUUGAAAAGGGAAAGAAGCUGGGGGGUCGGGUAGUUUGUGCAGGACUAGAUUUGCUGCCCUCACAUAGGAAAAAGGUUCAAAGAGAACAAGUAUGGGACCAACGCAUAUAUGCUGCUUGGCUACAUACUCUGGAUCACCCAUUUAUACGUGUGGAUGCACAUGGUGCUGGCAUGUCCCAUACAUCUAUUUUGUUGUCGUUAAUCUAAGAAUGCCGCCGGAAAAUUGAAGCAAUGCCACUGUUAAAAGUAAAUUAUAUUUCUUAACGAAUGUUGCUUCAAGAGAAUGUCUCUGUUAAUAUGAAUCAAUGCAACCGUUUUAGAAAUGCUGCUAUCCUACUUUGUUUUCCAUCCAAGAUAAGUUAGAUGCUUCUUUCUGUCACCAUUUGUUUCAUCCUCCUUUAUCGGCAAGUAAUUGAUUCCUUUUUUGCCUUUGUUAAAACAGGGGUAUCGAUUCAACUUGUUGCUAUUGCGACAUUUUGCUUCGCUACUCGAAACACUUAUGUUUUAAGAGCGUUUUGUGCAGUUCAACUUGAAUGUCACACCGGUGACUUUGCUUAAUUUUGGUGGAACUGCACAAAAGGAGAUCGAGAUUUGUUUCCAGUCUUCGUGGCGAGUUGUUUCAAAUCUUGGUCUCAUCCACAUGAUGUGCAGUGUGCUUUGAGAUGUUGUGCUACUUGUAUUGGUACUGUUUUAAAUAAAUGUUGAAUUGAAGCUAUUGUAUUGCUGUCUUUUCCCAUUAAGUAGUGAACAAAAAUGGGACCAACCCAGACAUGAUGCUUGUUGCUUUGUUACAACAAAUUCAGCAUCACCCCCUUUAUAAGCCAGUAAUUGAUGCCACUCUCAGAAUUAACUACCGAAUCUUAUUUCAAAAUUGCAACACUUGUUAGGGAUUGGCGAGAUUACCAUUUUUGUGGCCGCAUGUUUCAUCCUCCUUUAUUAGCCAGUAAUUGAUUCCUUUUUUGCCUCUAUUUAAACAGGGAUAUCUAUUCAACUUGUUGCUAUUGCGACAUUUUGCUUCGCUGCGUGAAACACUUUGCUUGAUUUCAGUGCGACUGCCACAAAACGAGAUUGGAUUUCCUAUUCGUGUUAGCAGAUUCAUAUUUUAUCCUGGUCUUAUCAUGAAAGGUCAGUACAGGCCUUCAUCCACAUGAUUGUGCAGUGUGCUUUGAGAUGUUGUGCUACUUGUAUUGGUACUGUUUUAAAUAAAUGUUGAAUUGAAGUUAUUGUAUUGCUGUCUUUUCCCAUUUAGUGAACAAAAAUGGGACCAACCCAGACAUGAUGCUUGUUGCUUUGUUACAACAAACUCUGCAUCACCCCCUUUAUAAAUAGAUGGAAGCACAUAUUGUUGUUGCGCCCACUCUCCCCUGGAACUGUUUAUGCUUUUCGUUAAUCUAAUGCCGCUGGUAAAAUUAAGUAAUGCCACUCUCAGAAUUAAUUAACUACUGAAUCUUAGUUCAAAACUGCAACACUUGUUAGGAAUGGUACUAUCCUACUUUGUAGUUAUUUCUACAUGUUUAACCGAGGUAUUGUUAAGAUAAUGUCUCUGUUAAAAUGAAUCAGUUGCAUUGUUUUAGGAAUGGUACUUUUCUGCUUUGUCGUUCUUUAUACAUGUUGAAACAAGGCAUUGUUAAGAUAAUGUCUCAGUCAAUAUGAAUGAAUCACACUGAUGGAGAAUUGCUACUCUCCUACUUUGUUUCCCAUUAAGAUAAAGUAGAUCAGUAGAUGCUUUUCUUCUGGGAGUACAAGUCAUCAACCGUUAUUUCUCAGUAAUUGUUUCCCUUAUACCUAUUGGUGCUUACAGGGAUAUCAAAAUUAAAGCUCGGUUUUAUUCCGACUUCGGUUUUAGUUGAACUGCACAAAAGGAGCCAAUGUGUCCAAGGCAAACUUCUGCAUUACUGGGUCCAGUUGGUCGUUCCACUUUGCAAAAAGAAGCAGUCACUGUUUGCGCUACAUUACAGAAGGAAUGACCGAGAAGCUUUACAGAGUAUUAUUAGACCCUGGUGACAUGACUAGUCUGCAGAGAGCAUUGGCAAUUUAACAACAUGUGGAGUGCACUGGGAAAAAAGUGCCCAAACAAGUACAAGAAGCUACGACAGUACUCCAUGAUCAUAGGCAUUACAUAUUUUGAAUGGGAAAAGCUUGUAAAAGUUUAAUCAUUGAUGUUAGCAAGAAGACGUUAGUUUUAUAUAUUGGAAUUGGGAAACCUUGUCAAAAUUUGCUCAUUGAUGUUAGCCAGAAGACAUGCAUUUGAUAUUUUUGAGUGGGACGCCCUUGCUUUGAGCAGCGUCGAUUGUUUUUUCCUAUUCCUGUGUUCAGUUUAGAAGUAAAUAGUUACUCUGCUGAGAUAUUCCUGUGUUAAGAGUUUGUUCUGAAUAUUGUCUAUGUAAUGUUAGGCCUUGUGUUUGAUUGCAAAGUUGAGCUUGGAAUGUUGUGGCAUGCGGCAUCACGAGCUGUUCACCGUGCCUCCUGAGAAUAAUGCUUCGUAUUGUUUUGCAUGUUGAUCUAAUGCCAGUGAUUUGCUUGUUAGAAAGAUCAUCCUCUUCUGUUGUUUCCGUGCUUAAGAAGUUCAUCGUCUUAUGUUUCAUUCAUAGCCUAUACGACAAGUCGGGUAGGUUAGACGUGAAACCAUAUGAUCUUUCGACCAACUCAUGAUAUUAGGUCGUGAUUGGAUCGUUGUUUUCCAACCAAAACCGCUUGUAAAACUGACGCUUGUAAAUAAAAGCAGAUGGUCUCGGGCGAAGCGCUUCGUUGGUCGAUUUUGACUAGUAAAAUAUCGGAAGUACUUCACACACGAUAAAAACGCUGAACGACACUCGGACGAUUGCUAAUCCAGCCGUUAGCUGCUGUUUCAGCCUUGCCCAUGGAUGGCAUGAUACGCAUGUCGUGCAUGUAUCAUCUGGUAAUGUCGUCCAUAUAGCAGUGCUCGUAAAAUAUACACUGGUCUCUCAAAUUACACGCGUAACCCGCCUGUUUUACUUACAGACCUCGGGCCCUCGGUUUCAUUAUGCCUGUAUUUUACACGUUGUUUUCGAUAACGAGUAAAUUACACUUGUAUGUUAAUACAUGUUUGAAAUAAACCAGAGCUCCCAAGCGCGGCCUUACUGUUUCAUGCCGUCUCAGUUUCUCGAAGGUGCUCAUAGGUGUCCGAUGAUCCUGGCUUCCUGAAUGAGCAGCGGGCGCUGUAUCAGACCAUCCGUAGGGCCCGCGAGGCCCUCUCCGUUGUCCUUCGAGUUGUUGCGGUCACCGUGGCGCCGAGCAUUGUUAACAUCGUCAACGAACAUGAGGAUUCAGGAGAUGACUUUAUUUUGACUGGAUGACACUAGGGACCCACUAGGGCCAUAGUCGUACAUACGCAAGUGCCUCCUUAUUAUGUACAACUAUAUUUUUUUUGCUUCCUCCUGGUUUCCUGACAUCACGGUCCCACACCAUUGUCAACCUAUGUAGUCAAUAUAAACAAGAGAAUUGCACAAGGUGCGGCCGACAGCUAGGACCAAGCAGCUCGAGCAGUAUUUGUGUUUUUGAGGCGUGAGCACUGUAGAGUUUUUCUUGGCGAUGAUUUCAUUGUUGUUCAGAGGAGAGCAGGGUAUUAACUGGGCGGGCUAUGGACCGUCUAGCCCAGGCCAGAUAUCCAGCCCAGAUACUAAUUUUUUCAAGAUGAAAAUGGCUAGCCCAGCUAUACAUUUUUUUGAGGAAUACCCAGGCAAGGUCAACUUGUUAUUCUCCGCCCCGUUGGGCUGCAAAUCUUUCCUAGGAGGGAUGCAUUAGGCUUAACAGGAAAAUGGGCUUUAAAAAAUAAUAAAUGGGAUGUAAUUAUAAAAACUGGGCAGUAACUAUACCAAACACGAAAUUAGUUUAUAAAAUAUUAUUUAUGGAUUGUGAAAAUCUUAAAUUUUCAUUGUUGCGCGCGCAAUGUUUCGUUGGAUUUUUAUGUAAUGCAAAUUUAUAUUUAAUCUGACUAGAAAUUUCGGGAUAAAAAUAUUUCGGAUCCCAUCAAAAUGUGAAAUUUUAUUGAAUUUUGUCUUCAACGGUUGGUUGAAAUUAUUAAUCAUUGUCCUAGCUAGAAAACGGGAUGUACUUUUAACAAACUGUAAAAGGGUUGUAGUAAAUCCCAUUAGAAUUCAAAAAUGGGUUGUACAUUCUUACAAAUCGCAAAUGGGCUAUAAAUUCUCUGCCACACACUUGUGGGCCUACUAAGUUGACGCAUCCCCUAAAAAAAUAAGUUGACGCGUAUGCAAGGCUUUGUCAACUUAUUAUAGUCAACACACGGUUCUAGCAACAGUGGCCGUUGGAUGUCUAUCCAAUGGAUGUCGUGCUUCUUCUUCAAUCUCGGAUAUUCUUAGCUUCGUCCUCCCAAAAAAUGAUUCCUCCCCCUGACAUCUUGGGCGCACCGUUUCGGAGGCUGACCUGUGGGCCUACUAAGUUGGAGCAUACCAAGGGAUUUGUCAACUUAGUCAAUAUAAAUGAUUCUAGCUUCAAUGACCGUACGAUGUCCAUCCAACGGCCGUAGUGCUUCUUCAACCUCUGGUCUUCUUGCUCCAGCCGCCCAAAGCAGCGCCGGUCGUGCCGCCUGCUCCUGCCUCCCGUGGCCUGCUGUGCUACCGCGGAGGCCUCACCGCCCCCAUACUACUCCCACCGCUGGCCAGGCCAUCCCUCCACUCACCCACACCCCCUGUUAUUCUGCGGCGACGGUAGCCUCACACCGCAGCCGAACCAGUGAACCCUUGUACUCCUCUCCGCGUGGGCUUCCACUGCUGCGUCUUCCCUGGCUCCGCGCCGUCCCCUUCCUAGGCCUUGCCGUCGUCCACUGCCCUGGUGCUCUCGGCGCGGCGUGGUCAACGUGGUCAAGGACCGACUUCUAUCGGAAGAGUACUGUACAUGGAGAGGCUGACAGCUGGGUCUACGGCGGCGGCAAGGAAGUGCCUCCUUAUUACGCUCAAAAUAAUUAUUCCUCCACCUGACAGCAGGGACCCACCGGACGGGCCACCUUAUUUCGCGAAAAAAAAUGUUUCCCACUGACUGCUGGGACCCACCGGACGGGCCACCGUAUUUUGCAAAAAAAUGUUCCUCCUGCUGUCAGCUCGGAGCCACCAGAAGUGCCUCCUUAUUAUGCACAAAAAAUGAAUACUCCCCCUGCUAGCUGGGACCCACCUUGGUGGGAGGCUGACUUGUGGGCCUACUAAGUUGACGGGGACAGACGGCUUUGUCAACUUAGUCAAUAUGAACGAUUCUAGCUCCAGUGACCGUAUGAUGUCCAUCCAACGGCCGUAGUGCUUCUUCAACCUAUGGUCUUCUUGCUCCAGCCGCCCAAAGCAGUGCCGAUCGUGUCGCCUGCUCCUGCCUCCCGUGGCCGGCUGUGCUGCCGCGGAGGCCUCACCGCCCCCUACUAUUCCCACCGCUGGCCAGGCCCUGCGGCGACGGCAGCCUCACACCGCAGCCGAACGAGUGAACCAUCAUACUCCUCUCCGUGUGGGCAUCCACUGUCGCGUCUUCCAUGGCUCCGCGUCGUCCCCUUCCUAGGCCUCACCGUCGUCCACCGCCCUGGUGCUCUCGGUGCGGCGUGGUCAACGUGGUCAAGGAACGACUUACAUCGGACAUGGACUGUACGUGGAGAGGCUGACAGCUGGGUCCACGGCCGCAGCAAGGAAGUGCCUCCUUAUUACGCGGAAAAUAAUGAUACCUCCACCUGACAGCAGGGACCCACCGGAUGGGCCACUGUAUUUCACAAAAAAAAUAUUUCCCCCUGACUGCUGGGACCCACCAGCUACAUCUUCGCACGCAAGGAAGUGCGUCCGAAAAAAACGAUUCACCCCCCUGACUGUUGGGACCCACCAGCUACAUCUUCGCACACAAGGAAGUGCCUGACAGUCGGGACCCACCUGGUCGAAGCGUACGUAGCGUUGUCAUUCUGGUCGCGAUCGUGUACUUACAUAUAUACUGGUGGAUGUAGAGGCGCGCACGUGUCGUACUAGAGGCGCGUACGUGUCGUAGUAGAGGCGCGCACGUAGCAUGUACACGUACGUACAGCAGCCGGUGUGCAAGAAAGAAAAUACGGCCACGUAUGUGUACAUACGGGCGGGGUCUCGAACGCCUACUUGCGCAUACGUACGGCCAGAGCUCGUGUACAUGGCUGGGUCGGAACAAAAAAAUAGCGUCAUCGUCGUGUUCAUGGGGAGCCAACCGGCUGGGUCGGAACGGAAUGCGUCGUCGUGUUCAUAGGGAGGGCUUGAACGGAACAGGUGAUGGUAACGGGGCCUGGCGUACCGCAGAAUGGAGGAAACGGCCUUGUGUUCGACCGGCCACGUUCGUAACGGGAUCCUGUUCAUCGGGAGGGUCUGGCGUACCGCAAAACGGAGGAAACGGACCUCGUACGGUCGAAACGGGGGUCCUGUUGAUCGGGAGGGGUGUGGCGUACCGCAAAACGAACGAAACGGACUUGUGUUGGAGCGCUACGGUCGAAACAGGGGUCCUGUUCAUCGGGACGGCUGUGGCGUACCGCAAAACGGGACUCCACGGGAUACUGUUCAUCUCCACCGUCGACCUCCUCCAGCCUCCACGGGCUCCUGUUCAUCCAGCCUCCACCGUGCGCUACUCCACUGGCUACUGUUCAACCACCCCUCCACGGGCACCCCUCCAUCGUCUACUGUUCAUCGAGCCCUCCACGGGGUCGUCCUUUUCAUCCAGCCCUCCACACCAUGGGGGUCCUGUUCAUCCAGAGGCAGCGCCACCGCUCACUGUUCAUCCACACCCCCCCCCGCAAUGCUCACUGUUCAUCCAGAGAGGCAGCAUCGAUCGGCUUCAGUUAGCAGCAGUAGCGAAGGAAUCGCUCGAUCGGGUUCAGUUAAUAGCCAUCGAUCGAUCGCUCAGGUUCAGUAACGCGUAGCCUUGCAGUGCAAUCGCUCGGGUUCAGUUAGAGCCCAACGCCUCGCUCGGGUUCAGUUAGAGCCAACGCCUCACACACACGCGCGUACGUGUAUGAGAGAAACGUGCAUUGCUCGGCCCCCGACUGUCCACCGUAACCAGGAACUCCCCGAAAUUUUCCUCGCCCUCGCUUUUACCAUGGUUUUUUUCGUCAUGGACGGCCCAAAGGAUGUCAUGCAGCUGCGUCUUCGGCCUGCCCAGGAAGAAAAGCCCAUUUUCUGUCAUGAUUUUUUGUCAUAGAAGUAGGAGCCCACCACAUCUAUGAUGAUACCGGGUUUUGUCACAAUUAUCGUCAUAGAAGUGUCAUAUGUAUGACAGAAAAAAAAUUCGUUCGGCCCAAAAUGUCACGGAUGUGUCUUUUUUGUAGUGUUUAGGAGGAAAGGGCAUGGGUUUCUGAACCCAUGGUUCUCUUUCUUUACCGUGCUUCCUAGCAACAAAAUCUCUCUUAUCAUAACGUUGAUUCUUUGAUUGUGGGUUAUCAAGAUCAACAGCAGGUUCAUUCUCUACUUCAUUAUUAUUGCUAGGUUGAGCAUCAACAUGAACAUUAUCAUUAACAUUAUCACUAGGUUCAUGUUCAUCACCUGAUUGUGUUUUAGCAUCAGAAAUAGAAAUAUCAUUCGGAUUCUCAGGUGUGUCUACAACAGGUUCACUAGAAGCAUGCAAAGUCCUAUCGUUUUUCUUUUUCUUCUUUUUAGAAGGACUAGGUGCAUCUACAUUAUUUCUCUGAGAAUCUUGCUCGAUUCUCUUAGGGUGGCCUUCAGGAUACAAAGGUUCCUGAGUCAUUCUACCAGUUCUAGUAGCCACUCUAACAGCAAAAUCAUGUUUAUUAUUUAAUUCAUCAAGCAAAUCACUUUGAGCUUUAAGUACUUGUUCAGCUUGAGUGGUAACCAUAGAAGCAUAUUUGCUAAUGAGUUUAAGUUCACCUUUAACUCUAGCCAUAUAAUCACUCAAGCGUCCUAUCAUGAAAGCAUUACUCUUUAACUCUCUACCAACAUAAGCAUUAAAACUUUCUUGUCUAGCCAUAAAGUCAUCAAAUUCAUCUAAGCAUUAGCUAUGAAAUUUAGUAGACGGGAUUUCAACUUUAUCAUAUCUAUAGAAAGAAUUUACCUUCACUACCUGUGUCGGGUUAUCAAGACAAUGUGUUUCUUCAAUAGGUAGAUUAAUACCAUGUAUUUCUUUAAUAGGAGGUAAAUUCUUAAUAUCUUCAGCUUUAAUACCUUUUUCUUUCAUUGAUUCCUUUGCCUCUUGCAUAUCUUCAGGACUGAGAAAUAGAACACCCCUCUUCUUCGGAGUUGGUUUAAGAAUAGGUUCAGGAGCUGGCUCAAUUGGCUCAGGAAUUGCCUCAGGAAUUGGCUCAGGAAGAGUCCAAUUAUUUUCAUUAGUCAACAUAUUAUUUAAUAACAAUUCAGCUUGGUCAACUGUUCUUUCCCUGAAAACACAACCAUCACAACUAUCCAAGUGGUCCUUGGAAGCAUCGGUUAGUCCAUUAUAAAAGAUAUCAAGUAUUUCAUUUUUCUUAAGAGGAUGAUCAAGAAAAGCAUUAAGUAAUUGGAGAAGCCUCCCCCAAGCUUGUGGGAGACUCUCUUCUUCGAUUUGCACAAAAUUAUAUAUUUACCGCAAGGCAGCUUGUUUCUUAUGAGCAGGGAAAUAUUUAGCAGAGAAGUAAUAAAUCAUAUCCUGGGGACUACGCACACAACCAGGAUCAAGAGAAUUAAACCAAGUUUUAGCAUCACCCUUUAAUGAGAAUGGAAAUAUCUUAAGGAUAUAAUAAUAGCGAGACUUCUCAUCAUUAGUAAACAGGGUGGCUAUAUCAUUCAACUUGGUAAGAUGUGCCAUAACAAUUUCAGAUUCAUAGCCAUAAAAAGGAUCAGAUUCAACCAAAGUAAUUAUCUCAGGAUCAACAGAGAAUUCAUAAUCCUUAUCAGUAACAAAGAUAGGUGAAGUAGCAAAAGCAGGGUCAUAUUUCAUCCUAGCAUUCAGAGUUUUCUAUUUAAGUUUAGCUAGUAAUUUCUUAAGAUCAGAUCUAUCAUUGCAAGCAAAAAGAUCUCUAGCAGUUUCUUCAUCCAUAACAUAACCCUCAGGAACAAUAGGCAAUUCAUAUCUAGGGGGAGAACCUUCAUCAUCACUAUCAUCAAUAAUUUCAUCUUCAAUAAUUUCAUUCUCUCUAACCCUAGCAAGUUGGUCAUCAAGAAAUUCACCUAAUGGCAAAGUAGUACCAAGCAUAGAAGUAGUUUCAUCAUAAGUAUCAUGCAUAACAGAAGUGGCAUCAUCAAUAACAUGCGACAUAUCAGAAUUCAUAGCAGUAGCAGGUUUAGGUGUCGCAAGCUUACUCAAAACGGAAGGAGAAUCUAGUGCAGAGCUAGAUGGCAGUUCCUUACCUCCCCUCGUAGUUGAGGGAAAAAUCUUAGUUCUUUCGUCUUUCAAGUUCUUCAUAGUGAUCAGCAGAUAUAAAUCCCAAGUGACUCAAAGAAUAGAGCUAUGAUCCCCGGCAACGGUGCCAGAAAUAGUCUUGAUAACCCACAAGUAUAGGGGAUCGCAACAGUUUUUGAGGGUGGAGUAUUCAACCCAAAUUUAUUGAUUCGACACAAGGGGAGCCAAAGAAUAUUCUCAAGUAUUAGCAGUUAAGUUGUCAAUUCAACCACACCUGGAUAACUUAGUAUCUGCAUCAAAGUAUUUAGUAGCAAAGUAGUAUGAUAGUAAUGGUAACAGUAGCAAAAGUAAAGAUAGCAGUUUUGUAGUAAUUGUAACAGUAGCAACGGAAAAGUAAAUAAGCAAAGCACAAUAUGUUAAAAGCUCGUAGGCAUUGAAUCAGUGAUGGAUAAUUAUGUCUGAUGCGAUUCCUCAUGUAAUAGUUAUAACAUAGGGUGACACAGAACUAGCUCCAGUUCAUUAAUAUAAUGUAGGCAUGUAUUCCGAAUAUAGUCAUAUGUGCUUAUGGAAAAGAACUUGCAUGACAUCUUUUGUCCUACCCUCCCGUGGCAGCGGGGUCCUAGUGGAAACUAAGGGAUAUUAAGGCCUCGUUUUAAUAGAGUACCGGACCAAAGCAUUAACACAUAGUGAAUACAUGAACUCCUCAAACUACGGUCAUCACCGAAAAGUAUCCCGAUUAUUGUCACUUCGGGGUUGUCGGAUCAUAACACAUAAUAGUGACUAUAGACUUGCAAGAUAGGAUCAAGAACUCACAUAUAUUCAUCAAAACAUAAUAGGUUGAGAUCUGAAAUCAUGGCACUCGGGCCCUAGUGACAAGCAUUAAGCAUAGCAAAGUCAUAGCAACAUCAAUCUCAGAACAUAGUGGAUACUAGGGAUCAAACCCUAACAAAACUAACUUGAUUACAUGGUAAAUCUCAUCCAACCCAUCACCGUCCAGCAAGCCUAUGAUGGAAUUACUCACGCACGGCGGUGAGCAUCAUGAAAUUGGUGAUGGAGAAUGGUUGAUGAUGACAACGGCGACGAAUCCCCCUCUCCGGAGCCCCGAACGGACUCCAGAUCAGCCCUCCCGAGAGACAUUAGGGCUUGACAGCGGUUCCGUAUCAUAAAACGGAAACUUUCUCUCUGAUUUUUUUCUCCGUGAAACAGAAUAUAUAGAGUUGGAGUUGAGGUCCGUGGAGCAUCCGGGGGCCCACGAGACAGGGGGCGCGCCCCCCACCCUCGUGGACAGGGUGUGGGCCCCCUGGCCUUGAUUCUUUUGCUAGUAAUUUUUAUAUUUUCCAAAAGUUAUCUUCGUGGAUUUUCAGGUCAUUCUGAUAACUUUUGUUUUCUGCACAAUAACCAACACCAUGGCAGUUCUAUUGUAAACAUCGUCAGUCCGGGUUAGUUUCAUUCAAAUCAUGCAAGUUAGAGUCCAAAACAAGGGCAAAAGUGUUUGCAAAAGUAGAUACGUUGGAGACGUAUCAACUUUCAUUGUAAAUAUCAAACUCCUCAUCGACUUAUAUAGCCUGUGUACACUCACAAACAUAUUAGUCCCUUAAACUAUAAGUCUUCAAUACACCAAAAUCACUAAGGGGCACUAGAUGCACUUACAAGAACCCUUAGAGAAUAAUCAGUAUCCCAUCCUGAGUAAUCAAGAUUCGUUCGUUAGUGUCACAAUUUCUCUUCCAAUUCUUAUAAUCCCUUUAUUCGUCCAGCAAUUUUUUUCAUCUAUUUUCUAAGAUAGCUCCGUGCAGAUGCCUGUCUUGAUUUAGCAGAAGGCCACACGCCGAGUGGAAUUUGGCAAUUCCUACUUUUACUAGCCCACUGAUGUAAGGGCCGAUGCUUCUUCCUGUGUUUGAGAUUUCUAAGCCUCAUUGUUCCAUUCUAAUUGCAUCCCCAUCCCUUACUUUAGUUUAUCAUAAUGGUUUGAUCUACCUGACUCUUGAUUUUUGUCCAUCCUUUUGACAGUCGGCAAUUCUACCCCAUAGAAGUACGCACUUACUUUUGACAGUUUGCAGUUUACUGUUUGAUUCUUCUGCCAAUUUAACAUUGUGUAUUGUAUCAUUGUAUGAUGGGUAGUACGUUCAAGAUUUCUUAUGGUUAAUGUAGUCUUCAUUUUAUUUAUACUAUAAUCCGGAUGUUAUAAUGAUAACAUGAUUUGUUCAUUUAAGUUUGCAGGUAUACAUGCACCAUAGGCAUUCAUUUAUAUUUUACCCAAUGACCUCAGAGAACACAAUAUGACCUCAGAGAAGACUGAAAGUUGACAACCUUCUCUGCUCUUGAAUAAGUAUCUCGCAUAUCAUAUGAUAGAUAAAGAUUUUCCGUACUCUCGAAUCCGGAUAAUCUCUAUCAUUGCAAAACUUCGGUCACAUUCAAGUUUGUUGCUUAAAUUUCUCAUGUACUUUGUUUUAAUUUCCAAAUAUACAUAGUUCACUUAUCACCCCUUUGGUUAUAUUGUCAUAGGAUAGUCACAGACCCAUCAUAGCUGAGAGAAGAAAUAAGGAGUUAGUGGCAUAAAUAUGAAUACAUAAAUGUUAAUCAUAUAUAAUGUGUUUCUGACAAAUUAAGAGUAUUUGCCAAUUUUUCAGUUUGAGUCGUAAGUAAUGUUCAAAAGUCAUAUACAACGAUUUAUCCUUUAAUAUUUUCUGAACUAUGAUAAGUUAUCAAUAGCAUCCAAGUAAUAUAGGCAACUGACAUCUGAUCAAUACGGAAGCGAGACCUUACGUGAUUGUCGCAGUUCUAUAAAGAGAACAUGAAACAUCAAAUUUAUACAAACAGUUGGACAAUUGUAACUAAGUAGAACAAAGUGAUUAAUCACAUUAACGGAUAAGCUUUUUCAUCAUGAAUUCCCAGGGUUGCAUUUAUCUUCAGCGUCCAUGCUAGCUAUGAGUUUCGUGGACAACGCUCCCUACCAAUACAAGCCUUCACGGAAUAAUAGUGUGAAAAAACUAAGUGCAAUCUUACUAUGAAAAAAUUCAGAGAUGCGAGAUGAUCUCUAAUUCACCCUUGCACUUUACAAUGUUAUGCCAACUAUUGGCUUUGGUUUUUCUAAACUGAGUUUGGCAGAUCCAUGCAUGGAUAAACACUCACCAUGCAUUAUGUUAUGCUACUUAUAUACUAUAAUGACAAACAGUAAAUAAUAUUAUUUUCAGUUUCAAUUAUCAUUUUAUUAAUUUAGUGUUCAUAUUCCUUACAACCAAACAACAUCUGAAUAUCUUGCUACAUAUUCCAGCAGCAAAGCGCGGUGGUAUCAUCUAGUAUUUCAAUAAACACUUUACAUAAAACAUUUCAAAUAAAAUGUUAGCCAAGCAUUUGAAAAAUGUUAAAUGCACAUAGUGAAAAUGUUUCUCAUAUAUAGGAAAAUUUAUACAAAAAAUAUAUAAUGUGAAUGAAAAAAGAUGAUCAUGUAUUUAAAAAAUGUUAAUCCAAGCAUUUGGAAAAAAUGUUGAAGAAAUGGUAAAUGAGUAUACAAAAAAUGUUGACCAUGUAUUGAAAUGCUAAACUUGUAUUUGAAAAAUAUUAAUCAGCCAUUUGAACAAUGUUAAAUGUGUAUAGAAGAAAUGUUGACCAUCUAAUCAUAAAACUUUAAAGCAGUGUUUGAAAAAUGUCAAUCAAGCAUUUACGCAAAUGUUAAAUGUGUAUAGAAAAACUAUUGACCAUGUAAUAAACAAAUGUCAAUCUAGUAUUAGAAAAAUGUUGAGCAAGCAUUUGAAAAAAUGUUAAAUAUUAAAUGUUAAUCAUGUAUAAAAACGGGUUAUUGUAUUUGAAAAUUGUUAAUGAAGGAUUUAAUAAAAAUGUAAAAUUUGUACAGAAAAAUGUUGACCAUGUAUUCAAAAGUAUUAAUCUAGUAUUAGAAAAAUCUUAGUCAAGCAUUUGAAAAUGGUUAAAGUAUGUAGAAAAAAUGUUGACCAUGUAUUCAAUAAAUACUAAUCUUUUAUUUGCAUAAUACUAAAAAUGUAUUCGGUAUAUACCAAAAAUGUGUAUAAAAGAAAAAUGGAUACCCGAGAGAAAACAAAAUAAAAACCAAUUAAAAAUGAGGAAAAAAACCCAAUGAAAAAUGAAGAGAUAAUAAGAAAAGAAAAAAUCUACUGAAAAGGGAAAAGAAACAAAGAAAACAUAAAACAUAGAAAAAUAAAAGGAGAGAAAGAAACAAAGAAAAACAAGUGAAAAAAAUAAGAAAAGAAGAAAAAAUACCUGAAAAAUAGUGGAAACCCGUCUCUUUUUCUUUAACAAAGUCAUUACCUAAUAAUUUAAGUAUGCGCAAGUGGCCGGCCCGCAAUUGUAGACGUCUUGAACGAGAACGAAGGGACACUCGCUAUAAGCGAGAUAUAGCAUUUACGUAUGGCAACGCCCCUCAAUAUGAGUGAGGCUUAGCAAUUACGUGCAUAGGUCCAGCAACCCCCAUUCCACCCCACCCUCGCGCGAGAGUGGGGUGCUAUGCUUGGGAAUAGCAAGCUAACAAAUGGUGACAAGCAAACUAUAUUUUGGGACAAUUUUUUCAGCCAGAUAUAUUUUUUCUGACCGGUUAUAUAUUAAAAUACAUUCCAAAUAUUAUUAAAAAAUGUUCCAGAAAACUUAAUUUAAAAAAAUGUUCACCAGUUUUAGAAAUUCACAAAUUUAAAAUGUUUUCAUAUUUUUUUAAAAAAACAAAUAGUAUUCAUUAAUUUAAAAAUAUUCAGGAAUUUAUGAAAUGCUCCCGAAUUCAUAAUGUGCUUAUGUACAAAAUAAUGGAUGAAAAAAUGUUCACACAUUUUUAGAAAACUUUCAUGAAUCCAAAAAACAUGUGCAUUAAUUUUAAAAUGUUCAAAAAUAACAAAGUGUUCCUAAAGUUCAAAAAUGUCUGCAAAUGAAAAUAGGACAAAAAGGAAAUACUAACAUGAAAGAAAUCAAAAUAGAAACACUGGAAUAUAAAAAACGGAAAACCCCAAUAUGAAGCAUAGAAAAAACAACAGAUACGGAAGAAAAAAACCCAGAGAGUUGAUUCUAUAACCUUCCUAAAACCAAAGAAAACCAGUCUCACAACCCUUCCAAAAUGGGAAAAUCAGGUCGCGUACAUGGGUCGGCCCAAACAACACAAACGAUGGACUAGGGGUGUGCAUUUGGUUAGCAGAUGACUCCCUACGUGUGGGGUAUGACUAGCCAAAUUUUAGUUGGUCUACGUCAAUUCGUUCUAGAAAAAUUUGGCAUUUGGCGAGGCAUGUGUCGCGACAUAUCACGAAUGUCUAGAAGCUCUCGAACCACACACUCACGCACGAUGUGAGUGGGCACUCGCGCGAUGUGCUGGCGGACACAUAAUCUCAGGGAUUGCAUGGUGAAGGGAGAUAUGUUCCUCUCAACAUUGAGAUCCUUAUUGUAUUAGAUCAAACGAGAGGGUAUCCCUAGUGAACCACGUAUGGUCGAGUAUGUAAGGAGGACUUAGAUGAGGGAGCCACUAGGUCUAUAUCCGAAAGAAUCAAGCUGAUAAACAUAAUUAUUGUUAUCAUCAACUUAACCAAUAAAGAGAAUUUGGUAGGCCAUAUGGCCUUACCCCGUGCGGGGGCCUAGACAUGGGUAAACCACCUUGGAUGUUCAUAUGCUGGCUAGUUCUCUUCGGGCACCACCUUAUAGGGUUAUAAGAUCGAUCGACCAUUAUUCUUCAACAUUUAGCACCCACCGUGGGGUUAGAAUGGAAUUUGCCAGCAACCUUCAGCACAUGCAAAAGCAUGUCGUGUUCAGAUCUAGACUAUGAUGGUUGUUGUUGGUAUGGGAUGAUUACUCCACAUUCAACCAGGUGGAACCUAGUGACGUGGAAGAUGACCUUGGAGGAGGCUCGACGGUUCCCUGUUGCCUAGGCCUCGUGCUCCAUGUAGAUCAGAGUGGCGAUCAACAAGGGAUGCUAGUCGUGAUAUCUGUCGCACAUCCAGUAAGCCAAAUAAGGGAUGAAGGAUCAAGCAGUAAGGACAUACCGCUCCCAUCCUGGCCAUGGUCAGAUUCUGCCUUGUGAAACCAAGGAGAAACCUGCUGCUCCUUAAACAAAGAAAUUCAUCCGGACUGUUAGAGUUGUGUCGAAUAUUGUGUACAAGGUGGAUUACAGUUGGACUCUGAGCUGUAUUGCAUUUACAGGGUAUGGAGUCGUGUACUAAUAGGACACUUAUAUCCUAGGCCUCUCAUAUAGUCAUGUAUAGUGAGGGUAGACACACAAUGUAACCUAUGCGAACAUAAUAGCACAGGAACGCAGGGGAAGCAGACGGCUUGUGCUGGCAUCCAGGGCGAUCGGGUGCGGUAUUAUAGCGGUGUCAUGGGGAGGAGCGCCCAUAAUCAGGCCUCGGGAAUGUAGCCAUAUCGAUGAACCUCGUUAACGAAUCUUUGUGUCGUGCCUCGUGUGAUGGCUUGGUCGUCGGAUGAUCAAUGAUAUGCCUCCGAUUUACUCUAACAAGUGGUAUCAUGAGCUAGGCUGAUCGGAGGCAAUGGACUGUUGAUCUAGAGGAAGUAUAAGUUUCAGAUGCAGCCGGUUGCAGUGUGGUUCUCAACGAAAUCAAAAAAAGCAAGAUCAGAGAAGAGACGUGCGGUGAUCGAGUCCAUUGAUUGGUCGGGUGAGCGUUCAAGCAGAAGCGUGUUUGUGGGAGGUCCGCAUGAUGGCAGAUCCAAUUGGUAGCGGAUCGAUCUGGUGUUUCCAGCGAGUCGGUGUGGAGCAAAAGGGUGUGGCAGCAAGAGAUCGUGUGGCGAGCGAGGCGCACAUCCUGGGUGGAGGCUACCAAGAGCGGACACAUGCGUGUUGGUUGGCCCAUGCGGUGUUGUACGGAAAGGCUCCGAGGAGUUGUUGAUGAUGGCCUAGGUGACGUCUUUGACACAUAGGUAUGUGCUAUCUAGAAGUGUCACGGUGUCCAUGAACUAGUGCAGAGCUAAGACGUGCAUGACAUUUGUUUGGGGAAAAAAGAGGAAGCAACCAGGACUACGUGUGUGCAUGAGAGGAGUUUGGUUGGGUCAUGUUCGAUCUAUUUUCUGCUAUGAGGUGCAUGGAUAAGCAAUAACACAUAGUGAUAGAAGAAAAGGAAAAUUUAUGUCAGUUGCAUGAAAGUUUAUCCGGGUCGGUUUAUUGAGAUGGAUUGAAACACAUGGAUAGGCUGCGAAGGCGCACGGACAAGCACAUCAUGAGGAUUAUGCAAAAAACACAGGGCGUCCAAGACAUGCACGAAUGUGCAAGCGGUCGUGAUGCAGGGUGGAGCAUGAUUGUAGUUGAAAAGGUUUGGCUGGGUCAGACUAGACAGUCUGACGGAUCGACAUGAGUCGGUUGGAACAGAAGACGGUGGUGGAAUUGGCGAUGACGACAUUGAAGCGUGAUGCUGAUGGUGACCGACUUCUGGGCAUGGAAACCUGUGGUGCAGGCCCGAGGGUUUGUGCGGCUUCGGCGAGACUAUUGCGCGGGGUUGAUUCAAGGUGAUGUACACACGGAGCUUGAAGUCGACGGGGCGCGAGGGUGGACUGAUCAUCUACCAUGGAGUCAUGUUGAAGGUGGAGCUGGAUUGAGGGGCUACAGUGUAAGGAUCCAAAGAAUCGAAGCCUAUUCAGCGGGGAAAAGCGAGGGACACGUAGUUCGGACUGGAGCCCGCUGGUCUGAUGGAAGCAUGAAACUCGUCAUCGGUCGGUGAUGAUCGAUGGUACUCUGUAGUGGGGUUGAGUGGUGUGGAUUUACGACCCUUGAGACUCGACCUGAACAGCGGAGGCUCGACGCGGUAAUAGCGGCGAGGCAUGCGAUAUGCACGAGGCAUGGAGACAUGCCAGGGCUCUGGUGGUCAUACAUGUGGUGAGACAACUAUGAAUUUGACUCGAAAUAACUACAAGCAACGGUGAAAUUCUUUCAAGUUUGAGACAGACGGUCAAGGAAGAGCGACGAUGUUGAGUUCAGGUAACUCUUUUGUGUGAUGUUCAAUAUGUGAGUUGUUCAGUUUCACGUAGAUCAGUGAUCAGUGUGUGAUGGCAUUGAAGGGAUACUCUGGAAGUUGGAAGCACAAACUAGAGUAAGGAGAACUUAAUUUCGCUCGAGCUUUAACUACGGUCAAGAAAAGAAGGGACUACAAGUUGCAGGUGGAGUCACAUGGAGUCUGGGAGUAGCAACGGUGCUUAAGGAUAAGCUCAAGUCCAAUGUACAUGAAAGUUUGACACAUGGACGAAUUCAUGGUGGUGGAUAAUAUUCGCCAAGAUGGAGUUUGUUAGAGUUAUGUCGAAUAUUGUGUACAAGGUAGGUUAAAGUUGGACUCUAAGUUGUAUUGUGUUUACAGGGUAUAGAGUCGUGUCCUAGUAGGACACUUGUAUCCUAGGCCUCUCAUAUAUAGCGAGGUUAGACACACAAUGUAACAUAUCCCAACAUAAUAGCACAUGGAUGCAGGGGAAGCAGGCGGCUUGUGCCGGCGUCCAGGGCGACCGAGUGCGGUAUUGUAGCAGUUUUCAUGGGGAGGAGCGCCCAUAGUCAGGCCCCGGAGAUGUAGCCACAUCGGUGAACCUCGUUAACAAAUCUUGGUGUCGUGCCUCGUGUGAUGGCUUGCUCUUCGGAUGAUCAAUGAUAUGCCUCUAUUCUAACAGGGAUGCUAAGUUGCCUAUGAUGUGGGUCUACUCAUCCCUUUUUGGCACAGUUUUUAAUACUAUUUAUAGGAAUUUAUAUUAUAUUUCUAGACUGACCUAUUAAUUCAGUGCCCAGGGGCAGUUGUUGUUUUCUGCAUGUUUUUAGUUUUAUAUAAAUCCAUAUUAACAGAGCUCCAAAUAACUUGGGGAUUUAAGAGGAAUUUUUCCGGAGGUAGAAGAAUCCUGAAAGCACCGGGAGGGGCUUGGGGGGCAUUCCAGGCUCCUAGGCGGCCAGGGGUCCACUAGUGUGAGUAGGUCAUAUGGGUCCCCUGGCCACCGCCUUUCAUCCAUCUUUCGCCUAUAAAUCCCAUAAUUCCAUGACCCCCGUACCAUUUUUUGUGAUUUAUUCGCCGCCACGCAUUGUUGUUCCGAGGAUCCAAUCUAGAGGCCUAUUCUGGCACCCUGCCGGAGGGGGAAUCCAUCACAAGUGCCAUCUUAAUCAACCUUGUUGCUACCAUAACCAUAUAUGAGUAGUUCCCUUAGGACAUUAGGACCAUAAUAGUAGCUCGAUAGCAUCCCCUCUCUCUCUCCCUCACAUGAUAAGGAUCCAUAUGAUGUAAUGCGGUGUUGUGUUUGUUGGGAUAUGAUGAAUUGUCACUUUAUGAUCAAAUUGUUCAUUGAAUUAUACUGGAUCUCUUACGAGUUCUUUGCUGCAUAAUUAAAUAGUUGUAUAUGCUGGCUGAUCUAUUUGUCUACGUUGGCCAAGUUUGAUGCGUAGUUCUUCAGGGGGAGUUGUGUGCGGUAGUGGGUUCAAUUUGUGAUGAUCCAUCCCAGUGACAGAAAGGGAAUGUGCACGUAAUGUAUCACUACUACUAAGGAUAAAAUAGUGGUUCUUUAUCACACUUGGAUGAUAGUUUUACUAUCUACAUUACAUCAUCUUGCUUAUUACAGUACUCUAUUUAUUAUGAACUUGCUACCUCGAGAUGCAUGUUGAAUAAUGGUCUUUCGGUGGAGUAUUAGUUGUAGAUGCAAUUGGAUAAUGGUCUACAUAUCACAGACAUAAUGCUUACUAGUAGAAUACACGUCCGUUGCUACGGGCUACAGUGCAUACAAAUGAGGCAGCGGCGGGAAGAGCCCUGUCUCCGCCUGGCGACAAGCCAUGUCCUCACGCGGACACCUUCCAUGGAGGCACUAGAAACACACUACGGUGAGCACAUGCUGAUGGCGUCGGCGUUCAGGGAUGGCAACAAUGCGGUGACACCGGCAACACUUCUGACUGCCAUUGAGAAGUGUGCGGUGUCCUCCACUCCAAGGUGGGCAUCGAGGUCUUUUGCCCCCGCAUUACCUAUGGUUGUCAUUCUCGACGUUGGAGCAGUGCACCCGUGUUAUAGAGGUCCAUGAAAUUCAAGUGUUGGCGCCGUAGAUUCAGUUCACCCCUGUUCCGGGCAAGGUUGGCUCUGGCUAGUUUUGGGUUUGUGUAGUGAAUUUGUGAGCCAUGUCUUGUUAGUUGAGUGAACUUGGACGUGAGCUGCUGAAUGUGUAGUGAGCUUCAUUGCUGAGUGAGCUUGUGGGUGUUGAAAUUAUGCGUAAUUUGAAAUUUUCUAUCUAAGUUGAUGUGUAGUGAACUCCAGUACAAUUGAAGUGCAAUGUGCUAUCAAAGUUGUUGUGGAAUCACAGGGUGAAAUGUGGUUGCAUGAACAAUAUUUUCACAACAUACUGACAGUAGUUUUCAGAAUUCUCAGAAGGAACGUAUAAAUUGCUCUUCUAACUAAAUUUGGGCACACAUCUGGCAAAAUUUGGGCAUAUAUUGACAACAUUUUGAUAGAGAGGAACAUAUAGCUGCAAUUCGGGCACACAACUGAUUAAUAUGGGCACAUUUAACAACACUUCUCUGAAUUCUCAGAACUGAGACAACAUAUAACUGAAAAUGCUUGAAAGAUAGCAUUGUUUAACUAAAGAUAACAUAAAAUACAUCUAACUGAAUUUUUUUUGACUGACCAACAUAUAUGGAUGACUGAAUCUGCGUGAAACACAACACAUAUCAACUGAAAUUUCAUGAAACACAUCAUACAUCAACAGAAGUACAUAUUGUACGUUGGUGCAGCCACUUCAUCCGGCUGUAAUAUUGGGCACUCGUCCAUGCCAAAAACCACCACCCGCAGUUGCAUCUGGGGUCAACCAUAUGAGGACCUUUGCGUGGCAAAGCCCAAAUUAAUGUCAAGAUUAAAACCUGGAAUGAAGAAAAUACAUCAGAAAAUCAAGUUAAAAUAGGAGCUGGAUAUUCAAAAUAAUAAUGAAUUAAAUACAAAACUGAGAAUAACAACUAAGAUAUUCUGGGAAUAAGAUGGUGUGCUAUGUUACAGUUGAAUAGUAGAACCUUGCCAAUGGUUGAUUGAAUGAAGAAAAAAGAUGAUUUUUCUAUGAAGAAGUCAUACCAUCUCUUGUUGCACAUCUCGCUCCUGGGUCGUAUGCCUGCUCACUUCUCUUAGCAACAUUGUCAUAUGUUCAUCGUACAAAAUCAAACACAUGUGUUGAACAUUUGGCAGGUUACACAUAUUAUCAUGUAGAAAGACAUACCCAAUUUGUAUGAAGGCAUCAUGUUCCGUCUGUUGCAGAAGUCUCAGGCCACCCUCAUUGGCAUGACAACUGGAGCUACUCUGCCUUGUGCCCUCCAUGUUGCCAGGACAUAAGGACCGCAUUCUAGGCACAACUGGUGUCUUGCAGCUGGCACUCGGAAGAAAAGAGUGAUGAGAUAUUACAAUGGCCCCAUUGGAAUCAAUUUUUUUAGCUCAGAAUGAAAAUAGAUUUUGAAUCCGUGUAGUUCAAAAACUUUGUUAAGCAAAGGUAGAAAAUUGUGUUCACAAUAAAGAGAAGAUACAUUUCAUAAAAAAAGUUUAGAUCCAUAAACAAUACUACCUUCUUCCUCAGGUCUUUGUUUUAAAAUCUUACAAAAGGGAAAUGCUAGAAGCAGAAACUCUAGUGUCUAGUAUGUCCAAAGUCAAACAAAUUCAGAAAUAUCUUCCAGUUCAUUUACACAAACUAAGACAAAACUAAUCAAGGCAACUUAUAAUACAAUUUAAGGGAAGGGUAGAAACAACUAAUCUGCUCAUAAUAUAUAAGGGAAUGGUACUAUUCAGCAUCAACCAAAAAGUAUCUCCUUGGUAAUCAAUGCUCCUAGCAAUAAUCUACAUAUAUAAUGCCUGCGGCAAGUUCCUUCCUAGAGCGAUCUAGCAAUGGUAGCCGUAGUCAAGACAAUGUAGUUCCUACAAAAUCAAAUUUCGUCUUGAUGCGCAAUCAACACCAUUGUCCUCCACACUACAGGAAGAACAUAUUUCAAAAUAAGCCUCAAUUGGACUCCAUGAGCUCGGUGUUGGUGAUGUUGCCAUCACCAUGCCAUGUCUUGUAGUGGAAGCAUGCAUCAUGAUGAGCCUCAAUUGUUUCCAAGUUGAGCCUAAAAUUCUAGGGGAUUAAAUAAAUUUCAAAAUAAGAAAAGACAUUUGGGGAAAAUAUUAAUGACUUGCAAAGAAGAAGAAAAAGAGGAUGUGGAGACAAUAGUACACCUAGAUGUCACACUCCAAGUGGCAAAUUGCUUUUUCCAAAAUCAUCAAUGGUCAUUGACAUAGCAUGAUUCACUACUUUGUUGCAGUACCUGUGAAAAAAUUGCACACCAUGAAACAAAAAUAUAUAUCCAUAGGCAUAAAAUGGAUACUACUAAUAUGGUCUAUCUGAACAAAUACAUGGUAGUUGUGUAAGAUCAGAUAAUUUCAAGAGGUAGAUUUAUUCCAAGUCUUUAUUGGUCAAUACACUUCUUAAGGCGAUGACUAGUGUUGUGUGAUGUGUGUGUGUUGGGUGUAUGCCUUGCAAUCGCAAAAAUAAUAAUAUAAUGUUAAGAGUACAUCUUCCAAUUUUCUUAUUUUAACAACAAACUGAACUCAUGCAUGCAUAUUCAAUAAUUUCAUGUUUUCAGAAAUUUAUUGCAAGCAACAAUCCCCACAAAAAUCACAGACUAAACCAUUUAUACACAACACAACUGGUAGGACAUCUGUAAAAAAUAAAAAAAUGUACGAACUGGAUCAUUGGCUCCUGGAGAGAGAAUUGGAUUGCAUAGUACUACUUCAUGCUAUUAUUGAAGUAACAAUGAGACCAUAUGCAAAAUGAGAAAAUAAAAUAAAUAUAUAUGAGCUCCUAGGAAUAAAUAGUAGAAGUUAAAAUGAGCAAUGGACAAGCAAAACUUUAAAUGUACUUGUUACAAAGAAGAUGGGUUGAACAUGAUGGAUGCAGGUUAACAACAAUGAUUUCCUUCGUAUCUUCGAAGUUAAUGAGUAACUCCAACAAAUAAUUAAUUACUAAAACAACAAGUAGCAUGCAUGUAUCAUACAUACUAGACAUAUUAAACAACAUGAACAUCAUCUUCGAACAUGCAACAUCAACCAUAGUAAGAGAUUGGAUCGGAUUACGGCAUAGUACUAACCAUUUGAAUGUGCCUCUGUUGCUGCUUAUACGAUGUUGACAAUGUUAGUGACGACUUGAUUGAAACGGCGUUGAAGAUGGCGAUGAGUACCACAGCCUGACUUGAAAGGAAGACAACCCAUGGUGACAGACGAUGAGCAGUCCUGCAAAGCGCUUCCAAAAACCUUAUUCACCCUCUCCCGGUGGAGGAUCACAAGAGCUAGAUAUUUCAGAGACCUACUGAAAGAACAUGCGGUGCCCCAUGUUUGGUUUUGGUAAUUGAUGACAAUCUCUAUGGACUAAUGGUUACCUUGAGUUAUAUUUGAAGGAUUUGUCCAUGGGCUUUUCUUGGAGUCCAUUUGUUGGUUUCAAGGAGAGUUUGUAAUGACCAAGGUGCUAUUCAAGGAAUUACCUAAAGAUUGGUCAUUUGAGAGGUUGAUCAAGACUAAGUCAAAGAGUAAAUCAAAGUGAUCAACUCAGAAAGCGUACAAGAUGUCCAUUUGUUGGUUUCAAGGAGAGUUUGUGAUGACCAAGGUGCUAUUCAAGGAAUUACCUAAAGAUUCGUCAUUUGAGAGGUUGAUCAAGACUAAGUCAAAGAGUAAGUGAUCAACUCACAAAGCGUACAAGAUGUACCAAGGGAUCAAGUGAUCCCAUGGUAUGGUAAGCAUUGUCCAUUACGCUUUGUAUGCUAACCCAUGGUAUUCGUGAGAGUUCGUUAUGGGGUUAGGUUGCGGUGUGCAAGUUCAAGUGGAGCAUCACGAAGAGAUCAAAUGCUUGAAGCCUGCCGUUCAUUGUGGCAACAAUGGAUUUGUGAAGAUGUGCGGAAUAGUGGCUCACCCAUAGUGGAGUAUGGGGGAGCAAUCAACUAGUCUUCAUCGAGCCAACGCAAUCAAGAAAGGUGGUCCAACUUGAGGGAGUCAAGAUCGUCAUCAUCUAGCUCAAGUGGACCAUGUGCAAGGCAAAGGUUUUCCCUUAAUAGGUUUUCUAUUUUACCGAUCUCAUGGUGGUACUUGGGAGACCGGGUUAUAAGAUCGACUGCCGUACUAUCAAGGGGGGCUCUCGAUGAGUAGCUUGAUCGUAUUGUUCAUAGAGAUCUCAAACCAUUGCAUCCUUGCAUCAUCUUUCUUGGUUCUUGUUUGGUUCUCUUUGUGAGAUUUGGAGCUUAUGGUCAUCUUGAUGACAAGCUCGAGUUCAUCAAAAACGGAGUUCACAUGCAUCUUCUAUGAUGUUUUCGAUGUUGGAGGUACUGCCGAUUCUUCUCUGUUGGAGGUUUCUCUCCUCUUUUUGUUAGGCAUACCUCCCCUACCUCUUCUUACUGUUUUGAUGCUACUCAUUGUCUUGUAUCCAACAAGCUUGAGUUUGCUCAAUUCGGAGCUCAUUUGCAGAAGUUAUGGCAGUUCUGGUUUUUUUGGAUCCGUCUGUUGUCUUUAGUUGCGUUUUGUAGGCAUCCAAGUGCUAAAGCCUCUGUGGCGUGCAGUAGUACUGCUCAAGGGAGUGGUAGUACCGCAGGGGCCAGUGGUAGUACCGCUCCUGGUGAGCGGUAGUACCGCUGCCUCUAGCCCAGAACGCUGACGUGCACGGAAGUAGGUGCGGAUGUUGGGUGCUAAGCGGUAGUACCACGGUCAAGGCGGUAGUACCGCCUAUCGGCGGUAGUGCCGCUGGUACUACCGUCCCUGCUAUGGUCUCGUUUUUUCGUGUCGGGUUUCCGUAAAGGACCACGCAGGGGAGCGGUAGUAGGGACGGCAGUAGGGCGCGGUAGUACCGCUUAUUAGCGAUAGUACUGCUCCUACGUCCACUCCAACUGCCACUCAGCUCACUGCCCUCCUCUGUUUUCCAGCAGCUGUAGGGAGCGGCAGUACCGCUUAUCAGUGGUAGUACCGCCCACAGGGCGGUAGUACCGCCCUAGUGUGUGUACUUCUUCUCCUUCAGCCCUGGUUGCCCUAUGCCUGCUUGCCACAGCGGUAGUACCGCUCCGGCAAAGGGGGUCUUCUUCCCCAAUGAACCUUAUCCUUUUAGCUCGUGUUCUUCCCCCAUUGUUUACCUUCUUCGAGCUUGCUAUCUCUCAAUCCCUCCAUGGAUUCUUGCUAGUUUUUGAGGGAAAAGAGAGAGGAGAUCUAGAUCCACAUUUCCACCAAUCACUUUCUCCUCUAUGUGAGGGGAACUCCUUGGAUCUAGAUCUUGGCGUUCUUGGUGUUCUCCUUCUUGUUCUUCCUCUCACUUUCCUCCCUAGCAUUAGUUGCUUUGGUGGGAUUUGGGAGAGAAGGAAUUGGGCACUCAGUGUGCCCUUGCCAUUGCAUUUGGUGCAUCGGUUUAAGUUCUCCAUGGUGAUACGUGGAAGUUACAAGUUGAGAAGCUUAUUAGUCUUGGGUGCUUGGUACCCUUGAGCUUGUUCCUCUUGGUGCUUGGGCACCCUAGACGGUUGGUGUUGCUCGGAGUUCAAUCAUUGUGGUGUAAAGCUCCAGGCAAGCGUGGGGGUCUCCAAUUAGUUUGUGGAGAUCGCUCCGAGCAAUUUGACGAGUACCGGUGACCGCCCCCAAGAGUUGCCAAAGUGUACAGGUUCGGUGACCGCCCCCAAGGGUUGCCAUUUGUACGGGUUCGGUGACCGCCCUCAAGGGUCCCUUAGUGGAAUCAUGGCAUCUUGCAUUGUGCGAGGGUGUGAGGAGAUUACGGUGGCCCUAGUGGCUUCUUGGGGAGCAUUGUGCCUCCACACCGCUCCAAACGGAGAUUAGCAUCCGCAAGGGUGUGAACUUCGGGAUACAUCAUCGUCUCCGCGUGCCUCGGUUAUCUCUUACCUGAGCCCUUUACUUAUGCACUUUACUUUGUGAUAGCCAUAUUGUUCUUUGUCAUAUAUCUUGCUAUCACAUAGUUACCUAUAUUGCUUAGCAUAAGUUGUUGGUGCACAUAGGCGAGCCUAGUUGUUCUAGGUUUUGUGCUUGACAAAUUAACCGCUAGGUUUAUUCCGCAUUUGUUCAAGCCUAAACCGUAAUUAUUUUAAAGCGCCUAUUCACCCCCCCUCUAGGCGACAUCCACGAUCUUUCACCUGCUCUCCUGCUCGCCAUUGCACGCCGGCGUCCAGGAUGGAGUAGACUAUGGCGGCGGCGCAAGUAAAAGGAGGAGAGAAAACCCUAGCUCGAUUUUUGGUGUGUCUUUGGUUGUAGUCGGUAAGCGCUAUAUAUAGUAGGACCAAGGCGAUGUCAAGUUGUGAUCACAAUCUCAAACCGACUUGGUUUUCAAGUCCUGAACUUACCGAACAAGUAAACAAUCAACUUGUCUGUUAACACAUCAAAAAAUAACAUGGCAGUUUUGAAAAGAAAGAAAGCAGGUAGCCCACUCCCGCUCCCGCUCCCUCGAGCCCUCCCCUGCUUCCCGCCAGUAGCCACUCCGGCCCCGGCAUCCACCAACCCCGCCGCUCUCCACCUGGACGCGGCAUCCACUCCAUGGCGUCUGGCUCGUGGAGCCCGCCUUCCGUUUCCACGUCGUUCCAGGGCGAGCGGCCGGUCGUUUCUGGGCUGGGGCUGUCUGGCUCACCUGGAUAUGCCCGCUCCUCGUCAGUCGCGGGGGCCUGACAGGAGGUGGAGAUGCCGGCGGCUGCUGGCCCCUUGAUACGUCUCCAAUGUAUCUAUAAUUUAUAAAGUAUUCAUGCUAUUAUAUUAUCCAUCUAUGAUGUUUUAUAUGCAUUUAUAUGUCAUUUUAUAUGAUUUUUGGGACUAACCUAUUAACCUAGAGCCCAGUGCUAGUUUCUGUUUUCUCCUUGUUUUUGUGUUUUACAGAAAAGGGAUACCAAACAGAGUCCAAUUGAUGUGUCAAUUUUUGAGGAUUUUUUAUAGACCAAAAGAAGACCACGGAGCAUCGGAGUUGGGCCAGAAGAGUCCCAGGCUGCCCACGAGAGUGGGGGCGCCCCCCCAGGGCGCGCCCCCUAUCUCGUGGACAGCCCGGAGACCCCCCCUGAUGUGAAACCAACACCAAAAAUUCCUAUAAAUACAGAAACCUUCAGGAAAUAACCUAGAUCAGAAGUUCCAUUGCCGCAAGCCUCUGUAGCCACGAGAAAUCAAUAUAGGCCCUCUUCGGCACCCUGCCGGAGGGGGCCAUCAUGACCGGAGGCCAUGGGGGAGGAUCUCGGAGGGGCCAUCAUCGCCAUGAAGGCCAAGGACCAGAGGGGGAAAGCCAUGGAGAAGGAAGCACAAGGGGGAGAACCUCUCCUCCUAUCUCUUGGUGGCACCGGAGUGCCAUCGGGUGGGGAAUCGUCGCCGCGGUGAUCGUCUUCAUCAACACCACCAUCAUCAUCACCAUCCUCAUCUCUUUUACGCGGUCCACUCUCCCGCACCCCGCUGUAAUCCCUACUUGAACAUGGUGCUUUAUGCCGCAUAUUAUGAUUCAAUGAUGUGUUGCCAUCCUAUGAUGUUUUGAGUAGAUAUCUUUUGUCUUUGGGUUGAUUGAUGAUCUAGAUUGGUAUGAGUUGUAUAUUUUACUUUGAUGCUAUCCUAUGGUGCCCUCCAUGUAGCGCAAGCGUGAGGGAUUCCCGUUGUAGGGUGUUGCAAUACGUUCAUGAUUCGCUUAUAGUGGGUUGGUGAGUGACUGAAACACAAACCCGAGUAAGGGGGUUGUUGCAUAUGGGAAUAAAGAGGACUUGAUGCUGUAAUGGUAUGGUUGGGUUUUACCUUAAUGAUCUUUAGUAUUUGUGGAUGCUUGCUAGAGUUCCAAUCAUAAGUGCAUAUGAUCCAAGUAGAGAAAGUAUGUUAGCUUAUGCCUCUCCCUCAUAUGAAAUUGCAAUAGUGAUCACCGGUCUUGUUAACAAUUACCUAGGACAAUUCCGCACAUCGAUCCACCAUUAUUCCACACUCGCUAUUUAUAUUAUUUAGUAAUAUAUUCUAACUUUAUGAUAAUAGCACCUACUUUUAUAUUUUAGCUCUCCGAUAUCAUACAAAGUAAUCCUCUUUAUACCCACAACACAGUUUUAUUUCUUGUUUCUAGUUGGAAGCAAACGUUCGGUGGACGUAGAGUCGUAUCAGUGGCAGAUACGGCUUGAGAGAAUAUUGAUCUUACCUUUAGCUCCUUGUGGGUUCGAUAUUCCAUACUUAUCACUUCCACCUUUGGGAAUUUCUAUGAUGAUUCCCUGCACUUGGGGAUUAUCACCCCUGGAGGAGGAAGGGCCCGUCCCACAAGGCUAUGUGGCGCCGCCGCAAGGCGUUGCUCCGCCAACAAUAGGUGCCCCGUCCGAGGUCGUCUUCUUCCUCCGAGCGGCGUCUGAUCCCGUCGGACCUGUAUGGUCUCUGCUUUCAAUGCUUCGGGGUGGUCAUCACCGACAGGACUGGACCAAGGAGCCUCUCUACAUCCGUUGCGGGCUCUCAGGACACGUGUCCUUGCAGUGCUCUAGGCCGUGCAGCCCGAUCUCGGCUGAGGAGCUCCGCAGGGCAGUCAUCGCUAAGGCCUCCAGGGACAGACCGGCGCCUCGGUCGGACAACGGCUGGGAACAGUGACUGUUGGAGCCCAGGCAGAGCGAGCCGAGUGCGCCGCUCUCGUCGGUUGCGCCCAGUCCCCUUCCCGUGUCGUCCCCCCUUCCGGUGGUUGCGCCCCUGUCGGAGGUGUGCAUCGUUCAGAGGUCGGCUGGCAUGGAGGAUCUGGAGCGUCGUCUCCAGCUUGCGGUGGUCGUGUACGUCGGCGGUGCCAGGCCGCCGGUGUUAUGUGAAGAGGCAAUGGUAAUGCUUGCGGCUCAGCUCGACAUUUCCAGGCAUCAAUUUUUGGUUCACAAGUAUUUCCCAAGGACUUUCUGGUCAUUUUUGCUUCACACGAGUUUAGGAAUAGAGCGCUGGCGAGGCCAGUGGUUUAGCAGCAGGGCAUUCAGCUACAUAUCAAACCUUGCUUGUGCCAGGCUCAGGCGACGGCGAGGUCCAUGCGUGUCCAAGCUGACAGUUUGAUUGAGGGUGUGCCUUCCCAGCAUGGACCAAGGAUACGGUAGCAGAACUGCUCGGUAGCUCAUGCCUUAUCGACAGCCUUGCACUGGAGAUGGAGAAUCGUGAGGCUCUCUCCCUCUUCAAAUUGAGGGCGUGGUGCGUUGAUCCUGAUGAGGUACCGGUCAGCCGUCGGCUUUGGGUGCCAGAGCAGGUGGCUGCGGAUCCUGCAGAGCAGCGUCCUUCUUUCCGACAGCUGUUGGAGUACCCCACGUUGAUCCACAUUGGGAGAUUGAGAGAUUUCUCGCCUUCGGACAUGUGGCGUCGUAGCUCGAGCGCAAACAGCGAUAGUGGUCAGAGUGGAUUGCCAGAUAGUUCGCUUGGUUCGUUCGCACUAGGAGAUUGGACGGUGUAACCCUGGUCGAGAGGUGUACGUGAUCGUCGUGGAUUGGAUCAGUACGGCGCUGGACCGGUGGCGGGCGGUGAUGACCGCUCGUAAAGGCAGGCUCUUAAGGGACGGGUGGGCCCGUCCGAGUGGAGACUGCUACCUCUUGAGCACUGCGUUGGUUUUCCCUUGAAGAGGAGAGGGUGAUGCAGCAAAGUAGCAUAAAUAUUUCCCUCGGUUUUUGAGAACCAAGGUAUCAAUCCAGUAGGAGGCUCCUCACAAGUCCCUCGUACCUACACAAACAAACAAGAACCUCGCAACCAACGCGAUAAAGGGGUGGUCAAUCCCUUCACGGCCACUUGCGAAAGUGAGAUCUGAUAGAGAUAAUAAGAUAAGAUAAAUAUUUUUGGUAUUUUUAUGAUAUAGAUUGGAAAGUAAAGAUUGCAAAAUAAAGUAGAAAGGAAACUUAUAUGAUAAAAGAUAGACCCGGGGGCCAUAGGUUUCACUGGUGGCUUCUUUUAAGAUAGCAUAAGUAUUAUGGUGGUUGAAAAAAAUACUGUCGAGCAAUUGAUAGAAAAGUGCAUAGUUAUGAGAUUAUCUAGGCAUGAUCAUGUGUAUAGGCAUCACGUCCGCGACAAGUAGACCGACUCCUGCCUGCAUCUACUACUAUUACUCCACACAUCAACCGCUAUCCAGCAUGCAUCUAGAGUAUUAAGUUCAUAAGAACAGAGUAACGCAUUAAGCAAGAUGACACGAUGUAGAGGGAUCAACUCAAACAAUAUGAUAUAAAUCCCAUCUUUUUAUCCUCGAUGGCAACAAUACAAUACGUGCCUUGUUGCCCCUGCUGUCACUGGGAAAGGACACAGCAAGAUUGAACCCAAAGCUAAGCACUUCUCCCAAUGCAAGAAAGAUCAAUCUAGUAGGCCAAACCAAACUGAUAAUUCGAAGAGACUUGCAAAGAUAACCAAUCAUACAUAAAAGAAUUCAGAGGAGAUUCAAAUAUUUCUCAUAGAUAAACUUGAUCAUAAACCCACAAUUCAUCGGAUCUCGACAAACACACCACAAAAAGAGUUACAUCGAAUAGAUCUCCAAGAAGAUCGAGGAGAACUUUGUAUUGAGAUUCAAAGAGAGAGAAGAAGCCAUCUAGCUAAUAACUAUGGACCCGAAGGUCUGUGGUAAACUACUCACAACUCAUCGGAGAGGCCUUGACGAUGAUGUAGAAGCCCUCCGUGAUCGAUUCCCCCUCUGGCGGAGCACCGGAAAAGGCUCCAAGAUGGGAUCUCACGGGUAUAGAAGGUUGCGGUGGUGGAAAUAGGUUUCCGUGGUGCUCCUGGAUGUUUUCAGGGUACAUAGAUAGACAUAGGCGAAAGAAAUUGGUCAGGGGAGCCUCGAGGGGCCCACGAGGGUGGGGGGCAUGCCCACUCCCCCUAGGGCGCGCCUGGCACCCUCGUGGCUGCCUCGGCUACUUCUUGACGUCCACUCCAAGUCUCCUGGAUUGCGUUUGUUGCAAAAAGAUUGCUCCCGAAGGUUUCAUUCCAUUUGGACUCCGUUUGAUAUUCCUUUUCUUUGAAACACUGAAAUAGGCAAAAAAAACAGCAAUUCGGGCCGGGCCUCCGAUUAGUAGGUUAGUCCCAAAAAUGAUAUAAAAGUAUAAAGUAAAGCCCAUAAACAUCCAAAAUGGGUAAUAUAAUAGCAUGGAACAAUCAAAAAUUAUAGAUACGUUGGAGACGUAUCAAACAUCCCCAAACUUAAUUCCUGCUCGUCCUAGAGUAGGUAAAUGAUAAAAACAAAAUUUUUGAUGUGGAAUACUACCUAGCAUAUUUCCCAAUGUAAUUUUCUUUAUUGUGGCAUGAAUGUUCAGAUCCAAAUGAUUCAAGACAAAAGUUCAUAUUGACAUAAACAUAGUAAUACUUCAAGCAUACUAACAAAGCAAUCAUGUCUUCUCAAAAUAACAUAGCUAAAGAAAGCUAUCCCUGCAAAAUCAUAUAGUCUGGUUAUGCUCUAUCUUCAUCACACAAAGUAUUUAAUCAUGCACAACCCCGAUGACAAUACAAACAAUUGUUUCAUACUUUUAUGUUCUCAAACUUCUUCAACUUUCACGCAAUACAUGAGCGUGAGCCAUGGACAUAGCACUAUAUGUGGAAUAGAAUGGUGGUUGUGGAGAAGACAAAAAAGGAGAAGAUAGUCUCACAUCAACUAGGCGCAUCAACGAGCUAUGGAGAUGCCCAUUAAUAGAUAUCAAUGUGAGUGAGUAGGGAUUGCCAUGCAACGGAUGCACUAGAGCUAUAAGUGUAUGAAAGCUCAACAAAAGAACCUAAGUGGGUGUGCAUCCAACUUGCUUGCUCACGAAGACCUAGGGCAUUUUGAGGAAGCCCAUCAUUGGAAUAUACAAGCCAAGUUCUAUAAUGAAAAAUUCCCACUAGUAUUUGAAAGUGACGACAUAGGAGACUCUCUAUUAUGAAGAUCAUGGUGCUACUUUGAAGCACAAGUGUGGUAAAAGGAUAGUAGCAUUGUCCCUUCUCUCUUUUUCUCUCAUUUUUUUAUUUUGGUGGGCUUCUUUGGCCUCUUUUUUUUAUUUGGGCUUCUUUGGCCUCUUUUAUUUUUCAUAAAGUCCGAAGUCUCAUCCCGACUUGUGGGGGAAUCAUAGUCUCCAUCAUCCUUUCCUCACUUGGGACAAUGCUCUAAUAAUGAAGAUCAUCACACUUUUAUUUACUUACAACUCAAGAAUUACAACUCAAUACAAAAUAUGACUCUAUGUGGAUGCCUCUGGCGGUGUACCGGAAUAUGCAAUGAAUCAAGAGUGACAUGUAUGAAAGAAUUAUCAAGGUGGCUUUGCCACAAAUACGAUGUCAACUACAUGAUCAUGCAAGAGCAAUAUGACAAUGAUGGAGCGUGUCAUAGUAAACGGAACGGUGGAAAGUUGCAUGGCAAUAUAUCUUGGAAUGGCUAUGGAAAUGCCAUAAUAGGUAGGUAUGGUGGCUGUUUUCUGGAAGGUAUAUGGUGGGUGUAUGGUACCGGCUAAAGUUGCGCGGCACAAGAGAGGCUAGCAAUCGUGGAAGGGUGAGAGUGCGUAUAAUCCAUGGAUCAACAUUAGUCAUAAAGAACUCAUAUAGUUAUUGCAAAAAUCUACAAGUUAUUAAAACAAAGUACUACACGCAUGCUCCUAGGGGAUAGAUUGGUAGGAAAAGACCAUCGCUCGUCCCCGACCGCCACUCAUGAGGAAGACAAUCAAUAAAUAAAUCAUGCUCCAACUUCAUCACAUAACGGUUCACCAUACGUGCAUGCUACGGGAAUCACAAACUUCAACACAAGUAUUCCUCAAAUUAACAAUUACUCCACUAUCAUGACUCUAAUGUCACCAUCCUCAUAUCUCAAAACAAUUAUCAAGCAUCAAAUUGAUCAUAGCAUCCAAUUCACUUUCUAUGAUAGUUUUUAUUAUACCCAACUUGGAUGCCCAUCAUUCUAGGACCAAUUUUAUAACCAUAGCAAAUACCAUGCUGUUCUAAAAAUACUCUCAAAAUAAUAUAAGUGAAGCAUGAGAGAUCAAUAAUUUCUACAAAAUUAAACCAUCGUCGUGCUCUAAAAAGAUAUAAGUGAAGCACUAGAGCAAAACUGUCUAGCUCAGAAGAUAUAAGUGAAGCACAUAGAGUAUUCUAAUAAAUUCCGAAUCAUGUUGUGUCUCUCCCAAAAGGUGUGUACAGCAAGGAUGAUUGUGGUAAACUAAAAAUCAAAGACUCAUAUCAUACAAGACGCUCCAAGCAAAACACAUAUCAUGUGGCGAAUAAAAAUAUAGCUCCAAGUAAAGUUACCGAUAGAGGAAGACGAAAGAGGGGAUGCCUUCCGGGACAUCCCCAAGCUUAGUAUUUUGGUUGUCCUUGAAUUAUCUUGGGGUGCCAUGGGAAUCCCCAAGCUUAGGCUCUUGCCACUCCUUAUUCAUAGUCCAUCAAAUCUUUACCCAAAACUUGAAAACUUCACAACACAAAACUCAACAGGAAAUCUCAUGAGCUCCGUUAGUGCAAGGAAGAAAAAAUCACCACUUAAGUUACUGUAAUGAACUCAUUAUUUAUUUAUAUUUGUGUUAAACCUACUGUAUUCCAACUUCUCUAUGGUUCAUACCCCCCGAUACUAGCCAUAGAUUCAUCAAAAUAAGCAAACAACACACGAAAAACAGAAUCUGUCAAAAACAAAACAGUCUGUAGAAAUCUGUAACUUUAGAAUACUUAUAGAACUAUAAAAAUCCUACCAAAAUAGGAAGUCCUGGUAAAUUUGUCUUUUGAUCUACUGCAAAAAGAAUCAACUAAAAAUCACGUUUCUGUGAUUUAUUAAAAUUAUUCUUGUGCGCGUCAAAGUUUCUGUUUUUCAGCAGAAUCAAAUUAACUAUCACCGUAGGUUAUCCUAUAGGUUCUACUUGGCACAAACACUAAUUAAAACAUAAAACCAUAUCUAAACAGAGGCUAGAUGAAUUACUUAUUUAAUAACAGCAAGGAAAAUAUUGGGUUGUCUCCCAACAAGCGCUUUUCUUUAAAGCAUUUUAGCUAGGCAUUGAUAAUUUUAAUGAUGCUCACAUGAAAGACAAGAAUUGAAGCGCAAAGAGAGCAUCAUGAAACACGUGACAAACACAUCUAAGUCUAACAUACUUCCUAAGCAUAGGCAUAUUAUAAGCAAACAAAUUUGCAAGGGAAGCAAAAACUAGCAUAUGCAAGGAAGAAGAAAGACACGAUAGCAAUCUCAACAUGAUGAGAGGUAAUUUAGUAAGAUAAAAAUUUCUACGACCAUAUUUUCCUCUAUCAUAAUAAUUACAUGUAGGAUCAUAGGCAAAUUCAACGAAAUAGCUAUCACAUAACAUAUUCUCAACACGAUCCACAUGCAUGUGAAGUUGACACUCUUCCAAAAUAGUGGGAUUACCAUUAACUAAAGUCAUGACCUCUCCAAACCCACUUUUAUUAAAAAUACCAUAAGAUUGAACAUUCACCAAAUAUGGGGGAUCUAAAGUUGACACUCUUCCAAACCCACUUUCAAUAUUAUUGCAAACACUAUUAUCAAUCUCAUAUUCAUCAUGGGGCUUAAAAAAAUUUCAAGAUCAUAAGAAGAGUCACCCCAAUCAUGAUCAUUGCAACAAGUAGUAGACAUAGCAAAACUAGCAUCCCCAAGCUUACGGUUUUGGAUAUUAUUAUCACAAUUGAAAUCAAGAGAAUUUAAAAUAAAAUCAUUGCAAUCAUGCUUUUUAUUCAAGGAGCUAUCAUGAAUCUCUUCAUAAAUUUCUUCAUCAUAAUUUUCAGAUUCAUGAAUUUCAAGCAAACCCUCAUAAAGAUAAUCUAGUGCACUCAAAUCACUAGAAUUUGGUUCAUCAUAAUUGGAUCCCUUAAAAAGAUCAGCAAGCGGAUGAGGGUCCAUAGAUCUUCGGUUCUCUGUUUGGCAAUAAAUAAACAACUAUUCCAACCAAACGAGCAAUCGAGCCAAGUAAGACAUCACAGCAAACGAAAAGACGAACAGAAGAAGGGCGAAUAAAACAGCAAGGGUGAAGUGGGGCAGAGGAAAAAACAAGAGGCAAAUGGCAAAUAAUGUAAUGCGAGGGAGAUGAGUUUGUGAUGGGUACUUGGUAUGUCUUGACUUGAGCGAAGACCUCCCCGGCAACGGCGCCAGAAAUCCUACUUGCUACCUCUUGAGCACUGCGUUGGUUUUCCCUUGAAGAGGAAAGGGUGAUGUAGCAAAGUAGUGUAAGUAUUACCCUCAGUUUUUGAGAACCAAGGUAUCAAUCCAGUAGGAGGCUCCUCACAAGUCCCUCGUACCUACACAAACAAACAAGAACCUCGCAACCAACGCGAUAAAGGGGUUGUCAAUCCCUUCACGGCCACUUGCGAAAGUGAGAUCUGAUAGAGAUAAUAAGAUAAGAUAAAUAUUUUUGGUAUUUUUGUGAUAUAGAUUGGAAAGUAAAGAUUGCAAAAUAAAGUAGAUAGGAAACUUAUAUGAUAAAAGAUAUACUCGGGGGCCAUAGGUUUCACUAGUGGCUUCUCUUAAGAUAGCAUAAGUAUUACGGUGGGUGAACAAAUUAUUGUCGAGCAAUUGACAGAAAAGUGCAUAGUUAUGAGAUUAUCUAGGCAUGAUCAUGUAUAUAGGCAUCACGUUCGCGACAAGUAGACCGACUCCUGCCUACAUCUACUACUAUUACUCCACACAUCGACCGCUAUCCAGCAUGCAUCUAGAGUAUUAAGUUCAUAAGAACAGAGUAACGCAUUAAGCAAGAUGACAUGAUGUAGAGGGAUAAACUCAAACAAUAUGAUAUAAUCCCCAUCUUUUUAUCCUCGAUGGCAACAAUACAAUACAUGCCUUGCUGCCCCUGCUGUCACUGGGAAAGGACACCGCAAGAUUGAACCCAAAGCUAAGCACUUCUCCCAAUGCAAGAAAGAUCAAUCUAGUAGGCCAAAUCAAACUGAUAAUUCGAAGAGACUGCGAAGAUAACCAAUAAUACAUAAAAGAAUUCAGAGGAGAUUCAAAUAUUUCUCAUAGAUAUACUUGAUCAUAAACCAACAAUUCGUCGGGUCUCGACAAACACACCGCAAAAAGAGUUACAUCGAAUAGAUCUCCAAGAAGAUCGAGGAGAACUUUGUAUUGAGAUUCAAAGAGAGAGAAGAAGUCAUCUAGCUAAUGACUAUGGACCCGAAGGUCUGUGGUAAACUACUCACAACUCAUUGGAGAGACCUUGGCGAUGAUGUAGAAGCCCUCCAUGAUCGGUUCCCCCUCCGGCGGAGCGCCGGAAAAGGCUCUAAGAUGGGAUCUCACGUGUACAGAAGGUUGCGGCGGUGGAAUAGGUUUUUGUGGUGCUCCAGGAUGUUUUCAGGGUACGUAGAUAUAUAUAGGCGAAGGAAGUCGGUCAGGGGAGCCUCGAGGGUCCCAUGAGGGUGGGGGCCACGCCCACCCCCUAGGGCGCGCCUGGCACCCUCGUGGCCGCCUCUGCUGCUUCUUCAUGGCCUUUUCUCAUUUGCUUCUUAUUGAUAUUUCUUUCAACAUUGUAUUAGCGCUUGUCGCUAGCUUUCCAACAAACUUGGUUUCAUCGAAUUCGGAGUCCGCCAAUCGAAUUAUUUGGGUCUACUCGUUAUCAGUGGGAUCAGGGAUACUUUCAGCAAGAAAUAUAUCAAAGAGUUAGCAAUGGUUUAGCCGAAAAUCUUAGUUUAUCAGAAGCUUGGUCUAAAAUUCCCGAAAAAUUAGCCUUUUGUUUGCAAAAGUUGUGACAGUUUUGGUGUUCUGAAAAGGCUGCAGGGGUACUACCGCGAAUUGGAGCGGAUGUAAUUUUUUUACUACCGCUCCAGAGCGGUACUACCGCGGCUCCUACAGUGGUAGUACCGCUUCGGACCAAAAACUCGUCCCAAGUCCUGCGGUGGUAGGCCCGGAUGUAAUUUUUUAGUACCGCUCACAAACAGUAGUACCGCUACCCUUAGCAGUAGUACCGCUACCCCUAGCGGUAGUACCGUGAGGUCAAGCGGUACUACCGCUCCGACGGUUCUUCUGGCCUUUUUGCCUCCUUGUUGUUGUGUUUCGAAGGGGUACUACCGCCCUAGCGGUAGUACCGCUCCUUGGAGAGGUAGUACCGCUCUGUGCGGGCUGUGAGCAUAACGGUUGGAUUUUUUCCCACCUAUAAAAGGGGGUCUUCUUCCCCAUUGAACCUCAUCCCUUGAGCUCGUGUUCUUCCCCCAUUGUUGACCUUCUUCGAGCUUGCUAACUCUCAAUCCCUCCAUGGAUUCUUGCUAGUUUUUGAGGGAAAAGAGAGAGGAGAUCUAGAUCCACAUUUCCACCAAUCACUUUCUCCUCUAUGUGAGGGGAACCCCUUGGAUCUAGAUCUUGGAGUUCUUGGUGUUAUCCUUCUUGUUCUUCCUCUCAUCUUCCUCCCUAGCAUUAGUUGCCUUGGUGGGAUUUGAGAGAGAAAGACUUGGGCACUCCGUGUGCCCUUGCCAUUGCAUUUGGUGCAUCGGUUUGAGUUCUCCACGUGAUACAUGGAAGUUACAAGUUGAGAAGCUUAUUACUCUUGGGUGCUUGGUACCCUUGAGCUUGUUACUCUUGGGUGUUUGUACACCCUAGAGCUUGUUCCUCUUGGGUGCCUUGGCGCCCUAGACAAUUGGUGUUGUUCGGAGCUCAAUCAUUGUGGUGUAAAGCUCCGGGCAAGCGUCGGGAUCUCCAAUUAGGUUGUGGAGAUCACCUCGAGCAAUUUGACGGGUACCGGUGACCGCCCCCAAGGGUUGCCAAAGUGUACGGGUUCGGUGACCGCCCCCAAGGGUAGCCAUUUGUACGGGUUCGGUGACCGCCCUCAAGGGUCCCUUAGUGGAAUCACGGCAUCUUGCAUUGUGCGAGGGCGUGAGGAGAUUAUGGUGGCCCUAGUGGCUUCUUGGGGAGCAUUGUGCCUCCACACCGCUCCAAACAGAGAUUAGCAUCCGCAAGGGUGUGAACUUCGGGAUACAUCAUCGUCUCCGCGUGCCUCGGUUAUCUCUUACCGGAGCCCUUUACUUAUGCACUUUACUUUGUGAUAGCCAUAUUGUUCUUUGUCAUAUAUCUUGCUAUCACAUUGUUGCUUAUCUUGCUUAGCAUAAGUUGUUGGUGCACAUAGGUGAGCCUAGUUGUUUUAGGUCUUGUGCUUGACAAAUUAACCGCUAGGUUUAUUCCGCAUUUGUUCAAGCCUAAACCGUAAUUAUUUUAAAGCGCCUAUUCACCCCCCUCUAGGCGACAUCCUCGAUCUUUCAAUUGGUAUCAGAGCCUCAUCUCUCUUUGUUAGGCUUAACCGCCUAGAGAGUAUAGAUGUCGACUAGGGGAUUAGGAUUCUCUGACACUCUUAGUUUCGAUGGCACAAAUUUUGAUGUUUGGGUAAUUCGCAUGCUUAACCACUUUAGGGUCAUGGACCCAAAUUUAGAGCGAAUUGUACAUAUGGGUUUUUCUCCUCCAAAGGAUCCCCAAAGAUUAUCUUUAGAGGAUGAGAAAAACUCUUAUCUCAAUGCCCAUGCUUCUAAUGUGCUUUUCGAUGCUUUGAGCGAUGUAGUUAUAUUUCAACUCAUGCCAUUCCGGGAUGCUCAUGAGUUAUGGACAAAGCUUCAAGAUAAAUAUGGUGUGUCCAAUAUUUGUGGGGAUGAUUGUUCUCCCUCCUCCUUCGACUGUGUUGCCUUCUCAACUUCUUCUACUUCACCUACAUGUGGAUUUCCACAAGGUAAUGCUAGGGUGAGUAGUGGUGGUCAUUGCAAUGAUGAUAGUGUGCUUGUUCUUGGUGAUUCUUCAUCACUAUCUUAUUGCAAUGGUCCUUCUUUGGACUUUAACACUUCGAGCACCUUACAUGUUUCACAUGCUCGUGUUGGUAGUCCUUGCAUAUCAUGUAGAAAUUGCUUGCUCAAAUAUCAUGAUGAUAUGCUUGCUAUGUCUUGUUGCCAUGAUAAAAAUGUAUCUAUUUCCUCGAGUUGUUGUGCUAACAAUGUAGAGGAAACUCAACACUCCAUGGAACAAUAUGUGGUAUUGAAUGGUGCUUCAAGGGAUCCUACAUCAUCAUCUAUUGCAUUUUGCCUUAUGGCCAAGGCCUCAAAGGUAUCUCCCACUUUGAAUCCCAAUAUAUCUUGUGAUGAUAUUGAUGAUGGCAAGAAUGAUGAUGAUGUUGAUUAUGAUGAAGGGAAUGAUAAUGUUGCCUCCUUAAAAAUUAAGGGGGAAAUGGUUUUUAAAGCUCUUCAUAAAAAUAAAAUUGCUAGUUCCAACUUCAUGGAAAUUAUGUCCAUUGCCAUUGAGGGCAAGAAAUAUAUUGAGGAGUUGGAAUCUCAUCUCGAGGAGCAUGAGGUCACCAUUGAGAAAAUGGAAGGUCAUGAGCGUGAUUACGCUAAUGAGAUUGCGGACCUCUCUCAAGCUCUUGAACUUGAACAAACCACAAAGGAAUCUCUUGAGGAGACUUUUGCUCUAGAAUUAUCUAGAGUAAGGGGAUCUCUUGAUAGAGCUCUUGAGGUGGCGAAUGAUUUUGAAACUAAAAAUGAGGAUCUUGAAGUUGCGCAUGCUAAACUCCUUGAGGACUUUGAGCACCUCGAAAAUGGCUCAAGGGUCAUUAAGAGUGAGCUCAUCGAACUCAUCGAGUCUCAUGCUCAACUUAAAGCUUCAUAUUCAAAAGAGCUUGCCAAAUUGUCUUCUCCUCUUGUUGCUAAUGAUGAUGCUUGUGCUACUAACUCUAUCUCUUGUGAAGCAUCCAUAUUGAAGGAUAAUGUUGAGCUACGGGCUCAACUUGAGUUGCUAUCUAGCAAAUAUGGGAAAUUGGAAGAAAGUCAUGAAAAGCUCUCAAACUCUCAUGAUGAUCUUCUAGUAUCCCAUAAUGUGCUAAAGAUAGCUCAUGAUGCCAUGCAUGCUAAGGUAACAUCUAGUGAGCCUCAUGUGGAUACUAGCACUACAUCUAGUCAAAGUGCUAUAUUGCCAUGUGCUAGUCCUUGUAAUUCAUAUACUCACAAUGUUGGUACAUCUUGUGAUGAAUUGCUUUCCUUGCCUUGUUGCUCAAACGAUGAAGCUUAUACUUUCUCUAGUACUUGUGUUGAGACUAACCAUGUAGAGGAAAUCAAAGAGCUCAAGGCCCAAGUCACUUCUUUGAAGAAAUACUUGGAAAAGUGUCAUGAAGGGAAGGCCACACUCAACAAUAUCUUGAGUGUGCAAAAAUCCCCGAAUGACAAAGGUGGACUUGGAUUCAACUCCAAUAAGAAGAAGAAGUCCAAGAGCAACAAGAAGAAGGGCCAAAAACAAGUCAAGAAUUCGGCCAAGCUCAUUUGCUUCAAGUGAAAAAUUGAAGGGCAUCAUGUUAGAUCUUGCCCUUUAAAGAAGAAGGCCAUUAGUGACAAGCAACAAGGGAAGCGGCCACAAGUUCACUCUCAUUCUCAAUCUCAAGUUGAGAAAUCAAGUGAGAAGAAAGUAAAGAGUAGAUGUUGCUACCUAUGUCGUGAAAAAGGUCAUGUCGCUUCUUCAUGCACAAACGGUACCUCAUCCAACCCAAUUAUCAUUGAUGAUGUCUAUUAUCUUGGGAAGGAUAAGGUUGGCAAUGUGUUUGCCAAGUUUGUUGGUACUCAAAGUGGUUUGAAGCAAAGAACCAUUUGGGUAGCCAAGCCUAUUGUGACUAACCUCUUAGGACCCAACUUGGUUGGGGACCAACUAGCUCAAACUUGAUCAAUAGGUGUUGUUGGAGGGCAUUGGACACUUGGCUACAUUAUGAAGAAUUAAGGGGACUUCAUCACUCUUAUUGCCUCAAGCCAAGUCAAUUGAAUCAUCAAGCUUAUAUCUUAUAUCCAAUGUGCCUCCUUGCGGUAACUUGUACUUAAAUUGUUUACAUUGAAAGUUACUUGCCCCCAUGCAUGUGUUGGUUUUGUUCCUUGCAUGUGUUUGUAUAUGUUGUGCUUCCAACUUGCUUAUCUUGAGCAAUCAAGUAUGUGUGUGUUGGUUUGCACAUCAUGUACGUGUGUGUCGUGCAUUGAGCCUUUUUGCUUCUUGCUUGUAUCCUAGUUGGCUCGUGUGAGAGAUUAAUGGAACAUCCCAUUUUGGGGGAGUGAUGUGCUUUGUGCACCUCACAAUCCUAUAAAUGUGUGUACAUGAGGAAUACCAUCUAGUAUUGAUAUUACAAGAUUAUCUAGUUGCUAGGUGGUACAUCUCUCAUGAGAAAUUCAAAUUCUAAAAGUCCAUUGACUAUCUCUCGUUGGAUCCUCUUAUUGCCUCUUGUUAAGUUUUCUUUGGUAUCACAUUAUGGGGGAGUAAUAUGCUAUGUGCAUAUUACAAGCCUAGAAAAUGUGUACAUUUGAGAUAUUGUCACUUAGAGUUGAUAUUAUUAAUUAUAUUGUUCCUAGGUGACAUGUUAGCUCUACAAGUGGCAAUUUGCUUAUGUUUGUUGUGAAGAUGAUGUUGGAUAUCCUUGCUAUCUACCACCGGGAAUUAUUUCCAAAUACUUCUUGUCUUUUGACAAUUGGUACUCACUUAUGUGUGGUAGAAAUUAUUGAUCAUCUUCACAUUGGCGUUUGCUUUUUAUUUGCCUUAUCUCUUGCCAAGUUUGUGUCAACUCCCAUUACCUUCCAUGCCACUUGAGGAUCUUGUUGUUUUCUUGAUCUUGUCUAGUGUUUUCCUUGAUAUAGUGAACGUGGUGAUCCUACCUUAUGCAUUUUGUAUUCAAAUGCAAUUUCUCUAUAAUGCACAACUCAUGGGGGAGCUAUCCUAUUUUCUAUAAAACACUAAACUUGUGAUCCAUUUUAAGUGUGUGUUGGUGGACAGCAAGCUGUUUCUUUUUGGUACUUGUGCCAUCAUGAAACUUUGUAGAGAGCUUGGUUUGUUUGGAACCAUCCUCUCUUUUGGGAGUUUGAUAUCAUUUUGUGGGUUCCAAUGGAUAUCUCAUUCCUUGAUGUAUCUUUUAAUGAUAUCUUCCAAGUGAUGAUUUCUCCAUUUGGUAUUCUUUUCACUUGGUAUUUCCUUGUAUUUUGGUAUCGGUUCUUGAAAGUCUUGAGCAUGCAUAUUAAAUUCAUGUAGUUUCCUUGGCAUGCUUUCUCUCUUUGACCCAAUAUACAGGGGAAACUCCACCAAGUCUCAAAUUGGAUGAGAUGAGCAUGAAUUUCAUUUCCAUAUCUAUAUGCACAUAUUUAUGUGGAGUUUGUCGUAUGUAUUGUUGGUGUUUCUAACUCUUUGGUCCCAAUGAGUUUGGGUACCAUUUUGUUUGUGUUGUUGUUCUAGGAAAAAUUGGAGAUGCAUUGGAUGCUCGGCUCACUCACAAGGAAGGUAUUGUCACUGAGGGAGUCCUGGACUAGGGGGUGUCCGGACAGCCGGACUAUCAUCAUCCGCUGGACUCCAAGACUACGAAGAUACAAGAUUGAAGACUCUGUCCCGUGUCCGGAUGGGACUUUCCUUGGCGUGGAAGGCAAGCUUGGCGAUACGGAUAUGUAGAUCUCCUACCAUUGUAACCGACUCUGUGUAACCCUAGCCUCCUCCGGUGUCUAUAUAAACCGGAGGGCUUUAGUCCGUAGGACACAACAACAUACAUUACAACAAUCAUACCAUAGGCUAGCUUUAGGGUUUAGCCUCCUUGAUCUCGUGGUAGAUCCACUCUUGUACUACCCAUAUCAUCAAUAUUAAUCAAGCAGGACGUAGGGUUUUACCUCCAUCGAGAGGGCCCGAACCUGGGUAAAAACAUCGUGUCCCUCGUCUUCUGUUACCAUCCGCCUAGACGCACAGUUCGGGACCCCCUACCCGAGAUCCGCCGGUUUUGACACCGACAUUGGUGCUUUCAUUGAGAGUUCCUCUGUGUCGUCAUCGAUAGGCUUGAUGGCAUCUUCAACCAGCAGCGCUGUCCUGGGUGAGACUUUUUUCCCCGGACAGAUCUUCGUAUUCGGCGGCUUCGCACUGCGGGCUAAUUCGCUUGGCCAUCUGGAGCAGAUCGAAAGCUACGCCCCUGGCCGUCAGGUCAGAUUCGGAAGCCUAAACUUCACGGCCGAUGUCCGCGGAGACUUGAUCUUCGACGGACUCGAGCCACAGCCGAGAGCGCCGCACUGCUACGAUGGGCAUGAUCUAGCUCUGCCGCCGAACAGUGCCUUGGUGGCCGCACAUGAAUCCGCUUCGGCCAUCAGUCCGGAGCCGAUCGCCCAGAUCGAGGAUCGGUGGGUAGACGCCGCCUCAGGGGCUUCAACUUCCACGGCGAUGGAGCCGAACAUCGAUCUUGUCCCCCGUGAAACUCGUGAUUCCGAGGCGCCGGACUCCUUGCCGGACUCUGAACCUCCCGUGCCCUUACCAAUCGAUUUGGAUUGGGCACCGGUUAUGGAAUUCACCGCCGCGGACAUCUUCCAACACUCGCCCUUUGGCGACAUCCUAAAUUCGCUAAAAAAUCUCUCUUUAUCGGGAGAGUCCUGGCCGGACUAUGGCCAGGACAGUUGGGAUACAGACGACGAAGAAAUUCAGAGCCCACCCACCACCCACUUUGUAGCCACUGUCGACGAUCUAACCGACAUGCUAGACUACGACUCUGAUGACAUCGACGGACUAGACGACGAUGCCAGAGACGAACAAGAAACAGAGCCUAUAAGGCAUAGGAGGACCACCCCGUCACAUGACAUAUACAUGGUGGAUACCCCAAAAGAGAGCGAUAACGAGGACCAACGGGCCGUGGCAGAAGAUAACCCCGCCGAUAAACAACCAAAACGGCGGCGCAGACGCCGCCCUAAGUCCCGCCUCGACAAUAACAACGCUCCUAAGGAGCCCGCAAUAAAGCAGGGCUCACAAGUGGACAACGAAUAUGCAGAUAAGCAACUGUCCGAACACGACGAGUCAGAUAAUCAGUCCAGGCCCGACGAAAACAACAGUCCGGACGAUCUCGUGCCGGACACACCGCCGGAGAGCAAAAACAUUCGGAAAAGACUCGUCAACACUGCAAGAAGCCUGAAGAAAGAAAAGCGGAAGCUCAAAACAGCGGAAGACACACUCAGAAUGAGAUGGAGCAAAGUACUCAAGACCACGGACAAAUACGGCAAUGGUCACCAAUCAAAGAGCUACCCGAAGCGCAAGCUGCUACCAGAAUUCGACGAAGAAGCCAUAGAGCCUCCACCGUCAAGAAACAAAAAGGCUGCCUGGUUGGAUAGACAGCCAGAUGAUAGGCCACAUUCUGAAAGCGGCACCGCACAUAAGGAACCUGGAAAGACAGAUAGCCCACCCAGGUCCAUCUACGGGCCAAAAAAGAAGGCCCCAGGAAGUAAGGCAACACGUCAAGUGUCCGAAGACAGUGGCGCACCCAAAUACAGGGGUGCCGCACACCCACUAUGUUUCACCGAUGAGGUGCUGGAUCAUGAAUUCCCAGCAGGAUUCAAACCCAUAAACAUAGAAGCCUAUAAUGGAACAACAGACCCUGGAGUCUGGAUAGAAGAUUACAUACUACAUAUACACAUGGACAGAGGAGAUGAUCUCCACGCCAUAAAAUACCUACCCCUCAAGCUCAAAGGGCCAGCUCGUCAUUGGCUUAAAAGCCUCCCAGAAAACACUGUGGGAAGCUGGGAAGAGCUCGAGGAAGCGUUUAGAGCAAAUUUUCAAGGGACCUAUGUCCGCCCCCGGAUGCAGAUGAUUUAAGUCAUAUAGCUCAACAGCCCGGAGAGUCAGCGCGCAAAUUCUGGAACAGGUUCCUCACCAAAAAGAACCAAAUAGUCGACUGUCCGGACGCCGAAGCCUUAGCAGCUUUCAAACACAAUGUCUGGGACGAAUGGCUUGCCAGACACCUCGGCCAAGAAAAACCGAGGACAAUGUCCGCGCUAACAAGCCUCAUGACCCGCUUCUGUGCGGGAGAGGAUAGCUGGCUAGCGAAAUGCAGCACCAGCGACCCAAGUACAUCCGAGAUAAGAGAUGGAAACGGAAAAUCGCGGCGCAGAAAAGAGCAGCGCCGGAAUAAAGAGAAAAGCCCAAAGAGCACGGCAGUCAACGCCGGAUUCAAAAGCUUGCGGCCAAACAGCAAAACAUUGCCUCUUAAAGACGACGGCGACGAACUGUCCAACUUAAACAAGAUUUUGGGUCGGAUAUGUCAAAUCCACAGCACCCCCGGAAGGCCUGCAAACCACACCCAUCGGGAUUGUUGGGUUUUUAAACAGUCCGGCCGAUUAAACGCCGAAUACAAGGGGCUCGACGCGUCAAGCGAAGACGAUAAACCCCGCCAGCAGAGCACCGGAAAACAAAAACUUUCCCACAAAGGGUCAAAGCAGUGAAUUCACUUCAUGUGAUAAUACGGAAAAAUAGUGCGGCACUUCCUAAAAAAGAGCUUCGCAUGGACAAACCCAGCAGACCACAGAGAUUGGAUAUCAAAACCAAUCACUUUCGACCAUCUGGACUUUUCCAGAAGCGUUCGAAACGCGGGACGGACUCCCCUGAUAUUGAAUCCCAUAAUAGAUGGAUUACAAUUUACUAAAGUCCUAAUGGACGGAGGCAACGAAUUAAACCUGCUGUAUUCACACACAACCCGUCAGAUGGGGAUAGACCCUACAAAAAUCCGACACAGCCGCACUCCCUUCAAAGGAGCGACGCCAGGCCCUUACGCCAAGAGCACAGGCUCCAUAUUACUAGAUGUCGUGUUCGGAUCACCGAAUAACUCUCGGCGUGAAAAACUAAUUUUUCACAUCGUCCCAUUUGAAAGUGAAAAUCAAGCACUCUUGGGACGAAAGGCUUUCGUCCAUUUCAACGCCAUACCGCAUUACGCGUCUCUUACGCUCAAGAUGCCAGGUCCGCGUGGCAUCAUUUCAGUGCGAGGGUCACUCAAAGACCCCGGACUCGGAUAGACGAGUCCGGCUUCAGCAGGCUAGGGGUUCCCUAGCCGCACACCCCUUCACAGGGGGCUGCGCACACAAACAAUCACGGGUUCAAAUAAACCCCGCUUUAUUUAUUUAUAUUCCUUCUUUCACAGAUACAUCUUUCGCACAAAUUGUUUUCAAACUGAAAUGUUCCUCUCCUUUUACAGAUGAACAACGUGCAUACCCGUCCAGGAUAACGGUGCAACGGAGACACAGGCGCAGACGUGCAGUAGGGACCCGUUGUGAGGAUUCUUUUCAGAUUAAGACCCUGCGUAAACCUUUUUUUACUGUCUCUUGUUGUUAUUCUCCCUCGGCUCUCUUCCUAUAGCCAAUGCGGAGCCUGACGUUUUGGCAUCGGCCGCGUCAGAAGACUACGCCCGUACCUGGACACAAGGGGCUUAGGGCGUUGUUCUGCCCAUUAUAAUAAAGACUGGACACCUUCGGGAGUGUUCGGCGUCUCGAGUUAGGCAUUAUAUGCAUCAGCUCCGAAUCAUGUCUUUGGUAAAAUGUUGGGUUUGCCCGGCUCAUGUGUUUUGCUGCCUUACGUUUCGUAUCAUCGGCUAACGCGGCACCAGGAGAACUACUGCGAUUGUGCCCCAGUUCGGCUGGGCGAGCACCUCAGUAGAGAAAGCCGAAAACUGACUGUCAUGAUAUAGCGAGAGUCUGGUCAACCACUCGAUCGACCACCGGAAUGUUUAGAAUUCCCCGCCUUGACGAAGGACCGUUUCCCGGUCAGGCACACAUGCGCCCCGAAUUCGGAGAAGUGCGGUGCCCUAAGGGGCUAUAUCGUAGCCCCACCCUCGAGCUCCACAGGCUAAGUGAAAGUGAUAAAGCAUUAUAGUCCGGAUUGCCUCGUUUGCUACGCUACCACCUCCUUAACAGGACCGAGACGUCGGAUUAAGUAUGAAAACGCGCUAUUUUUGCGAACACCCCCGCACCUCGUGCGUGGGGGCUGAAGCCGAAGACUGCAAUCUUUCAGGUUAUACAAACGUAUACGUAAAUGGCCGCAUAGGAGAAGUUUCAUUACUUGGGACGCACAAGUAUAAAAAGCAGUCAUAGCAUAAUCAUUGUUUUUACAAGCUAAAAACGUUCAUUUGAACGUGACAUUUUUCGAGCACUGCGACUCUAUAACACGAGCGCCACGCAUAACUUCGCCGAAAUAGUGCUCGGCGGGGAGCCGGUUUUCAUCCGAUCCCUGGGCGGCAAUAGCGGUGGCAUCCAUCUCCGUCCAAUGCGCCUUCACGCGGGCAAGAGCCAUUCGCGCGCCCUCGAUGCAGGCCGACCGCUUCAUCUCCUUGAUAUGCGGCACCGCCCCAAGGAAUUGCUGCAGUAAGCCGAAGUAGCUCGUCGCCUUGGGCCUUUCCGGCCAGACAUGAGCCACGACGUCAGUCAUGGCAAGUCCGGACAACCUAUUUAGCUCGGCCCAUUCGGCCAACCGGUCGGUCAACGGAAGUGAGCAAUCCGGACUAUGGAAUUGAGACCAAAAUAGCUCUUCCGUCUCGUGAUCCUUCUGGCUCCGGAAGUGCUCAGCGGCAUCCGCCGCACUUGCCGCUAAGUCCAUAUACGGAUCCUCCGGACUCCACAGCCGAUCAAAUUGAGCAUACUUUUGAUCCAUAAACCGGCGACGCAGUAGAUAAGGCUUGCCAGCCACGAUAUCUCCGGCCUGGCGCAGUUCCUCCUUCAUGGCCCGCAUCGCAGAUCGGGCAUCCUUGGCUUCGGCGGUGGCCUUCCUCAGGUCUUCCCGCUCCGAUAAACGCUCCUUUUCAAGAGCCUCACUGCGGUCGGCAGCAUCCUUCACUUUCACAGCCAAUUCGGCAACCUCUUCCCUGCUUAGGCAGUGCGCAGCCUUUUUGGCUUUCAACUCCUCGGCCGCCCUCGAGGCAGCCGCGUCACUCCUUCGGGCUUGCUCCUUAGCUUGGGCAAGUUCGGCCCGAAGGUUCUCCACAGCAGCAGCACCGUCUGUAAAACAGCAUAUAAUUUAUCAAGAAGAGGGCUUUGACCUCCUUAAUAAAGCGACUGCGGAGAACUAAUUUACCUUGCAACUCGUCAAGUCGCCGGUUAACGAGCGCGAUGUCCGCAUCCGCCACGUCAAGUUGCCGCAUUAACUCGGCAACUCCACUAGUCCGGCUAUCCCUCGGACUAUCCGCCACCUGCAUAGGAAUGGCGACAUUAAUCAUCUAAGAUUUUGAUCAUCGGCACGCUGUCGUCUUCGACAACCUACCGAGUCUCGGGGGCUACUAUCUAUACAGGGCGCAUUUUCAUAUGCAAAACUAUUAAUAAACAAAGAGAUGCGUUAUUUUCGCGUACCUCAAACCCCGCCAGCAAGCUCAUAGCGGCAUUGCGCAAUCCGCUCUCGGCGGACGAAAUCCUUCCAAUCACCACACGCAUCAAUGCACGGUGAUCUUCUGAGAUGGACGCCCUCUCAAACAGAUUCUUCAGUUCUCCCGGCCGAAUACUAGUGGGUGUCGAACUCUCUGGCCCCUCCGGACUCGGGGAUACCCUCCGCGACGAUACUUCAGGCUCGCCCGCCUUAUCUGACGGCGCAGCAAACGGAGGCGUUUCGCUCUCCAUCAUCUCCGGAAGAAGGUCCCCCGAAGAUGAACUCAUCUGAGAAGGCUGCAGAUCCGAACUACAAGAUAAAUGUUUCGGUUACCCACAGAAGCACAAAUAGAGGUAUUUCCCUACUAAUGGUCUCCCUUUUUUUAUAUACUUACGGCUCGCUGGAGGGCUGAUCCUUUGGCGAUGAUUGUGCGUCCGGAUCUUCUCCGGACGCCGGACCCCCCAGUGAAGAUUUCUUCCCCCGCUUAGGGGCUUUGGCCUCCGGAUCUUUGGAGGCGGUCCUCUUCUCCCCUUGGGAGGAGGGGUUUUUUCCCCUCUCUUCAGACGCCCCUCGGGGCGAAAUAAUAGCUCCUUUAUUUCCCCAUCGCCCCCUUCCGUGGGCGCAACCUCCAACAUUCUGACCAGCAGGGGCUCCAGUGCGGUCUCUGGGAGGGGGGCCGGACACCUUAUCAGCCUCGAUUGCGCUACCCACUCCUGUGAAGAGUAAUGGGUCAAGAGGCGAACUCUAGAAAAGAAGAUAAACAGAGCGUCCGGACUAUGAGCUAUUUACCUGGGUAUCCGGGCGAUCGCGGCUUAGGCCUGCGUCCUCGGCCAACUCCGAGCACGCUACCUGCGGCCCGAAGAACAACUUGUACAUCUCCACGGGUGUCGCACCCAUGAAGUGUUGGAGAAUUCGAGGUCCCUCCGGGUUGAAUUCCCAUAGACGGAGAGGACGGCGUUUGCAGGGCAGAAGGUGCCUGAUUAGCAUAACCUGCAUCACUACAAUCAGAUUGAUCUCCCUCGUCUGGAGAUCUCGAAUCCGGCCCUGCAAUAGGGGCACGUCUUCGGACGGCCCCCAGUUGAGCCCUUGGUUGACCCAUGACAUCAGUCGACGUGGAGGUCCCGGGCGGAAUGGAGGCGGUGGCUUUUGUUUGCUACCCUUCGGAGCGGUGAUGUAAAACCACUCCUGCUGCCACAGCCCGAGCUCCUCUUGGAAGGAACCCUCGGGCCACGGGGCGUCGGCCUUUUUGCUUAUGGCCGCCCCACCACACUCCGCUUGACGCCCCCCGAUCAUCUUCGGCUCCACAUUGAAGGUCUUCAACCACAGGUCGGAGUGGGGAGUGACGCGGAGGAAAGCUUCGCAGAUGAUAAUGAAUGCGGAGAUAUGGAGGAUGGACUCCGGAGCCAAGUCGUGAAAGUCCAGCCCGUAGUAGAACAUGAGCCCUCUCACGAAGGGGUCCGUCGGGAAGCCUAAGACCCGACGGAGGUGGGACACGAAGACAACGAACUCACCGGGCUCAGGGGCAGGCACGGCCUGCCCUUGGGCGGGCAACCUGUGCAAAAUCUCGUAGGUCAGGUACUUCGCCUCGCGUAACUUUAAUAUGUCCUCCUCCGUGACGGAGGAGGGCACCCACCGGCCCUGGAGGUCGGAGCCGGACAUGACUGAGAAUCCGAAGCGCUCGAAUCUGAAGCUCUGGGUGUUGGAACUAGGAGCGAGGAGAAGAUUCGAUGCGAGAUUGAAGAAACAAGGACUGGCCUUGGUCCUCUUAUAAAGGGGGAAAAAUACCAAGAGCCGUCUCCGUGACCGUUCGGGAUUCACCUUCGAUAGAGGAGGCGUGGCGACGGGAACGGUUGGGUUACCCACGCACGUAUUGAUGAGAAUCCCGGAAUAAGGGGAACACGAUCUCUGCUUCGACAAGACGCGCCAAGGAAACCGCUUCGCUAAACGUGCUGAGGUGGUACGAAGUAAAAAAUGAUUCAAACAAUGGCUUGGUAGCGGUGUGAUGUCACGCCGCAUAAUACGUCAGCAGAUUGAACUAGUGUAUAUUUUAUUCACUCUACGGUGGAAUGUGGAAUUUAUUUUGCAGAGCCGGACACUAUCCUGGUGUUCACGAUCUUCUCUGGAUUAUUCAAGGAAGGAACCCGCCUUGCUAUGCCGAACAUUAUGCGCGCCGGACUUAUCGUCAUUGAAGCCUGGUUCAGGGGCUACUGAGGGAGUCCUGGACUAGGGGGUGUCCGGACAGCCGGACUAUCAUCAUCCGCCGGACUCCAAGACUACGAAGAUACAAGAUUGAAGACUCGGUCCCGUGUCCGGAUGGGACUUUCCUUGGCGUGGAAGGCAAGCUUGGCGAUACGGAUAUGUAGAUCUCCUACCAUUGUAACCGACUCUGUGUAACCCUAGCCUCCUCCAGUGUCUAUAUAAACCGGAGGGCUUUAGUCCGUAGGACACAACAACAUACAUUACAACAAUCAUACCAUAGGCUAGCUUUAGGGUUUAGCCUCCUUGAUCUCGUGGUAGAUCCACUCUUGUACUACCCAUAUCAUCAAUAUUAAUCAAGCAGGACGUAGGGUUUUACCUCCAUCGAGAGGGCCCGAACCUGGGUAAAAACAUCGUGUCCCUCGUCUCCUGUUACCAUCCGCCUAGACGCACAGUUCGGGACCCCCUACCCGAGAUCCGCCGGUUUUGACACCGACAGUCACCAUGUGCUUAUUGGAGUCAAGCUAGGAUGAUCAAUGAACUACUUUCUACUUUCAAUUGGUAUCUUCUACAUCAUUCCAAUGAUAUCUCGGUAACAAGUAUCAUCAUCUACUUCAUGCACACAUUUCUUGCAUCAACCUUGUGUAGGUUGUAUCAUGGCAUGUUUUCAUUCUUUCUUGUGAUACUUGUUUCCUUUCUCAAAGCAUCCCAACAAUGAUCUCUUGUUGCUAGUUGUGAUGUCUUUGAUGGUUGUGUGGUAGGAAUUCAUUUAUAUACAAUAAGACCAUAUCUAGCCAUGUGAUAUGCUUCCAAGCAAAUAUCUUAUUGGUAUAUGUAUGACUUCCUUUUGGAUAUCUUAUUCCUUCGUGUUGUAACUAUGUCGGGUGUACAUCCUUCUUUGUAGACAUAUAUCAUCAUGAUUUCGUCUGCCUAGAACCUUAUACAUCUGAGAGAAAUUACAUCUCUAGAUGAUAUCCUUUCUUUCACGUCCACCUUGUCUUUCUUAUGUUAUUUCUUUGGUUGCUCCGUGAAAGCUUUUGCCUUGAGUGCGUGUCUUCUAUCGUUGCAUCUUGAUGCACUCUUGUGUGGUGAAGAUUAUUUUCCUCAUGCUUAUCUUUACGAGGCUUUUGCCAUCUUAAUUGGUAUCCCUCGUCUUGAUGAGGCUUUCAUCUUCCAUCUUCACCACGGGUUGUCACAAGCAUAGGUUCUUUAUAUGCUUAUUAGUAAGCUUGUGAACCCAUUUGCUAGUUGUGUGUGGGAAUGAUAGGCCUUGCACCGUGUUCCUCAUUCUUUCAAGACUUUAUUGAUGCUUAAUGCUCAUCCGUACAUUAGUCUUCUCAAGUGCAUUGCCUUGACUCACACACAUCAUUUUGGUUGAGCCCAUUCUUAAGUUGCCUCUUUUACUUGUUGCUCAACCAUGUGUUUGUUGCAAGUACUAGGCUUUAUUUCCUAUAUGCUCACUUGCACUUGUUGUAAGUAUCUAUUGAUUUUGGGGGAGCUAUGAUCCUAUUUUGUGCACUUUGUAUCCAAAUGCAAAUAUUCUUAUGUGUGCACAAAUCAUGCGGAGCUUCUCUAGUUUCUUUAGAACACUCCUUUGCUCAUAUCAUAAUAUCCUUUAUUCAUGUGGCUCGCAGGAUCUUUGGUCUAGUUGAUUCAAUUGAUAUCCUUUGAUUGCUUGCUUCAAUUGGUACCUUUUGAUUGCUUGAUUGCUUGUGUCUCACUUUGUUAUGUCCUUGUGGCAUAUCAUUCUUUAGCAAUCUUUGUGCCUUAAUAUAGUUUGUGUUCCUCCAAGUAUUUACCGUUGGAUAUGUGUAUUGCAUUCCACUCUCUUGUGGAGAAAUACACAAUUUAUGGAGGACCACAAUUUAUAUUGGCCUUCUUAGCUUUUCGCCCAUUUUGGCAAUCGAUGCCAAUGGGGGAGAGGUUUCAGAGAGUUUUGUGGAGAAGUUUAGAGAGUUAUCUCCUCUUGCUUUGGUUUUGUUCAGUAGCAUUUGCAUCUCAUACGCAUGCACUAUUGGUUGUUGCAUUGCAUAGUGAAGCAUAAUUCCUUAUAUAAACUCUCUUGAAAGUGAUUUCAUCAAUUACCAAAAUGGGGGAGAUUGAAAGAACAUGCGGUGCCCCCAUGUUUGGUUUUGGUAAUUGAUGACAAUCUCUAUGGACUAAUGGUUGUCUUGAGUUAUAUUUGAAGGAUUUGUCCAUAGGCUUUUCUUUAAGUCCAUGUGUUGGUUUCAAGGAGUUUAUGAGUUGACCAGGGUGCUAUUAAGGAAUUAUCCAAAGAUUGGUCAUGUGAGUGUUGAGCUUAUUGCAAGCAUGUCUUGAAGAAGAAGAUUGUGUGAUCAUUCAUGUUUACCUUAAAGACAUCAUCCAAAUGAAGAGAGUUGGAAAGAUUCAAGGUUCAUCAAGACUAAGUCAAGAGUGAAUCAAGUUGAUCAACUCACAAAGCGUAGAAGAUGUACCGAGAGGGAUCAAGUGAUCCCAUGGUAUGUUAAGCAUUGUCCAUUGCACUUUGUGUACUAACCCAUGGUCUAUGUGAGAGUUCUAUGUGGGGUUAGGUACGUGUCCAUGGGCUUGCGUCAAGAGGAAGAUAUCAUACAACCCAUGGAAAGGAUGACAUCAAGUGGUGAUCGUCAUCAAGAUUGUUGUGUGCAAGUUCAAGUGGAGCAUCAUGAAGAGAUCAAGUGCUUGAAUCUUGCCAUCCAUUGUGGUGUCAAUGGACUUGUGAAGAUGUGCCGAAGAGUGGCUCACCCAUAGUGGACUAUUGGGGAGCAAUCAUCUAGUCUUCAUUGAGCCAACGCAAUCAAGAAAGGUGGUCCAACUUGAGGGAGUCAAGAUCGUCAUCAUCUAGCUCAAGUGGACCAUGUGAAAGGCAAAGGUUUGCCCUUGAUAUGUUUUCUAUUUUACGGGUCUCGUGGUGGUAGUUGGGAGACCGGGUUAUAUGAUCGUUUGCCGUACUAUCAAGGGGGGCUCUCAAGUUGGUAGCUUGAUCAUAUCGUUAGUGGAGACCUCAAACCAUUGCAUCCUUGCAUCAUGUUUCUUGGUUCUUGUUUGGUUCUCUUUGUGAGUCUUAGAGCUUAUGGUCAUCUUGAUGACAAGCUUGACUUCAUCGAAAACGGAGUUCGCAUGCGUCUUCUAUGAUUUUUUCGGUGUUUGAAGAUUUUACCGGUCUUAUCCGAGGAAGGGUUCUCACCAUUUUCUUAUGGGUCUUUUCUCAUUUGCUUCUUACUGAUAUUUCUUUCAAGAUUGUGUUAUUCCUUGUCGCUAGCUUUCCAACAAAAUUGGUUUCAUCGAAUUCGGAGUCCGUUUGCAAAAGUUGUGGCAGUUUUGGUGUUCUGAAAAGGCUGCUGCGGUACUACCGCGAAUUGGAGCGGAUGUAAUUUUUUACUACCGCUCUAGAGCGGUAGUACCGUGGAUCCUACAGCGGUAGUACCGCUCCGGACCAAAAACUCAUCCCAAUUCCUGCGGUGGUAGGCCCGGAUGUAAUUUUUUAGUACCGCCCGCAAGCAGUAGUACCUCUACCCUUAGCAGUAGUACCGCUACCCCUAGCGGUAGUACCGUGAGGUCAAGCGGUACUACCGCUCCGACGGUUCUUCUGGCCUUUUUGCCUCCUCACUGUUGUGUUUCGAAGGGGUACUACCGCCCUAGCGGUAGUACCUCUCCUUGGAGCGGUAAUACCGCUCUGUGCGGGCUGUGAGCAUAACGGUUGGAUUUUUCCCCACCUAUAAAAGGGGGUCUUCUUCCCCAUUGAACCUCAUCCCUUGAGCUCGUGUUCUUCCCCCAUUGUUGACCUUCUUCGAGCUUGCUAACUCCCAAUCCCUCCAUGGAUUCUUGCUAGUUUUUGAGGGAAAAGAGAGAGGAGAUCUAGUUCCACAUUUCCACCAAUCACUUUCUCCUCUAUGUGAGGGGAACCCCUUGGAUCUAGAUCUUGGAGUUCUUGGUGUUCUCCUUCUUGUUCUUCCUCUCAUCUUCCUCCCUAGCAUUAGUUGCUUCGGUGGGAUUUGAGAGAGAAGGACUUGGGCACUCCAUGUGCCCUUGCCAUUGCAUUUGGUGAAUCGGUUUGAGUUCUCCACGUGAUACGUGGAAGUUACAAGUUGAGAAGCUUAUUACUCUUGGGUGCUUGGUACCCUUGAGCUUGUUACUCUUGGGUGUUUGGACACCCUAGAGCUUGUUCCUCUUGGGUGCCUUGGCGCCCUAGACGGUUGGUGUUGUUCGGAGCUCAAUCAUUGUGGUGUAAAGCUCCGGGCAAGCGUCGGGGUCUCCAAUUAGGUUGUGGAGAUCGCCCCGAGCAAUUUGACGGGUACUGGUGACUGCCCCCAAGGGUUGCCAAAGUGUACGGGUUCGGUGACCGCCCCCAAGGGUCGCCAUUUGUACGGGUUCGAUGACCGCCCUCAAGGGUCCCUUAGUGGAAUCACGGCAUCUUGCAUUGUGCGAGGGCGUGAGGAGAUUACGGUGGCCCUAGUGGCUUCUUGGGGAGCAUUGUGCCUCCACACCACUCCAAACUGAGAUUAGCAUCUGCAAGGGUGUGAACUUCGGGAUACAUCAUCGUCUCCGCGUGCCUCGGUUAUCUCUUACCCGAGCCCUUUACUUAUGCACUUUACUUUGUGAUAGCCAUAUUGUUCUUUGUCAUAUAUCUUGCUAUCACAUAGUUGCUUAUCUUGCUUAGCAUAAGUUGUUGGUGCACAUAGGUGAGCCUAGUUGUUUUAGGUCUUGUGCUUGACAAAUUAACCGCUAGGUUUAUUCCGCAUUUGUUCAAGCCUAAACCGUAAUUAUUUUAAAGCGCAUAUUCACCCCUCCCCCCUCUAGGUGACAUCCUCGAUCUUUCAGAGGGAAAUACUUACGCUACUUUGCUGCAUCACCCUUUCCUCUUCAAGGGAAAACCCACAUAGUGCUCAAGAGGUAGCAGUGGGUAGGGCUACCCAGGAGCCGGCGCAUCAAAUCCUAUCGCCCCGGGACCCAGAGGUGGGAGAUUCGGCUGCCACCCACGCAGAUGGAUGGGCACCGAUAUCUGAGCUGGGUGGGGGCCCUAUACUUGGCCUGGUUUCAUUGGACACGGACCCCUAGGUUGAUUUGGUGUUGCCAUGCACGGAUGUGACUACGUACAUGGGAGAGCCAUGCACCGAUGCGCCUCAGUCUAUUAUGGUGGCGCAGCCUGUGCAGUUGGAUGAACUGCACGCGAAUGUUACGGCUAAGUAAUUAGUGGCUCUGGGUAAUAUCAAGUCAUUCUGCGCCGGUCUACUCAAGAAGUUGGCUCCGCCGUUACUCAAGGAGAUCGAGGGUGCCCGUGGCGUAUGGUUGGGCCAGGACCCUUUCACACCAAGGCGGACGACCAGAUCGGUGGUGAGCUCGGUGGGUGGCGGAAGGAAGACAAAGCGAUGGUGGCCGAGACGAUGCUCUUGAAGGCUUUGGGGGUUGCUUGUGAUGAGUUGGCAGUUUUGGAUGACACACUUGGUCUGCUUUGAUCUGUGUUAGACUCACCACUGCAAGAGCAACAAUUGAAAGCCAUUGCAGCGAUCUUCGGGAUGACCGUGCCUACCAACCUAUCGGCACAGUUGGAGUCGACGGCUAUGGUGGUCGCGUAGGCAGGGCCGCGCCACGGUACAAACAUGGAGGAUUUCUUUUUCCCAUGUCAUACAACCCUAUGGAUGUAGUGUGCUGGAAUGUGCGGGGCUUCAAUAGCCUGGUCAAGAAGAAGGCGCUGAGGGAGUUCGUUGAUUCUUUGCGCGUGGCGAUCGUGUGUAUUGUGGAGUCUAAACUGGAACAUGUUGACCAGUAUAUUAUCUUGCAAUGCUCAGGUCCAUCUUAUGAUGGUUUUGCGUACCUCCCGGCGUCCAAGACUAGAGGUGGAAUCGUAGUGGGAUGGGAAUCCUCACAUGUCCAGCUUACUAAUUUUGCCCUUGAUUCCUUCUCUCUGUCUGGAUAUGUUGCACCGAGGGAGGGGAUCCCGUGGUGGCUAUCGUUGGUCUAUGGACCACAAGAAGACGACCAAAAAACUCAGUUUCUCCAGGAGUUGACUGAGAGGAGGACGCUCUGCCCGGGGCCGUGGCUGGUGAUUGGUGACUUUAACAUGUUCUUACAUGCGACGGACAAAAACAACACGCUCCUGGAUCGCAUGAUGAUGGGGAGAUUCAAGGGAUUUGUUGACGAUAACGCACUCAAGGAGUUGUUUCUGCAUGGACGAAAAUUCACGUGUAGCAACAAGAGGGAGGUGUCUACCCUCACCAAGAUUGAUAGGUCAUUUGUAUCAGUUGACUAGGAGCUUAACCAUCCGGACAGUUUGCUGCAAGCUCUCUCGACUGCCUCAUCUGACCACUGCCCACUGUACCUCUCGUUGGAGGAGCGCAUGGACACGAAGAGGAGAUUUCGGUUUGAAUUGUUCUGGACAAAGCUUGAGGUUUUUUUGGAGGUGGUCCAAGAGGCCUGGACCUGUGUCCUUUGGUUGUGGAGCCGUUUCAUUGUUUGGACGUUCUCUCGAGAAACACGGCAAGAGCUCUCACAUCUAGGGGCCAAAGGAAAGUGGGGAAUAUCAAACUCCAGAUUGGGGUUGCUAAGUUGAUCAUCCUUAGACUGGAUUGUGCUCGGGACUCACGUCUUCUUACCCCAGAGGAGAGGUGGUUGCGAAGUAUGCUCAAGAACUUGGUGCUGGGCCUUGCUUCUCUAGAAAGGAUGAUUGCGCGACAGAGGUCCCGGAUACAUUGUCUCAUGGAAGGGGAUGCAAACUCUAAGUUGUUUCAUCUGGUGGCCAAUGGUAGGAAGUCUAAAAACUUCAUUCCAGCCAUCGUAGUGGAGGGCCAGGUCAUCAUGGAUCAAAGAGGGAAAGAGGAGGCAUUCCUCCAAGCAUAUAGGGAGCUGCUAGGAGUGAAUACUGCUAGAGAUCACACUCUGAACCUGGAGGCACUCAACAUACAACAAGUGGACCUCACGGAGUUAGAUCUUCCUUUCACGGAGGAGGAAGUUUGGGCUGUCAUCAAGGAUAUGCCUUCUGAUCGUGCCCCGGGACCGGAUGGGUUCAUAGGAGUGUUCUUCCAAAAAAACUUGGAGCAUCAUCAAAGGAGAUGUGAUGGCAUCGUUGCACAAACUGGUCCUUAAUAAUGGUCAGGGAUUCAGCAGACUGAAUCAGGCCUUAAUCACUCUCAUUCCCAAGAAUCCGGUAGCUUGCCGAGUCAAUGAUUUCAGACCGAUCAGCUUAGUACAUAGCUUUCCAAAACUGGCAUCCAAGUUGAUGGAACACCGAGUCUGCCCGCGGAUGGGAGAGCUUGUGAGCAUUAACCAAUCUGCUUUCAUCCGCGGUAGGAAUCUCCAUGACAACUUUCUUCUUGUGAGGCAAAUGGCCAGAAGAUUGCACCAAAGAAAAGCUAAGGGAGUCCUCCUCAAGUUAGAUAUUGCUUGAGCUUUUGAUUCGCUGUCAUGGCCCUUCCUUUUUGAGGUGCUUCGCACAAAGGGCUUCCCAGAGAGAUGGCUCGCUUGGCUGGCAACUAUGCUCACUACCGCCAGCUCGAGGAUUGUGGUGAAUGGGUGUAUGACAGACAAGUUCAUGCAUGCUUGUGGUCUAAGGCAGGGGGACUCUAUCUCACCACUGCUAUUUGUGAUUGCAAUGGAGACCCUCACGACUAUCAUAAUCAAGGCACAUGAGCUCAAGAUUCUGGAGAAGUUGAAUGGAUGCAAGCCUUUGCAGCGGCUCUCACUCUAUGCGGAUGACGUGGUUCUAUUCAUUAGACCAUCUCGGACCGAUAUCACUUUCGUCAAGGAGGUUCUCAUGAUCUUUGGAAAGGCCUCGGGUUCGCAUGUCAAUUUCGCCAAGUCCUCGGCGACCUUGAUCCGCGAAGAGGAGCAUGAUGAGGAGGUGGUCGGGAAUGCGCUCCUUGGAAGAUUGAUCACUUCCCUUGUAAAUAUCUUGGUCUCCAACUGGGUAUCAAACAGCUGACACACUCGUAGUGGCAAUUCAUGGUGGAUGGAGCGCUCAAAACCCCCCCGGGAUGGCAAAGAGGUGUGGUAACUCGACCGGGGAGGUUGAUACUGGUGAAUCAAGUGAUGAGGGCUCGACCUACUCACCACUUAAUUGUGUCUGAGGCGCCAAAGUGAGCAAUUGAGAUAGUGGGUCAGGGAUGUAGGGCUUUCUUUUGGGCCGGUACGGACGCUGUCAGUGGUGGGAAGUGUGCGGUGUCUUGGCAGAGCGUGUGUCGCCCAAAACAGCUGGGUGGUCUUGGCAUUAUGGAUCUCAGUAAGCAUGGCCUUGCCCUUCGGCUGAGAUGGGAAUGGCUACGCAGAUUGAAUGACUGCCGACCGUGGCAAGGAUUGAAUCUAGUGCCGGACAAGCAAGUUCAGUGCGCGUCCAAUAGCAUGGUGAUGUGGGAGAUCGGCGAUGGCAAAAGGAUUCUCUUCAUUGCCGCUGGUCUCGUGGCUAGGGUAAAGACGAGGACGAUCAACACUAGGCUGGCCAGUGAGGGGUUAAACCAGCACGAUUGGACUAAGGACGUCCCGGAGAUUCUGUCGACAGAGGAGCUUGCACAAUUCAUCCACCUUUGGGAGAGCCUUAUGAAGUUUGAGAUUAAUCUAGGAAGUGGAGACAAGGCAAUAUGGGCUUGGCACGACUCGGGUGUCUAUAUAGCUGCCUCGGCCUCGGAGGAAUCAGAUUUCCACCGGCAGCUGCUAUUUGGAAGAACGGAGCCCCUCUUGUCUGCAAGAUCUUCAUGUGGUUGGCUAUUCAAUAUGCAUUUGGACUUCGGAUAGGAGGCUCAGGCAUGGUUUGCAAGAGAUGGUAUCUCCUUGCUAUUUCUGUGACCAGGAGGAGGACAACGUGGAUCACCUCAUGUUUCAGUGUGUUUUCAUGAGACAAGUCUGGUUCCAAUGCUUCUCCAGAGUUGGCAUCAAUCCAAACCUGAUUCCCAUGCAACAUGAUAAGCUACAACAGUGGUGGAUGAGUACUUGCAAGCAGAUCAGCAGAGCGGACAAGAAGGGCUUCGAUGCUUUCGUCAUGUUGAUUUGCUAGAUGUUAUGGAAGCAAAGUAACGCUAGGGUUUUCCAGACAGGUGUGAUUUGCGAUGAGUAUGCUACGGUCAAUCUUAUCUUUCAGGAGCUGCACCUAUGGAGGCUAGCGGGCGUAGCAAGAGUCCAACGGUUUUGUGAGUAGUCCGCCUAGUGUUAUGGAGUGGUUGGGUGGGAUCGCCGGCUUGUGAUAUCUCCCAUGUAAACUCUUGUACAUAUCUUUCUCUCUUCUAUAAAGCUAAGCUACGCCAUUGGCGUACUCUAAAAAAACAUGGCAAAAGGAAACCGUGCCCCUGCAAGGCCACAAACCGGAUUUCGGUAGACCAUUCACACGCAUGUCGCAUGCCCGCUCGCCCUGGCCUGGCCAGGCCAGGCGAGCACGUGUGUGGUCUUCUCUUUCUCUCUUCAAACAUCACUUAGUGGAGUGGAGAGAACCCAAUGUAUAAAGAGGUCUCACACCUCCUCAAAUUCCAGGAUGAGACUAAACUUUAGAGCCACCACUUGUCAUUUUAUGGGCCAAUUUGAUAUUUCAGAAAUUGUACAUGGGUCUAGCCCAUUAUUUCUAACAGACGCAAGACUUGUGAGAAAUAAUGGAGUUUUGGCUUUUAAAUCUGCGACUUUUCCAGGGGUGACGGUUUCUUCUCGAGGGCACUGGUCCAGUAGAACUGUGGUUUUGAUAACUUCUCAUUUGUAAUCAACAACGACAUGGUGGCUCGGACGAUGUACUGCGAGCACACCAUCAAGAUGUUCAAAGAGGUCGUUUUCCAGGGACUUCAUUUUCUUUUUUGCGAGAUUCAGGGACUUCAAUAUAGUUGUCUUUUUAAGCUGUCUGUAUUGCUGGUUUGGUCAUUAUUUUACGAAAAAAGUCAUAUAUUGUACUCUCUUUAUAAAAAAAUGUAAGAGCAUUUAGAUAACUAUUUUAGUGAUUUAAACUUUAGUGAUCUAAACGCUCCUAUAUUUCUUUACGAAGGGAGUAAUCGAUUAAAAAAUGAGUUAAGAGAUUAUAACUGAAACCUCAAGCUCUGCGGAAUUCCCAGUUAAAUGGAGUCGCAACAGGCACACGGUACAUGUCAGGUACACCGACAGAGGCGACACUGAUCUGGUAGAACGUCGCAUGCGCCGUCAGGUGCACGGCCACACUCCCCACCGGCACCGCGAGCGAAGGCUGAUCCCAGAUCUCUGGAGGCGACGUACAGGCAGAGGGGUUCCGUCCAUGGGUCAAAAGCCAAGCGUUCAACUCUGCAAUAUCAAACGCCGGUACACAGGAACUACAGAGACUGUGGAUUGGUCUCCACUGUGACACACCAACCAUUUCGAAAAGAAAAAAAAAACUGUCACACACGAGUAAAUUGCACAGAAGUACCACAAUUGGGGCAUUGGAAGCAGAUUGGUAUCAAGUUUGGUAAUUUUUACGUGUCAGUACCAAGUCUGGGGCUAGACGUUACAAAAAGGUCUAAAUCGCGUAUAAACGCGUAUUGACGGUGUAUCUGACCGGCGGGGCCUGCAUGUCAGCUGCCGAUGUGGCAUUCUUUUUGCAGAAACCCCCCGCACAGCGGCGCCCGGUCUGGAUCGAGGGGAGAAUCCAUCGAGCCCGAGCUCCCACUCGCAUCACCACGACCGCCGGAGCUGCCCCUGCUCGCACCGCCGCGGCCUCUGCUCGUGGCCUCCACCGUCUCCUUCGGGGCCUCUGCAGAACGGAAGCGCCACCCUCCCCCCUCUCCCCGUCCGAGCUCGACGCCACCUCCGCGCUCAUCCCGCGGCUCAUCUCCGAGGGCCAGGUCCCCGCCGCUGGCCGCCUCCUCUCCGCGGCGCUCCUCCUGCCCGGCUCCCCGGAGCGCCUCCCGUUCCCUCCGCUCGCGGAGCACCUCGCCUCCCUCCCCACGCCCACCCCGGCCUUCGCCCUGCUCACCGCGCUCCGCCACCACCCCGUCCGCCCCUCGCCGCUCCCGCUUGCCACCCCGCUCCUCGGCCACCUCCUCGCGAUGCGCCGCGCCCACGAGGCCGCCUCCGUGCUCCGCUGGCUCUGCCGCCCCGACUCCCCACGCCGGCCCGACGCCGCCACCUACGGCAUCGCCGUCGCCCGGUUCUGCAGGCUCGGGACCCCGGGAGCGCGCUCGUCGCCCUCGGCAAGAUGGCCUCCAACGGGGUCCCGCCCUCGCUGGAGCUGCAGGAGGCGGUGCGACGCUGCAGGACGCGAGGAUCGAGGAGGCGUGGGCGCUGGAGGAGGCUAUGCGGCCGCUGGAGUCCAAGAAGACGAGAACCAAGGCGGCGCGUCAAGAGAGAGAGCUUCGGGUGAGAGAGAGAGAAGAAAAAAUGGAAGGAGGAAGAGAAGGAGAGAGGCAGGGUGUGAGGACGGCCUGGUCCUAGUCGCCGGUGGUGGUGCUCCGGUGGCCGGCCGGCAGCGCGGCGAGGAGCCCAGGGCGGGGCGGGGCUACGGGAGGCGAAUGAGCUCGGGCUCGAGGGGCUCCUCCCCUCGAUCCAGAUCAGGCCCCGCCGCUGUGAGGACAAAGGAGGUGCAGGGGGUUUCUGCAAAAAGAAUGCCACAUCGGCAGCUGACAUGCAGGCCCCGCCGGUCAGAUGCACCGUCAAUACACGUUUAUACGCGAUUUAGACCUUUUUGUAACGUCUAGCCCCAGACUUGGUACUGACACGUAAAAAUUACCAAACUUGGUACCAAUCUGCUUCCAAUGCCCCAAUUGUGGUACUUCUGUGCAAUUUACUCGUCACACACCAUGGACAGCAAACAGCUAGGUCGGCGUGUUCCGACGCUCGUUUGCCUCAAACAAAUUAUUGCACCCCGGGCAGCCGCUGUGCGCAUACGCGGACCCAACCACUCGCCGAUGGGCCGACACCGUUCUUACUUUUCAGCGAACCAGAAGCUCAUCAGUCUCCACUUGGCUGCGGCAAAACACACCGGACGAAGCAAAGGAUCCACAGUUUAGAACAGGGGAGCAUAUGCAGGUUCGGUCAUCUUUUCGCAUCGCAAAGGAAGAUAGAUGCAUGUGGAGCAAAGUAGGAGUAGUGCACAAAAAGACGAUGCAUGUGGAGCAAAGUGGUGCUACCGUGUCACCCAUAAGAAAUAAUGGAGAGGCUGUGGGCAGUCAGGCAGGCACACCGCACACAUGGGCGGAGGCCGACAGAUCGCAACGUAGCGCCGGGAAGGGGAGCUGCGUGCUGUCCCAGGCUGGUAUCCUGUUGCCGUCGCCGUCGCCACCGCCACGUUCUCUCCCUUUCACCCACCUAAGUGCCCAGCCACCACUCUACUUACCUCGCCCGGCACACGCAAACGCGCGCCUCGAUCGGCCUGGCACUCGCAGUCGCUUCCCUUUCCCACCACGUUGACAUCUCUUCCGCUCCGGGAAGGAGGCAGGCACGUAGACGUAGCGAUGGCGCCGCGUUUCCUGGCGUGCUUCGGCAGGGGCGGCGCGACGGCCUCGGCGCCGGAGCCUGUGGAGGACCUGGCCCCGGGCCCGGUGCUGGUGGAGCUCUUCUCCUCGCAGGGGUGCGCGGCGUCGCCUGAGGCGGACGCCCUGGUGGCGCGGCUGGCGCAGGAGUCCUCGGAGACCGGCGGCGGCGAGCGAGCGAUGGUGGUGCUGGGGUUCCACGUGGACUACUGGGACUACCGCGGGUGGAAGGACCCCUUCGCGUCCAGCGCCUGGACCGUGCGGCAGAAGGCGUACGUGGAGGCGCUCCGGCUGGACACGCUCUUCACGCCGCAGGUCGUCGUGCAGGGCCGCGCGGACUGCGUCGGCACCGAGCAGGACAAGCUCGCCCAGGCCGUCCGCGACGCGCCCCGCUACCCCUCGCCCGCCAUGAAGGUACGUACGCACGCACGCAUGCUGCAUGCACCCACCAGCUUAAUUGUUGACGGUGCUCUGAAGUCUGAACCGUGCGCCUCCCUCUGUGCUCUGCAGGUGAAGUUCCAGCGGCCGAACCCGAGCACGCUGCAGGCGUCCUUCACGGGCGCGCUCCACUCCCGCGUGGACGGCGGCGGGAGCGUGCUGGUGGCGCUGUACGAGAGCGGCGUGGUCACCGACUGCGGCCGGGGCGAGAACAAGAGCAAGUCGCUGCUCAACGACCACGUGGUGCGCCGGCUGGAGAAGGUGGCCGCCGUGCGCGACGGCACGUCCGCCAGGAAGGCCGUGUCCGGGUCCGUCCAGUUCCCGCUGUGGGACGACUUCCGCGCCACCAAGUGCGGCAUCGUCCUCUUCGUGCAGAACUCGGCGCUGCAGGUGCUCGGCGUCCAGCACUUCGACCUGCCCGACAACGUCUGAUCGAGUGGCGGGCACCAACUUGCGGGGAGCGCAGGGGGCGGACGGCCAGGGGGGCGUAGCACAACUAUUCUUUGUAGAGUUUGAUUGGCGUGUUGCGCUGUUGUAAUAGCACUUUGUAAGAGCACUCGUGUGAUCGAUUACUGGAACAAUGGUUGUAUCCUCUUGAAUAAACCAAGAUAGUACAGUAGUCUAAGAAACAUGCACAAAUGCGAAUAACAGAGAAAUCGAAGUUACACUAAGGUGACGAACAUGAAAAGUUUAGAAAGAGACACAUGCAAAACUGCUAGACGUACAUUAGAAUAUUUUAAGCCGUUUAUUUUUGUGGUUCAACGGUCGAGAUAUAGCAAUACUACACCAUAAUUCAGGUAGUAUAUUCAGAUGAUAGGGGUACUUUUGGCAGUUCAUUAUUGUAGAUCGGGCGGCAGCGAGAGGGAGGCCGCCGGUGCCGCCAUUUGUGCCGCUGGCAGGGUGGUGCGGGACCGCAAUAGGUCGGGGAUGACACGGUGGGUGGGCUGCCGUGGGCGCGGGCCUGGACGGGAGGGAGCGGGAGAACAGGUUGUGCUCUCCUUCGGUCGCGCAGUCGCGCUGCCGAGCACGUCGCCGCUGCAGAGCGCGGGAACAGAUUGCUCUCCUUCGGUCGCACAGUCACGUGGCCGAGCACGUCGCCGCUGCAGAGCGCGUGAACAUGUUGCUCUCCUUCGGUCCCGCAGUCACACUGCCGAGCACGUCGCCACUGCAGAAGCGCGAGAACAUGGUGCUAGUUCUCGCCGUUUUCGUUUCUCAUGAUUAUUUCACAGUUGAUAAGGUGCUAGCUUGCUUAAGCUUGGUUUCAGAAUUGACGGUGAAACAUCACGAGCUAAAUUCUUACGCAGUGUGGUUGGGUGAGCAGUUUUUCGUAGUGCUGCAGUUUUGCAUGGCAAAGCUCCUGAAUUCCAAGUAUCUUAUUUGUUGGUGUUGAUGGAGACGGGGAGCAGCAGCUGGUGUCGUCGUCUGCUUCGUCUACCUUCGGCGACGGCUCAACAGGAUGAGCGGCCCGCCUGCGCUUGUCGGCAGCGCAACUUGAGACAGUCCCAGGGGAGAUGAGGGCGUACAAUGGCAAUCGAUUAAUUCUGUUUCCCCUGCUCGAUUAAUCCUACGCCCUAAAUAGAUCGUUUGCCGGCGAGAGUCUAAGCACUGAUGAACAGUAGGAAAUUACCAAGCUAUCCUCGAACCAAUCUUUGAGUCGAACAAUAUCAGCCGUUGGAUCAACUUAAUACUACCUCUUAAAUUCGGUAGUAUGAUGUACCGUAAAAAAUCUCUUUUACAGGGGUUCUGCAGGCUCCUUUCAAACAUUCUAAACAUGCCUCCCUGAUUUUAAUGGGGAUGGGUCAGUCCGUCUACUAAUGAUCAAUUAAAAACUGCCAUGACACCCUGCAAUUCCCUCAUCCUGUAAUCCUCAUGUACGUGUAGCAAAGCUCGAGACACAUGAGCCAUCCAUGCAAGCGGUGAGAACAAAAAAUCAUUAAAUGUACAUGGCUAGGGGACACACCCUUCACAACUCAUGUUGUUGAACAGAUGCUUUCGUUCGUCGGACAACUUUUAGGGGAAAGAAUAACUACAUAAAAGGAAGAGUAGAAAGACCCACAAACAAAAACAGCACCACUUCUAUAGUGUAAGACGUCAUAACCAUGUAGGACGGGACACGACCAAGCAAAAAAAUUGGGGUAUAAUUAUUCCCAAUCUUCACUAAGUCCACAAGUCCUAAGUGGCAUCUACAUGGCAAAAUCUAGUUGAUACAAGUUUAUUAGGUUCAACAUAACAAUAAGUCAAAGAGAGAUGCAAAAACUUAAGACAAAGUCCAAAGCCAAAGGAAAAACGCCCAAGAGGAAGAAGGUUGAGCGGGGUUCUAAAUCAUGUAUAAUGCUUUACUCCCCCAUCCCUAGUCUAUCACGGACCAAUAACCAAAAUGUACUUCAAAAAUGCUACCAUAACCAACAACACUCUUUAUCAUUUGUCAACGGGGCUCUUGCCUAUUUACCCCCCUAGGAGGGAUGUUAUUCUAUCCGCAAGUAAAUAUGAAAAGGGGAAAAGUAGGUCUAGAGACCUCCGCGAAGUCUCGCACCCCUAGAAUAGGAAAUGGAUAUGGGUAUCGUAUUUUACAAAAAUUAGCUUCUCUACCUUUGUCAAUUAGCUUUCAUAGAAAACCAUACUACGUGACCCAUUAACACUAUGUCACAAACAUUAAUCAAAGAUACCCACUCACCUUAUCUCUAGUUUUGUAGGUAUUUUCUGCGGCUGACUACAAAAUAAACAUUGGGCAGCAUAGUUCAACAAUCUCAUGCUGAGCCUAGAAUAACAAUGAAAGUUUUACUAUGCUUCUCCACUGGAUUGUCACACACACACACACACACACACACACACACACAAUUUCCUUAGUCAGUACUCGGUAGUAAAAAUGUAUAGUAAUGUGAUUUGGUUCAUGGGCUUUUUCAGAGUGGAUGAUGUGCGUGUCUCCCGAUGGCUAGUGGACUUGUCGCUCUACGUCGUAUUGAGAAAAAGGGUUUUCCCCCCGCUUUAGAUUAUAAAGCAACGUUCAACCGAUAUAACCAGCUUGCUGGGGCCGCAGCAUAAACAAGCCCAAAAGAAAAAGGAGAGAAAGAAAAAAGAAACAAAUGCCGACGCCGGCAGCUCGAUUAAGCAAAGAUGACCGACACCUGCUGCACCCACCGGAGAAGAACCACCGCCCGCCAAGCACUCCGAGGCCUCGCGUACCAAGCAACAUCUUCAGGAAGAAAUGCGACGACGACGCCGCUGCUGCCCAGACAAGUCCUAGAGUUUUCCCCGGUACGCGGAUGGCAGUGAGGAAGGGCUUAUCACCGAUGCCCCUCAGGAGGGUCCGGCAACGCCCACGAGCGCAGCCGCGCCGGUGACGAACGAGCCGCCAGAGAUUUCUCCCGCCCCGAAACCACCACCGCCACCUCAGACAAUCGGAAGCUGUCAUGGGUUUUGUCGCUUGCUAGGCUAGAAAUAGAGCCGUGAGAGGCCACUUUCUCAAUGUUCUUCAUCGAACACGGAAGCACGCUCAGCACCGCCAGGACCGUCCAAGUCUCACUUAUGGGUGUUCCUAUUUAACGCUUGAGGGGACAAAGUGCCCCUAAAACGCUUACUAGGCCCGCUCUCAAAGCUUCAUUGCUCACUAGUUGUUUGCUACUCCGUUUUUUUCAACUCAGCUCCAUUCUCUUGCUAGCUCAAGAAAAAAAUAGAGUGUCAUCUCUUUUUUUUUUAAAAAAAAUAGUGAAAUAAAAAAUGUUCACGGAUUUAAAAAAUGAUCCUGAUUUAUUUUAAAAAUAAAUAAUUUCAGAAAUGUUCAUACAUUUUUAAAAAUAUGGAUUAAAAAUUCUCAAGAGUUUAAAAAUGUUCAUAAAUUUUACAUGUUUUUUGAAUUAAAAUAUGCUCUUGCUUGAAAAACAUAUUUGAGAAUUUUUAAAAUGUUCACGUAAAAUGUGCAUGAAUCUAACAAUGUCCAUGAAUAUGAAAAGUAUUCACGAAUUUUGUAUUUUAGCAAAAUUUUACAAUAUUCAUGAAUUUAAAGAUAUCCAUUGGUUUAAAAAUAUUCAUUAAUUUGAAAAAAAAAUCAUAAAUUUAAAGAAUGAAAACAAAAUGCCAUAAAAUAUGAAGAAACCAUAAAAACAAAGAUAAAUUUGAAAACAAAUUAGCAAGAAAAACAAAAGAAAUACGAAAGGAGAAAAGGGGACCAGAAUCUUCAAGAACCUUCCCAAAACCGGAUGGAAGGCACUAAACCGGAACAUAGUGCCUAUUUGAGCCGGCUCAAUAGUUUUUUUUGUCUAAAUAUGCCCUCUUUAUUAGUCGGUAACAAUGUUUAUUGAGAUGCAACUGAUAGGAGGGGUUGUAGUAGCCAAAUAUGUCUACCUACAGUAUGGCCUAGAGCAUGUUCAGUGAGACCGUGCGCCUCAAAAUUUGACUCCCUCCUCUCGAAAGAGAAGGAACAAGGCUGGAACUCCAACAUCAAAGACGAAAUCUCAUGAAUAAUAUUCCCGUGUAGCCCUCAUGCGCCAUCCAUGAUAUCUUCACUUUCACAAUUCCUUUUCAAUCAGUCACCACUUCCAUAUGUUGUAAUAAGAGAUCAGAAGCCAAAGCUAGAGCUUCUGGCAUGCAAGAGCUUCUAGAGUUGUCGGGUCAGUUACGCCUUUGAUAACACCUUUGCACAAACAUGUGUGUAGCCUGUGGACUCUGGAAAUCAUUUUCAUGAAGAGCCUUGCAUCUAGCAUGCCAAGGAAUUGCCAAAGGUGUUAUCUAGCUUUGGCCGGCUCAUUAGUAAACGGGGUUUCCUGGGGCGUGCAUUCUAUACCAAAGGGCUACUAUUACACCCCACGGGGGUGAAAUAGGAAAUAAGAAAUGUCCACGCUUAUUGCGAUACCGGAGCUCACGUCGCCUCAAGCGUCCUUCCAAGUCAGUCCCAGUAUAAUGCAUAUCUACGACACCCAGGUAUGCGUGCGCACAUAGGCAAGUACGUUAUGUGAUUUUGUUUUUGCUUGUUUUUCAAAAAAAAAACACUGCACAUUUAAAAAAGGUUCAUAUCAUUCAUAAAAGUGUUCAUCACAUUCAAAAAAAAUCAUGUGUUUAAAAUUAGCUAUGAAAUUGUAAAAAAAUGUUCAUACAUUAUGUAAUUUUAUUUUCUCAAUUUGUAAUAAAUAUUUGUAUCAUUAAAAAAAUGUUUAUGACACUUACAAAAUAUUUCACAUGUUUAAAAAUUAGUUUUUUGCAGGGAUAUUUAAAUAUUAGUUCAUGAAAUUUUUCCAAAACAUUCGCUAAAACAUAAAAAUGGGUUCCCGUGAUUGGGAGAAAGAAACGUUCGUGCCAUUCAAAUAAUUGUCCAUGAAAAUUUUAAAAUGUUCACACAUCUAAAAGUAGGUUUCAUGACAUUCUAAGAAAUUUUCAUGAAAUUUUAAAAAUUAUCGAUGUGUGUUUCACAAUGUUCGUUGUGUAUUAUUCGAUGCGCAUCUUAUAAAUGUGCGACAUGUAUUUAAAAAAAUGAUCACCAUGAAUCAAAAAAGUUAGACCUGCAUAUGAAAAAUGUUUAACAUGUAUUAAAAAAGUCGUGUAUCUCAAAACAAUAAAGAAAGGAAAAUGAAACUGAGAAAAAACCAACAAAAAAAACACAGAAAAAGUAAAAUGAAAGAAAAACACAUGAAAUCUUUCCAAAACCACGUCGCAUGCGUUAACUUACUGCUGUACUGAACAUUCUACGCCAUGAAGUUUUUUUUUUAGAAAUCCAUGAAGAUUUAUUGUUUUUUUUAGGGUAUGCAGAUUUAUUGGUAUAAACUUAGUCUCUUUUCCAAGAAAAUGUUACUCCAUCUGUAAAUUAAUAUAGUGAUCUAAACGCUCUUAUUUACAGAGGGAGCACUCGUGAGCACACAUGAACCCAGAAGGAGCCCGGAGCAGGGCCACAAGACUACAAGAGCGUUUCCCUUUUCUCCAAAAAGAAAAAGAAAAGAAAGUGUUUCCCAGGGUCAGUGGGGUCUCCUUGCUGCCGGGCAAAGCCGCCCCGGUCGACUACCAACAAGUCCACAGUCGACUGUAGCUGCCCUGAAAAGAAAAACCCAAGUCCACUGUACCGAGACGUUGCCUCGCGCCGGGUACACCAGCUUCCAAGCUGUUUCUAAAAAAAAAACAGCUUCCGAGCUGACACGCCACACUAGCGUGCCUUUGCGAGAGGGACAGCCCUGCUCGCCCUCGCAUCGAGACACCACUCAUUGUCCCACACCCGUCGCGACGGAGCGACCGCAGUGGGCUGGGCGUCACGUGAAGCCACGUGAACCGGGGGCCUAUCAACCGGUCCACGGCCUUGUUUCCUUGUGCAGAAAUUUUAUCGACCGAACAAAUCAUUGUAAUACAGAGCAUCUGUAAUAGUUUCCGUAUUCAUAAAAUAACCAUCGUGUAAAUAUUAUCCAGAUGGAAAUUUGCCUAUGGCAGGCGCUCAUCUUUACAUGGCAGAGCAUUAUGGCAGGUCUUCAAACCUUCAAGAGAGGGCAUAUCUGGCGAGUGGUGACGGGUGCCAAAAUAAAUAUUUGGACGGAUCACUGGAUCCCACAAAGUCCUACAAGGAAGGUUAUCACGCCAAAGGGUAAUAUCUUGUUGACCACUGUUGAUGAACUUAUUGAUCCAGGAACAGAAUGGUGGGACGAAACGUUCGAUCUAUAUUCUUUGGUGUUGAUGCUCAACGGAUUUUGAAGAUCCCAUUAUCUACCCAUUUACCGGAUGAUUUUGUGGCAUGGAAUGUCACAAAAAAAUUUUGCUUCCCGGUUCGAUCAGCAUACUAUGACGAGUGGGAGCACCAAUUCGGCCCAAGAAUGAGAAAGGACCCAGCCGAGAAAUCAGCAAACAACCCUGUUUGGGAGACUCUUUGGAAACUACAAGUUCCAAGCAAGAUAAAGAUUUUUGUCUGGCGAGCACUACAUGGAAUCAUACCUGGGGUGGGAGUAUUGCGAAGUAGACUACCGUGUGUCACUCUGCGAGGAUGAGGGCGGCUCGGGCGACUGGGCGGGCGGCCGUCCCUCCGACUGCGACGGCGCCGUUUACCGCGGGGGAUCGCCGGCGCGUCGGCGGGCGCUUCUGGGCUCUCGCCGAGUCCGACGAAGAUCACGCGGACGACGAUGGGGAGAAUGUUGGGAACGUAGCAGAAAUUCAAAAUUUUUCUAUGUGUCACCAAGAUCUAUCUAUGGAGAAACCAACAACGAGGGGGAGGAGAGUGCAUCUACAUACCCUUUUAGAUCGCUAAGCGGAAGCGUUCAAGAGAACGGGGUUGAAGGAGUCGUACACGUCGUGAUCCAAAUCACCGGAGAUCCUAGUGCCGAACGGACGACACCUCCGCGUUCAACACACGUACAGCCCGGUGACGUCUCCCAUGCCUUGAUCCAGCAAGGAGAGAGGGAGAGGUUGAGGAAGACUCCAUCCAGCAGCAGCACAAAGGCGUGGUGGUGGUGGAGGAGCGUGGCAAUCCUGCAGGGCUUCGCCAAGCACCGCGGUAGAGGAGGAGUACUUGGGAGAGGGGGAGGGCUGCGCCAGAACUUGGGGUGCGGCUGCCCUCACACCCCUCCACUAUUUAUAGGUGGGAGGGAGAGGGGGCCGGACCCCUUAGAUCCCAUCUAGGGUUGGAGCGGCGGCCAAGGGGGGGAGGAGUGCCUCCCAAGUCAAGUGGAGGCCCUCCCCUUUAGGGUUCCCCCCUCCCAUGCGCAUGGGCUUUGGGGGGGCUGGUGCCCCUGGCCCAUUAAGGCUAGGGCGCCCCCUACAGCCCAUGCUGCUGUAUUGGACGUGGUGGAACAAUUUUCGGACCUCCGGACCCCUCCGGAACCUUCUGGAAGCUUCCCGGUACAAUACCGGAAAAACCCGAACUUUUCCCGGAACCCGAACAACAACUUUCCAUAUAUAAAUCUUUACCUCCGGACCAUUCUGGAACUCCUCGUGACGUCCGGGAUCUCAUCCGGGACACCGAACAACAUUCGGUAACCACAUACAAACUUCCUUUAUAACCCUAGCGUCAUCGAACCUUAAGUGUGUAGACCCUACGGGUUCGGAAACCAUGCAGACAUGACCGAGACGUUCUCCGGUCAAUAACCAACAGCGGGAUCUGGAUACCCAUGUUGGCUCCCACAUGUUCCAUGAUGAUCUCAUCGGAUGAACCACGAUGUCAAGGACUCAAUCGAUCCCGUAUACAAUUCUCUUUGUCUAGCGGUAUAGUACUUGCCCGAGAUUCGAUCGUCGGUAUAUCGAUACCUUGUUCAAUCUCGUUACCGGCAAGUCUCUUUACUAGUUCCGUAACACAUCAUCCCGUGAUCAACCCCUUGCUCACAUUGUGCACAUUAUGAUGAUGUCCUACCGAGUGGGCCCACAGAUACCUCUCCGUUUACCGGAGUGACAAAUCCCAGUCUCGAUUCGUGCCAACUCAACAGACACUUUCAGAGAUACCUGUAGUGCACCUUUAUAGCCACCCAGUUACGUUGUGACGUUUGGUACACCCAAAGCAUUCCUACGGUAUCCGGGAGUUGCACAAUCUCAUGGUCUAAGGAAAUGAUACUUGACAUUAGAAAAGCUUUAGCAUACGAACUACGAUCUUUGUGCUAGGCUUAGGAUUGGGUCUUGUCCAUCACAUCAUUCUCCUAAUGAUGUGAUCCCAUUAUCAACGACAUCCAAUGUCCAUGAUCAGGAAACCGUAACCAUCUAUUGAUCAACGAGCUAGUCAAUUAGAGGCUUACUAGGGACAUGGUGUUGUCUAUGUAUCCACACAUGUAUCUGAGUUUCCUAUCAAUACGAUUAUAGCAUGGAUAAUAAACGAUUAUCAUCAACAAGGAAAUAUAAUAAUAAUAACUAAUUUAUUAUUGCCUCUUGGGCAUAUUUCCAACAGUCUCCCACUUGCACUAGAGUCAAUAAUCCAGUUCACAUCGCCAUGUGAUUAACACUCACAGGUCACAUCGCCAUGUGACCAACAUCCAAAGAGUUUACUAGUGUCACUAAACUAGUUCACAUCAUCAUGUGAUUAAGACUCAAUGAGUUCUGGGGUUUGAUCAUGUUUUGCUUGUGAGAGAGGUUUUAGUCAACGGGUCUGCAACAUUCAGAUCCGUAUGUACUUCGCAAAUCUCUAGGUCAUAUUGUAAAUGCUGCUUCCACGCUCCACUUGGAGCUAUUCCAAAUGGUUGCUCCACUAUACGUAUCCGGUUUGCUACUCAGAGUCACUCGGAUAGGUGUUAAAGCUUGCAUUGACGUAACCCUUUACGCCGAACUCUUUAUCACCUCCAUAAUCGAGAAACAUGUCCUUAUUACUCCAAGGACAAUUUUGACCGCUAUCUGGUGAUCCACUCCUUGAUCACCUUUGUACCCUCUUGCCAGACAUGUGGCAAGGCACACAUCAGGUGCGGUACACAGCAUAGCAUACUAUGGAGCCUACGUCUAAAGCAUAGGGGACGACCUUCGUCCUUUCUCUCUCUUCUGCCGUGGUCGAGCUUUAAGUCUUAACUUCAUACCUUACAACUCAGGCAAGAACUCCUUCUUUGACUGAUCCAUCUUGAACACCUUCAAGAUCAUGUCAAGGUAUGUGCUCAUUUGAAAGUACCAUUAAGCGUUUUUGAUCCAUCCUCACAGAUCUUGAUGCUCAAUGUUCAAGCAGCUUAAUCCAGGUUUUCUAUUGAAAAACACUUUUCAAAUAACCCUAUAUGCUUUCUAGAAAUUCUACAUCAUUUCUGAUCAACAAUAUGUUUACAACAUAUACUUAUCAGAAGUUCUAUAGUGCUCCCACUCACUUCUUUGGAAAUACAAGUUUCUCAUAAACUUUGUAUAAACCCAAAAUCUUUGAUCAUCUCAUCAAAGUGCAUAUUCUGACUCCGAGAUGCUUGCUCUAGUCCAUGGAAGGAUCGCUGGAGCUAGCAUACCUUUUAGCAUCCUUAGGAUCGACAAAACCUUUCUGAUUGUAUCACAUACAACCUUUCCUUACGAAAACUGGUAAGGAAACUCGUUUUGACAUCCAUCUGCCAGAUUUCAUAAAUGCAGCUAAUGCUAACAUGAUUCCGACGGACUUAAGCAUCGCUACGAAUGAGAAAAUCUCAUCGUAGUCAACUCCUUGAACUUGUGAAAAACUCUUCGCCACAAGUCGAGCUUCAUAGACGGUGACAUUACCGUCCACGUCCGUCUUCUUCUUAAAGAUCCAUUUAUCUCAAUGGCUUGCCGAUCAUCGGGCAAGUCCACCAAAGUCUAUGCUUUGUUCUGAUACAUGGAUCCUAUCUCGGAUUUCAUGGCUUCUAACCAUUUGUCGGAAUAUGGGCCCACCAUCGCUUCUCCAUAGCUCACAGGUUCAUUGUUGUCUAGCAACAUGACUUGCAAGACAGGAUUACUGUACCACUCUGAAGUAGUACACAUCCUUGUCACCCUACGAGGUACGGUAGUGACUUGAUCCGAAACUUCAUGAUCACUAUCAUAAUCUUCUACUUCAAUUGGUGUGGGCGCCACAGGAACAACUUCUUGUGCCCUGCUACACACUAGUUGAAGUGAUGGUUCAGUAACCUCAUCAAGUCUCCACCAUGCUCCCACUCAACUUUCCGAGAAAAACUUUUCCUCGAGAAAGGACCCGAUUCAAGAAACAAUCCCUAUUGCUUUCGGAUCUGAAUUAGGAGGUAUACCCAACUGUUUUGGGUGUCUUAUGAAGAUGCAUUUUAUCCGCUUUGGGUUCGAGCUUAUCAACCUGAAACUUUUUCACAUAAGCAUCGCAGCCUCAAACUUUUAAGAAACGACAACUUAGGUUUCUCCAAACCAUAGUUCAAACGGUGUCGUCUCAACGGAAUUACGUGGUGCCCUAUUAAAGUGAGUGCAGUUGUCUCUAAUGCCUAACCCAUGAACGAUAGUGGUAAUUCGAUAAGAGACAUCAUGGUACGCACCAUAUCCGAUAGGGUGCAACUAUGAUGUUUGGACACACCAUCACACUAUGGCGUUCCAGGCGGUAUUAAUUGUGAAACAAUUUCCACAAUGUCUUAAUUGCGUGCCAAAGCUCGUAACUCAGAUACUCAUCUCUAUGAUCAUAUCAUAGACAUUUUAUCCUCUUGUCACGAUGAUCUUCAACUUCACUCUGAAAUUACUUGAACCAUUCAAUAAUUCAGACUUGUGUUUCAUCAAGUAAAUAUACUCAGUAUCUACUCAAAUCAUCCGCGAAGUAAGAACAUAACGAUAUCCACUGUGUGCCUCAGCACUCAUUGGACUGCACACAUCAAAAUGUAUUACUUCCAACAAGUUGCUUUCUUGUUCCAUUUUACUGAAAACGAGGCUUUCAGUCAUCUUGCCCAUGUGGUAUGAUUUGCAUGUCUCAAGUGAUUCAAAAUCAAGUGAGUCCAAACGGUCCAUUUGCAUGGAGUUUCUUCAUGCAUAUACACCAAUAGACAUGGUUCGCAUGUCUCAAACUUUUCAAAAACGAGUGAGUCCAAAGAUCCAUCAACAUGGAGCUUCUUCAUGCGUUUUAUACCAAUAUGACUUACAUGGCAGUGCCACAAGUAGGUGAUACUAUCAUUACUAUCUUAUAUCUUUUGGCAUGAACAUGUGUAUCACUACGAUCGAGAUUCAAUAAACCAUUCAUUUUAGGUGCAAGACCAUUGAAGGUAUUAUUCAAAUAAACAGAGUAACCAUUAUUCUCCUUAAAUGAAUAACCGUAUUGUGAUUGACAUAAUCCAAUCAUGUCUAUGCUCAACGCAAACACCAAAUAACAAUUAUUUAGGUUUAACACCAAUCUCGAUGGUAGAGGGAGCAUGCGAUGCUUGAUCACAUCAACCUUGGAAACACUUCCAACACAUAUCGUCAGCUCACCUUUAGCUAGUCUCCAUUUAUUCCGUAGCUCUUUUAUUUCGAGUUACUAACACUUAGCAACCGAACCGGUAUCUUAAUACCCUGGUGCUACUAGGAGUACUAGUAAAGUACACAUUAACAUAAUGUAUAUCCAAUAUACUUCUAUCGACCUUGCCAGCCUUCUCAUCUACCAAGUAUCUAGGGUAAUUCUGCUCCAGUGGUUGUUCCCCUUAUUACAGAAGCACUUAGUCUCGGGUUUGGGUUCAACCUUGGGUUUCUUCACUAGAGCAGCAGCUGAUUUGCCGUUUCAUGAAGUAUCCCUUCUUGCCCUUGCCCUUCUUGAAACUAGUGGUUUCACCAACCAUCAACAAUUGAUGCUCCUUCUUGAUUUCUACUUUCGCGGUGUCAAACAUUGCGAAUACCUCAAGGAUCAUCAUAUCUAUCCCUGAUAUGUUAUAGUUCAUCACGAAGCUCUAGCAGCUUGGUGGCAAUGACUUUGGAGAAACAUCACUAUUUCUGGAAGAUCAACUCCCACUCGAUUCAAGUGAUUGUCGCACUCAGACAAUCUGAGCACAAGCUCAACGAUUGAGCUUUUCUCCCUUAGUUUGCAGGCUAAGAAAAUCAUCGGAGGUCUCAUACCUCUUGACAUGGGCACGAGCCUGAAAUCUCAAUUUCAGCCCUCGAAACAUCUCAUAUGUUCCGCGACGUUUCGAAAACGUCUUUGGUGCCUUAACUCUAAACCGUUUAACUGAACUAUCACGUAGUUAUCAAAACGUGUAUGUCCGAUGUUCGCAACAUCCACAUAUGAUGUUUGGGGUUCAGCACACUGAGCAGUGCAUUAAGGACAUAAGCUUUCUAUUGUCCGCAUAAUCGGUACUGUCAACUUUCAACUAUAUUUUCUCUAGGAACAUAUCUAAACAGUGGAACUAAAGCGCGAGCUUGACAUAAUUUGCAAAGAUCUUUUGACUAUGUUCAGGAUAAUUAAGUUCAUCUUAUGAACUCCCACUCAGAUAGACAUCCCUCUAGUCAUCUAAGUGAUUACAUGAUCUGAGUCAACUAGGCCGUGUCCGAUCAUCACGUGAGACGGACUAGUCAUCAUCGGUGAACAUCUUCAUGUUGAUCGUAUCUACUAUACGACUCAUGCUCGACCUUUCGGUCUCUUGUGUUCCGAGGCCAUGUCUGUACAUGCUAGGCUCGUCAAGUCAACCUAAGUGUUUCGUGUGUGUAAAUCUGGCUUACACCCGUUGUAUGUGAACGUAAGAAUCUAUCACACCCGAUCAUCACGUGGUGCUUCGAAACGACGAACUUUCGCAACGGUGCACAGUUAGGGGGAACACUUUCUUGAAAUUUUAAUGAGGGAUCAUCUUAUUUACUACCGUCGUUCUAAGAAAAUAAGAUGCAUAAACAUGAUAAACAUCACAUGCAAUCAAAUAGUGACAUGAUAUGGCCAAUAUCAUUUUGCUCCUUUUGAUCUCCAUCUUCGGGGCUCCAUGAUCAUCAUCUUCACCGGCAUGACACCAUGAUCUCCAUCAUCGUGUCUUCAUGAAGUUGUCUCGCCAACUAUUACUUCUACUACUAUGGCUAUCGGUUAGCAAUAAAGUAAAGUAAUUACAUGGCGUUGUUUAAUGACCCGCAGGUCAUACAAUAAAUUAAGACAACUCCUAUGGCUCCUACCGGUUGUCAUACUCAUCGACAGGCAAGUCGUGAUUCCUAUUACAAGAACAUGAUCAAUCUCAUACAUCACAUAUCAUUCAUCACAUUCUUCUUGGCCAUAUCACAUCACAUAGCAUACCCUGCAAAAACAAGUUAGACGUCCUCUAAUUGUUGUUUGCAUGUUUUACGUGGCUGCUAUGGAUUUCUAGCAAGAACGUUUCUUACCUACGCAAAAGCCACAACGUGAUAUGCCAAUUGCUAUGUACCCUUCAUAAGGACCCUUUUCAUCGAAUCCGAUCCGACUAAAGUGGGAGAGACUGGCACCCGCUAGCCACCUUAUGCAACAAGUGCAUGUCAGUCGGUGGAACCUGUCUCACGUAAGAGUACGUGUAAGGUCGGUCCGGGCCGCUUCAUCCCACAAUACCGUCGAAACAAGAUUGGACUAGUAACGGUAAGCAUAUUGAACAAAAUCAACGCCCACAACUACUUUGUGUUCUACUCGUGCAAAGAAUCUACGCAAUAGACCUAGCUCAUGAUGCCACUGUUGGGGAACGUAGCAGAAAUUCAAAAAUUUCCUACGUGUCACCAAGAUCUAUCUAUGGAGAAACCAGCAACGAGGGGAAGGAGAGUGCAUCUACAUACCCUUUUAGAUCGCUAAGCGGAAGUGUUCAAGAGAACGGGGUUGAAGGAGUCGUACACGUCGUGAUCCAAAUCACCGGAGAUCCUAGUGCCGAACGGACGGCACCUCCGCGUUCAACACACGUACAGCCUGGUGACGUCUCCCAUGCCUUGAUCCAGCAAGGAGAGAGGGAGAGGUUGAGGAAGACUCCAUCCAGCAGCAGCACAAAGGCGUGGUGGUGGUGGAGGAGCGUGGCAAUCCUGCAGGGCUUCGCCAAGCACCGCGAUAGAGGAGGAGUACUUGGGAGAGGGGGAGGGCUGCGCCAGAACUUGGGGUGCGGCUGCCCUCCCACCCCUCCACUAUUUAUAGGUGGGAGGGAGAGGGGGCCGGCCCCCUUAGAUCCCAUCUAGGGUUGGGGCGGCGGCCAAGGGGGGAGGAGUGCCUCCCAAGUCAAGUGGAGGCCCUCCCCUUUAGGGUUUCCCCCCUCCCAUGCGCAUGGGCCUUGGGGGGGCUGGUGCCCCUGGCCCAUUAAGGCUAGGGCGCCCCCCUACAGCCCAUGCUGCUGUAUUGGACGUGGUGGAACAAUUUCCGGACCUCUGGACCCCUCCGGAACCUUCUGGAAGCUUCCCGGUACAAUACCGGAAAAACCCGAACUUUUCCCGGAACCCGAACAACAACUUUCCAUAUAUAAAUCUUUACCUCCGGACCAUUCCGGAACUCCUCGUGACGUUCGGGAUCUCAUCCGGGACUCCGAACAACAUUCGGUAACCACAUACAAACUUCCUUUUAUAACCCUAGCGUCAUCGAACCUUAAGUGUGUAGACCCUACGGGUUCGGGAACCAUGCAGACAUGACCGAGACGUUCUCCGAUCAAUAACCAACAGCGGGAUCUGGAUACCCAUGUUGGCUCCCACAUGUUCCACGAUGAUCUCAUCGGAUGAACCACGAUGUCAAGGACUCAAUCGAUCCCGUAUACAAUUCCCUUUGUCUAGCGGUAUAGUACUUGCCCGAGAUUCGAUCGUCGGUAUACCGAUACCUUGUUCAAUCUCAUUACCGGCAAGUCUCUUUACUAGUUCCGUAACACAUCAUCCCGUGAUCAACCCCUUGCUCACAUUGUGCACAUUAUGAUGAUGUCCUACCGAGUGGGCCCAGAGAUACCUCUCCGUUUACCGGAGUGACAAAUCCCAGUCUCGAUUCGUGCCAACCCAACAGACACUUUCGGAGAUACCUGUAGUGCACCUUUAUAGCCACCCAGUUACGUUGUGACGUUUGGUACACCCAAAGCAUUCCUACGGUAUCCGGGAGUUGCACAAUCUCAUGGUCUAAGGAAAUGAUACUUGACAUUAGAAAAGCUUUAGCAUACGAACUACGAUCUUUGUGCUAGGCUUAGGAUUGGGUCUUGUCCAUCACAUCAUUCUCCUAAUGAUGUGAUCCCGUUAUCAACGACAUCCAAUGUCCAUGGUCAGGAAACCGUAACCAUCUAUUGAUCAACGAGCUAGUCAAUUAGAGGCUUACUAGGGACAUGGUGUUGUCUAUGUAUCCACACAUGUAUCUGAGUUUCCUAUCAAUACAAUUAUAGCAUGGAUAAUAAACGAUUAUCAUGAACAAGGAAAUAUAAUAAUAAUAACUAAUUUAUUAUUGCCUCUAGGGCAUAUUUCCAACAGAGAAUUCUCUGGCGGAGUCGCCGCCUUCUCCCACGCCCUCCGAUCUCAUUUGUGAAUUUUUUCAUUCAGGUUAUAGCGAGGAUGAAGUGGCUACGAUGAUUGAUCGGGUUCUGCCACCGGAUGAUCCGGCGCGUAUUGGUCUCCACGCGGGCGAGAAGAAUGAGAUGAUCCGACGCGUAGUUCAUCGGAAGACGGCGGCGUCGGCGCUCAGACCGUGGAAAGGCCCCAUACCUAAGGUGAGUCUUCCGAAUCUCACGUUAUUCUAUUUGAUUAGGCCGGAGUCUUGGAUCACUGUCAAGAAAAAGAAGAACGCGAGGCGGCGCGCCGGUAGUCCGGCAACAGCGGCGCCCGUGACGGCGGCGGCGAUGACCAGGAUCUCGCUCGCGAGAUCGCAGCGUUUGAAUCAGCUGCUAGGUGGAGUUGGGCCGGUUCGGAGUGGACCUGGUCCGCGAGAUGUUGGGCCGGAGAAAGAUGGGUAUGAGGCCCAUGCUGGACCGGGCCACUCUCCUACACCUAUUGUGUUGCCAUGCACGUACGAGCGUGAUUGUUUCUCUAUCGAUCGUGUAUCGCCGCCUCUUCGCCCUAGGGUUCGUAAGCACGGGAUGAGAGGUUUUCCUGCCUGUGGUCUUCGUCGGGCUAGGAGGAUUCGCCCGCUGCUAGACAUGGCCGGCCGCGGGGCUGCGCCGCCGCCAGCCAAGAAGGCCUCGUCAGGUCCUGCGGGGCGGGGUGGGACAGCUCCGCCGCCGGCGGCGGGUGCUGGACGUGGAGUCCCGACGUUGUCUGCCCAGAGGCUGCCGACGGGCGGGGGCGUCAUGCAGGGCAACCCGGGGCGAGGUGCUGGCCCCUUGGGCACGCGGCCUCCGAGGCAAGUGCCCUUCCAGCCGUCCGCUGGUCGGGGCGGCAUAAGGCCCCCGGCGCCGGGCGCGGCGCCCCCUGCUCAGCCGGCUGCGGGUCGUGGAGGGCCUCGGCCGAAUGCGCCGGGCGCGACCAGUGUGGCUCCGACUGGCCGCGGUGGAGGGCCUCGGCCUAUUGGGAGCCUGCCAGCGCCCUCGGGCAAUCAACCUCGUGCUGCACCUCUGCCCCAUUACGUUGCGAGGCCGGCGCAAAACCGGUCCGGUCUGACUCAGACUAAUCAGCAUUCAAACAACAGAGAGCCCAAUGAUCCGCCCCAAGUCCAGUGGGGGGAUGCGUAUGGUGAGGGACGGCACCGUGGCUCCUUGUCCACGGGAGGAGGUUGUGGCUAUGCCUGGCAGAGUGAUGGGUCUGCUGAGAGACCGUUUCUCGGCCCUCCAAGCGGAUUUGUUGAGGGAGCCUCAGGACCGGAUCACCGUCAGAGAGGAGGCUUUCGGGGCCAUCGUGGUGGUCGGGGAGGGGGCCGUGGGAGGUUUUGCCGACCGCCCCCGCCUAAGGCAGUUGUUGAGCAUGCGGCGUCAACACUGGAGGCCGACCACGCGUCCACUGCACUUUCUUCCCAAGCGAUGGAGGUGGUGACUGCUUUGGCUAGUGUUGAGGUUCCUAAGACUGGGACUUUGGCCGAGGAUACCGACAGGUCCGAUGCUGAGAAGGUGUCCAAGUAUGCGCGCAAAAAGGAAAAGAUGCUUUGCUACCGUUGUGGGGAGAAGGGCCACUUCAUUGCUGAGUGCGUGGCCGAGCUGUGUGAGACGUGUGGCAAGCCGGCACAUGCCUCGGGGGAGUGCCCAUUCUUGCGUGACCAGGCUCCGUCGCUGACUGUGUAUGGAGUCUACUGUGCUGAGCUCAUGUUCUUUGAAUCACCGGCUGCGCGAGAGAUUCCGGAGGAGACCCCGAGCUUGACUACCGGGGUUGUGAAAGCUACCCAGGGAGAGGUCACUGAGGCUCAUAUCGUGCGGAGGCUUUAGGAGCUGGCUCCGGGGGACUUUCGAUGGGAGCUGGUGGUUCUCGAGGAUAAGGUCUAUAAGGUUGAUUUCCCCAUGGUGGAUGACUUGCAGCGGUUGUUGAGCUUUGGUUUGUGUAGAGUUCCUGGCACUUCGCACAUUCUGGAGUUCCAUGAGUGGAAGAAGGUGGAGCCUAAGGGAAAGCCGCUUACGCAGGUCUGGUUGCGGUUUGUAGGGGCCCCGUCUAAGCCUUUGCAGGAUGUUCGAGUUGUGGCCAGUUUGGGUAUGUUGGUUGGGAAGACGGAGAGAGUUGAUAUGGCUUUCACCUGGGCUCAUGGGGUGGCCCGGCUUUUAGUUAGUGUUCUGGAUAUUGAGUUCGUGCCUGAUGUGGUCAACUGGACUUAUAGGGGAGAGGUGUUCCCGCUCGAGAUUGAGUUUGAGGACACUGAUCUGUUUGCUGAUGCGGUUAAUAAGAAUGAUGUUGAUAUGCAUGAGGGUGAUAGCGGUGCGGGAGCCAAUGGGACCGGGAUCCACACGAGAGGGGUCUAACGGCUCUCGCCCAGAUGCUUAGUUGCCCAGGGAUGGGACCGGGGUUGAGCCGGCAACAUCGUCAUUAUGACUUCAUUGAGGUUCGGGUCCUUUGAGCCAUCAUCAGCGCCUCCCAGACUUUGGAGUGACCGGGUAGACUCUGAUGAUAUGUUUGAGCGCACGCUUCCUCUAUUGGAGUUUGAGGGGGCUGGUGGUUCUAUGCCUGAACGCUUGGUGAGGGCCUCAUCGGCGAGGACUCUGGAUGGAGUUAGGGUGAGGGAGCCAGAGGUUGCUUCUCUUUCCCUUCCUCCUCUUGUGGUCGAGGCUCUGGUGCGGAUUGCUGCUUGUGAGCUGGUGUUGGGGGGAGGGGGGUCGGGGCAGGAGGCCUUGACGUCUCCCCUCCAUAUCCCGACACUGGUGACGUCGGUCAUGUUGGGGUCGGCCAGCGCCGGGGGAGGGAGCCCGAGGCAGGUGGCCUCGGCUCCUGCUACUCCGGUGGUGGCGGUGACACCCGCGCCAGCUGCUGCGUUAGGGGGAGGCUGGGGCAGGAGGCCCUGGCUCAUCCUUCUCCCCCGGCGGUCAGGAGGACCGUUUCUCCUUCGCCGACGGUUCUUCCAUCUGCACCGGCGGGUGGGGCAGGAGGAGGGCGCGGUCAGGCGGCCCCUAUCAUCCCCUCUCCGUUCGUACCAGUGGGUGUGGACCCCGGCGUGGGGCACCUGUCUGAGGGGCUUGGGAGCCCGCAGCUGCCUUCUCUGGUAACCUCGGCUGACCCUUUGAGGGAUUUAGCGCCAGGUUUUACUAGGGAGGAGGUUGUUGCUUUUGGCGGGAUCCCGGACCCUGUCUCGACAGGGAGACGGAUGAGUGCUCGCAUCCACGAGCUCCCGGAGGUGGAUGAUAUGCAGCAGCGGUGCGCUAUGAGGGCGGCCAAGCUGCAGGAGGCUGCAUUAUCUUCUGGUAUGUCCGUCAAUAUAUCUAAUUCUUUAUUGCAUUUUUCUAAUGAGGAGAUUAUAAAUAAUGCAAACCAAUUAGGAGUUUCACUAGGUUCCACGGAUAGUGAGAUUACUAAUUCGGUCAAUGAUCUGUUAGAUUUGGAGGCGGAACGUGCCUUAGAGACUAUUCGUAAUCUUGCAGCGGUUAAACCAAUGAAUGAUGAUGAGAUUGAUGCGUUAGGGGUUAGAGUGCUCGAUAAUCUGUGUGCGGAUCUAGCACCCCCAAAUCAUGAGUCUGAGGACGAUGAUGUACCCCUAGAGAAGGAUGCUGGUAAUAUUAGUGCACCCGGUUAUGAGGACCGAGUGUCAGAGCCUAGUAAACCAAAACGUAAGUGGAAACGGAAGAUCUAUCCUGAUUCCGCAGUUCGUAGGAGUGCUAGGAUUAGAAACACUAAAAAAUUCCAUGAUGAAAUAUGAGAGGAAUCUUUUGGAAUAGCAGAGGUCUGAAGGACUUGGCUAAAAGAAGGUUCCUUGCUGAGGCAGCUUUAGAGCAGAAAUUAGAUUUUGUUGCUCUAUCGGAGACUGGUAGAGAAAACUUUGCGCCCCAGUUUCUUUCUUCUCUUGUGGGUGGUAUUGAUUUCGAUUGGCAUUGCCUCCCUCCGCGAGGAAGAUCGGGUGGUGUCUUACUCGGUGUGAGAUGCGAUUCGCUUGAAGUCCGAAGUGUAGUGAUGGGAGACUUCGCGGUGAAGUUUCGAGUCAGGUCUAAGAUAGAUGGUUUUAACUGGGCUUUGGUGGCGGUUUAUGGUGCCGCACAGCCCGAGCUUAAACCGGAGUUUCCGGCGGACCUUGUUCGAAUCUGUGGGUCUGAAUAGCUUCCAAUUUUAGUUGGAGGUGAUUUCAAUAUCAUCAGGAGGAGAGAGGAGAAGAACAAUGAUAACUUUGACGGCAGAUGGUCGUUUAUGUUCAAUACCAUUAUUGAAAGCUUGGAUCCGAGGGAGAUAGAGCUUUCUGGUAGAAAGUUUACCUGGGCUAAUGCUUUGCUAAACCCAACUUAUGAAAAACUUGAUCGAGUUCUUGCGAGCGUGGAGUGGGAACAAAAGUUCCCUUUGGUUACGGUGCAAGCUCUCUCGAGGGGAAUAUCCGAUCACACACCCUUGUUCGUGGACUCAGGGGAGCCGAACCACAUGGGUAACAAGAACACCUUUUCUUUCGAGAUGUCAUGGUUCGAACGCGAGGGGUUCUUGGACUUGAUUGCCAGGGAAUGGGAUAUAGGUGCAGGAGGCACGACCGCGAUCAAGCGUUGGCAGAAUAAGAUUAGGCAUUUGAGAAGUUUCUUACGGGGUUGGGCUAAGCACCUCAGUGUUGUGUAUAAGAUUGAAAAGGAUAGACUCCUUUCUCUUAUACAGGCCCUGGACAUAAAGGCAAAAUCCACUAUUUUAAUGCCAGCUGAGCUUCUGGCUAAAAAUGAGGCGGAGAAGAGGUUGAAAGAACUGCUCCGCGAAGAAGAAUUGAAGUGGGCUUUGCGUGCUAAAGUCCGCAAAGUGGUCCAAGGGGACACGAAUACUCAAUUCUUUCAUUUGAUAGCCAAUGGUAAGCACAGAAAGAAGCGUAUCUUUCAGCUUGAACAAGAUGACGGCACUAUUUUAGGACAGGAUAACCUAAAAACAUAUAUUACCGAGUAUUACAAGCAGUUAUUUGGACCUCCGAAAGAUAAUUGUGUGUCCCUCGAUGAGUCCAGGACUGGGGAUGUGCCUCAGCUAUCGGCUGUCAAAAAUGAUAUUCUGGUUGCCCCGUUCUCAAAGAAGGAGGUGUUUGACGCUAUUGCACAGAUGAAAAACAAUAAGGCUCCCGGACCGGAUGGAUUCCCGGCCGAGUUCUAUAAAAAGUGCUGGCACAUUAUUAAGGGGGAUUUGCUACCUAUGUUCCAUGAUCUGUUCUCUGGACAGCUUCAGUUAUUUCACUUGAAUUUUGGAACUAUCACACUGCUUCCUAAGAAAACGGAUGCUGUGAGAAUUGAGCAAUUCAGGCCGAUCUGCCUCCUCAAUGUUAGUUUUAAAAUUUUCACCAAGGUAGGGACUAAUAGGCUCACACAGAUUGCGCAUUCUGUGGUGCAACAGUCCCAAACUGCUUUCAUGCCGGACAGAAAUAUCCUUGAAGGGGUGGUCGUCCUGCAUGAAACGCUCCAUGAAAUCCAUUCCAAAAAAUUAGAUGGAGUAAUCUUUAAGGUGGAUUUCGAGAAAGCGUACGAUAAGGUCAAAUGGCCAUUCCUCCAACAGUCAUUGCGUAUGAAAGGUUUUGAUGAAGCCUGGCGCCGACAGGCUGAAUCAUUUACGCAAAAAGGUAGUGUGGGAAUUAAAGUUAAUGAUGACAUAGGUCAUUACUUCUAGACACAUAAAGGCCUAAGACAAGGAGAUCCGAUGUCCCCUAUCCUGUUUAACAUUGUGGUGGAUAUGUUAGCAAUUUUGAUAGGAAGGGCUAAGGGAAAUGGUCAAGUAGGUGGAUUGGUACCUCAUCUUGUUGAUGGAGGUGUAUCCAUCCUUCAGUACGCUGAUGAUACAAUUAUCUUUAUGGAGCAUGACUUGGCCAAGGCGAGAAAUAUGAAGCUUGUGUUAUGCCUAUUUGAACAAUUGACCGGGUUAAAGAUUAACUUUAAUAAGAGCGAGCUGUUCUGUUUUGGUAGAGCCAAAGACGAACAGGAGGCUUAUAGGCAAUUGUUUGGGCGCGAGUUGGGAGAGUUACCCUUCUCUUACCUGGGUAUUCCAAUCCACCAUCGUAGGCUGACAAACAAAGAGUGGAAGUGCAUCGAGGACCGAUUUGAGAAGAAACUGAGUUGCUGGAAGGGUAAGCUCAUGUCAUUCGGAGGCCGAUUAAUCCUGAUUAAUUCGGUGCUCACGAGUAUGCCUAUGUUUCUCCUAUCAUUCUUUGAGGUCCCAGUUGGUGUUAGGAAGAGACUGGACUUCUAUCGAUCGCGUUCCUUUUGGCAGGGUGAUGAGCUUAAACGAAAAUAUCGGCUUGCUAAAUGGGACAUCAUCUGUAGACCGAAAGACCAAGGGGGUCUCGGUAUUGAGAAUCUAGAAGUUAAGAAUAUAUGCCUUCUUAGCAAGUGGCUGUGGAAGCUCUCAACGGAGAAUGAUGCCAUGUGGGCUCAAAUCCUUCGUAGCAAGUACCUCCAGACAAAAACUUUGUCCCAGGUUACAGUCAGGCCGACCGAUUCACCUUUCUGGAAAGGUGUGAUGAAAGUCAAGCAAUCUUUGUUUAAUAGGAUGAAGUUUGUUAUUGGAAACGGCUCUAGUACACGUUUCUGGGAGGAUACUUGGCUCGGCGAGACACCCUUGGCCAUCCAAUAUCCGUCUUUGUACUGUAUUGUUCAACGACGUGAGGUGUUCGUCGCAUCGGUAUUUCAAUCUAUCCCCCUUAAUGUUCAGUUCCGACGGACGCUAGCGGGCAAUCGUUGGGAAGAAUGGCUCCGUCUAGUUAGGAGACUGAUGGAGGUCUAGCUUUCUCAACAACCCGACGAAUUACGCUGGAAAUUGACUAAGUCUUGAGUAUUCACUGUUAAAUCAAUGUAUAUUGAUGUUAUUAAUUCGAACUCCAUUCAUACCUCCAAGCAUGUUUGGGAUAUCAAAGUUCCUUUUAAAAUAAAAGUGUUUAUGUGGUUUGUCCAUAAACAACUUAUUUUAACCAAGGACAACUUAAUAAAGUGUAAUUGGACAGGACCUACUAGGUGUAGUUUCUGUGAUCAGGAUGAGACAAUCAAACACCUCUUUUUUGAUUGCCCGCUGGCCAAGUACUUUGGCAGACAGUCCACAUCGCUUUUAAUAUCAAUCCACCGAAUUCUGUUAACGUGUUAUUUGGGACAUGGCUUAAUGGGAUUGAACCUGACUUAGCGAGACACAUUCGGGUUGGAGUUUGUGCUUUGUUGUGGACUAUCUAGACUUGCAGAAAUGAUUUGGUUUUUAACAGAAUAUCAUGUAUCCAUUUUUUGCAGGUUUUAUUCCGAACUACGGCACUCAUCCGUUCGUGGUCACUACUCACCCCGACGGAGGCCAGGGAGCAUUUGGUUACUGGGAGGGUGCUUGGAUCCAAGGGACUAUUUUUAGUCUGACUAAAAAUAGUCUCUUUUAGAGGCUAAAGUUCCAAGCACCCCUGACUAAAGAGAGGCUAGGACUAGUCUUGAGGCUAAAACUUUUUAGUCAUAGGAAACCUACUAAAAUAUGUAUUAGCUCUCUCUCUCCUCAUUUAAUUCCUCUCCUUUAGUUCUGGAUUGGAGGGUUUGAAGGAUAAUAAAUGCUCAAAAACUUGAUUUUAGUCUCUUUAGUAUUUGGAUCCAAGCAUGGGUGAGGCUAGCAAAUUUUAGUCCCACUACUUUUAGUCAUGGGACUAAAACGUAUACAAGCACCCUCUGGGUCUUUCCGCUGGGAGAUGGUAGCUCGGGAUAUCUUCAACCGAUUUGGAUGGCGGUCAUGUAAUAGGAUAGGCAUGUAGUUUACCUAUCUAGUUUUAGCCAGCCGGUUGUGGCGUCUUUUCAUGGCUAGUGGGUGUUUCUAGCCCUUUUUGGCUCUAUGUGAGCUUUCUUUGCUUUUUUAUUACUUUUGGAGACCUUGGAACCAUGUUGGCACUGCUUUAUUUGGUUAAUAAGAUGGCGGUAUGCAUCACUCUGAUGCAGAGGCCGGGGAAUCCCCCUUUUCGAAAAAAAAGACAUAUCAAAGUCUCACCUUCAUGUCCUAUAUGUCACCAACGACCAUAGGCUAUUCAUCAUUUGGCUUUCACUUGUGAUCGUGCACGUCAAGUUUGGAAGCCCUUGGGUUUGGAUGAGAUUAUAGAUGCAGCUAUUCGCACUGAUCGCUUGGGCUCGGUGGUAAUGGAGGAGUUACUCAGAAAUCCGGUGAAAAAAUCUCCUGUCUUGGGACAACUGGGGCUCCAAGAAACGAUUGCCGUUGACGCAUGGUACAUCUGGUGGGAACACCGUGAAGCUGUAAAGGGGGUGAAUGUCAAGCCUGCACCAAGUUCCUCGUUUGCUAUCCAAGCUAUAACCUCAAAUCACGCGACACGUCCAGCUGCGGUAACCUCUGAAGCUUGAUGGAAACGUCCAGCUCCUGGGUCGUACAAACUGAAUGUGGAUGCGUCCUUCUUCGAGGACGGGAGUGGGGCUGCAGCUGCUGUUCUUCGUAAUUGCCGUGGAGAAGCGAUUGCCGGGGUCUCAGAGCUUAUAGAUAACACUCUUAGUGCACAAUCAGCUGAAGCAAUUGCUCUUCGCUUGGGGCUACGGCUGGUUUAUGCAGUGGGGUGCAGGAAUAUUGAAGUAGAAUCAGACUGUGAAGAACUGGUACAUGCAUGUAAUGGAGAGACAGAAGUUUGGAGCCCCUACUCAGCUACCCUUGCUGAUUGUUUUCAUCUCUCCCAUGGCAUCCCGAAUAUUUCUCUUGCUCAUUGUCCUAGAGAAGCAAACAGAGUUGCACACUUCCUAGCUAGGCGAUGCUAUGAUUCAAAAAUAUGUGAAGAGUGGUUAGAUGAGAUGUCUUCUUUCUUAUUACCUCAUGUAAUCUUUGAUGUAACACUUUCCCAAAUUGAAUAAAAUGCCACAAGGCUUUUCCCUCAAAAAAAACCAUCGUGUAAAUAACUUUUUUUCUUUCCAAAUUUCAUAAAUUCUUCCUAACAUUCCCUUCAUCUACAGAAAAAAAUAAGGAUUCCGUAAAAGUGUCUCUUCUGGUCAGCUAACCGCCACUGAAAGCCUGCUGUGCCGCCACCACACACCCACCAAGUGUCCAUGCCGCGGCCGCUAGCUGCCGCGCCGCCGGCUGCCAUCCACUGUUAGUCACUGCCGGAGUUGCCAUCGUCAUUGUGCCACUGCUAAAAACAUUUUUAAGGAAUGUGAGAAUAUCUCCUAAAUUUUAUAGACACCGUAAAAAGCUUUAGAAGGAGAUAUUUUUGCGAGAAAACUUUCAAUCUAUUCGUCAUGCCAUGUCAUGGCAGUACAAAAGCCAUAAAAAUAAUAAAAAUUACAUUCAUAUUUGAUGACCACCUAACAACGACUACAAGUAUUGGAGCGAGGCAAAGAUGCGCAGUCGUCAUCGCCAUCCCUCGUUAGAGCGGGGUCAAACUUGUUAUAGUAAACAGUCGGGAAAGUCUUAGUGUUAAGCCCUCAUAGAACUAGCAACCAUCGCUGAUGAAGAGAAGUAUAAUUCGAAAGAAUUCAACUUGUAUACACACGAACUAAAAAAACUUAAAACAGAGAAUGAUCCCUCCCGCGGCAAGGAUCGAGGUCCAUCACACCUCCAUAACACUAGGGCUAGGGUUAUCGGAGACGAAGCAGACUGAUAGCAACGCCGACGAAAGGCAGAUGAAACCUAAGCUUUUUUUAUUAAAGAGAAGGCCAACGGCGGUUGCGUAGGCCGAUAGAGAGUUAUAGCCUCAUAUAACGUUUUUAUAGAGAGAUUUUUACAUGAGCUGAUGUGACCUACCACCUCCGUCCUAGCUUAGUUGUCCUCUUUGUAUUUUGUGUCAAAUUUUGAUUAUAAAUUUUAAAUUAAUUCAACUUUUUAUUUAUCUUUAUUUUAAUAAUUCCCUAAUAAUCAAAUUUGUUAUAAAUAACAAAUUGUUAAUGCAUGUUAUCACUAAUUAUACUGUUGGAUUCAUAUUUGAACAUAGUUUUUGACAAUAUUAUUUUUUGUUAUAUGUAACUUAUAUUUUAUUUAUACAAAAUUAUGGUUAAAAUAUGAUCAUAAAUACAAGGACUAAUAAAUCGGGACGUAUUUAGGCGACUAAUAAGUCAGAACGUAUUUAGAGGACCAAUAAACCUAGGACUAAGAUAGCAAUUCGGGUCCAAAUCGCGAGAUUUCGCUGUACCCUUUGGCUUGGGCAACCAUUGGUUUUGUUCCUACUGUAAGCGGCGAGCUUCGCCGGGCCGCCUGGGUCGUGUUGCUUGCUUGCUUCAGUUAUCCUGGCACAAAAUAACCUGCGGUAGCAGUGGCGCUACAGAGUUUCAAGUAGAAACUGAAAUAGAUCAAGUCCAUGAUGCAUCCAUAUAUGCUACGAUCCCAAUGGUAAGGAACACCUGUUUGCCACCAACGUAAGCUGAAACCAUUCCGUUUUCCAAUUAAUUGCAUGAAAUAUGUACAGGAAGCACUAGCAGCAUUUGUAUGUACAGUACAUCUACUCCACCAUCCUCAAUUUCCAAAGGUUUGCACAUGCUUGUUCCCCCUUCCAACCAGAAACAUAUUGUGACGAGAAUGAUUGCUGCUACCCAGGUCCGCCCGGCCCAAGCUCAACCGGUGCGGCGUCGUGAUCAGCUCGGGCCCCAGCAGCUGAGGUACAUGGCCUUGCGGAGCGACUCGUCGGCGCCGGCCUGCCUCCGGCCGUCGUCGGCGACCGCUCGCGCCGCCCCGAGCGCGGCGGCCUGGGGGGCGAGCCCGGCAAGUCGGUCCCGCGACCCCGCCCCCGCCGCCCUCUCCCUCUGCGCCCGCACGGCGGCCACCGUCGCUGCCACCCACACACGGCUCAUCUUAAAAUUCUACCCGACCGGUUCGUUUCCAAAGUCCUCCUACUCUGUUCUCAGCUCGCUUCGCUCUCUUCUCUGUGCUAUGCACUGCUAGCUCUGGAGGUGGGAGAGUGGAGAAGAGGGGCCGGUAUUUGUAGCCCGAGCGAGGGCGGUUUUGGUCAUUGGCAUUUGAUGGUUUUGUGGCUGCUGGUUUCGGUCUUAUCGUGUGCGGUGGUGCGAUAUUGUCGCGGGUGAAAUCGGGCGGCAUGGCCGUGAGGGACACAGCUCGUGGGGCAGCUACAGGUGUCGAGGCUUUCGCCGGGGGCAGUGGUGACUCAUCGUUUCCCAUGGGUGGCCGUGGGCUCCGCCGGCUUUGUCGCCUUUGUAUUCUCUUGUACCAUCCACUCUUGUCCA
rnacentral:lncRNA from 1 species